GUAGGCUUCCACAGCCUUGAACAUGGCUGAGGACGUUUCUUUUGCUGCCUUAAUUUCCUGAUUUGCUCCCUCAAUAUGUUCGUUGGUAUUGCGCUUGAGGUGGCAUGUCCUGGUGGUCUUACAGAUUGACCCUCCAUCAGGUGAAGCUUCGAUUUUAAUCACGUUAGCUACUUUUUCAAUCUUAUCACUGAAGGCAUCACUUUCAAGAAUAGUAUGGCUGAAGGUGAAGUUGUCUUUGUCAAUUCCAUCGACUCUUUGUUUUAAACCCUUAUAAGGACUACCUAAACAUUCAACAAAGUUCAAAAAAAAUAUAUAUAUAUAUAUAUAUAUAUAAUUAUAAGAAUUUAUGGACAAAAAAUAAUGAAAUGAUGAUUAAGUGAAUAUUUAGAACUAACCUUCACCAAAAGUGAUCAACUUGAUGGAUCCAACUCCUCCAUCUCCUUCAACGAUUUCGACGCUUUUAAUGGCCUGUGGCAGCAUCUUGGUAAUGAGGUGGUCAUCAAGGAAGAAGGCCUUGAACAACCUUGCAGGAGGGAUUGAGCAGGGGACCUCAAAAUCACAAGUGAGAGGGGCCAUGAUGCCUUGGUGUUUGGGAAUAAACAAAAGUUCUCUUCAGGAACAAAGGGUUUGAAGAAAUGUGUAGUUCUUGAAGAGGAUCUGGGGUGCUAAGCAAUGCGACGGGAGAUGGUAUUUAUAGAAUGAAAUUGUAGUCAGGGGCGGAGGGAAGGGGGGGCCCGGGGGGCAGCCGUCCCCCCUCCAAUUGUUAAAAAAAAAAUUUCUAAGUAAAAAAGUUUUUAUUAUUAUGUUUUGCUCCCUCAAAAAUUGAUCAAAAAAUUCACUUUGCCCCCCCCAAGGGCCCAAACAAAAUGUUUGAAAGUUAUUUGGACUUGAUCCAAAUAAUAGAGGCUCACCCCCCUCCCCCAAAAUUGGCUGCCCCCCUCCAAUUGUUAAAAAAAAUUUCUAAAUAAAAAAAUUUUUAUUAUUAUGUUUUGCCCCCCAAAAAUUGAUCAAAAAAUUCAAUUUGUCCCCUAAGGAUCCAAACAAAAUGUUUGAAAGUUAUUUGGACUUGAUCCAAAUAACAGAGACUCACCCCCCCUUCCCCCGCCCCCCAAAAUUAGUUCCUAACUCCGCCACUGAUUGUAGAUCAUUAUUGUUAGCAUUAAUGCAUGUGAUCCGAGUUUUGCCCUCAUAUAGAUAUACGGUAGGUAAAUGACUAGAGGCAUGCGGAUUUAAUUAUGCCUCUAUCUUCCGCAUUUUACUCCAAAACAAGUAGAGCGCAAUCGCUAGUGCAGGCUGCUAUUUAGAAAAAAUAACGUUAACAAGAUCACUUUUUCCACAUAAAUAAACAAAUGUUCAUUCCAAUCAUGUGUGUUCACACUAAUAAAUAACCAUAAUCAUAUUGCAAAUGACUGAAUGAGACUGGUAGAGAACAACAUUUUGCUAUCGCAAAAGGUUCAUUCAGACUGGAAUGAGCUCAGGCAGCAUUCAACUCUCACAUUUCACAUCUAACGUGCUUAAAAUACAAGCAGUAUUGUCAUCAAUAAGCUGGCUUCAACUCUUUUUUUUCCUUCUGACAUUUUCUUACUGAAGUAAGAACUUACGUAAAUAAACCUAAUCCCCACAGUAACUCCAAAAGCCGGUAACUUUUGGAGUCCUGUGAGGGACUUAUCUACCCAAACCCCAACCCCCCCAAUACCGAUGUGGGAUAGAAAACCCCACAGGGUGCCCCGCUGCUAAGAGAUAAAGACCCCCCAAGCCCCUGAGAAUGAGUUUUCUUUCUGAUAUUUUCUUACUGAAGUAAGAACUUACGUAAAUAAACCUAAUCCCCACAGUAACUCCAAAAGCGGGUAACUUUUGGAGUCCUGUGAGGGACUUAUCUACCCAAACCCAACCCCCCCAAUACCGACGUGGGAUAGAAAACCCCACAGAGCUGGCUUCAACUCAGUAUUGUCAUUUUUACAUUAUUUUGAAGCCUGGAGCCCCACAAUUGCAUCAGCAGAGUCUUACCCAGCUCCACCACUUGCAGAUUCCCAUCUAUAAAAUAUGGUGUAUUAUUGCACUAAUUGGCUUCCUCGUAAGUUCAGGGCAUCUUGUGAUUAAUUUAUUGAUCUCCUUCAAUUUGGUUUUUAGCUCUAUUGCCCAAAAGGACAUUUUCAAGGAUGAUUCUUGAAAGCUCAAGGAUCUUGUGAUUAAUUUACUGAUCUCCUUCGUUUUGCUUUCUAGCUCUUCUAUCCUAAAGGACACCUUCAAGGAUGAUGCCAGCUUUUGUACCGACCAUUGACUUUUAUUGAUCAAUAUGGUGUACCUUGUUAAUUACAAAGAUUCAUCUAUAUAUCUAUAUCUAUAUCUAAAGGCAUCUUGUGAUUAAUUUACUGAUCUCCUUCGUUUUGCUUUCUAGCUCUUCUAUCCUAAAGGACACCUUCAAGGAUGAUGCCAGCUUUUGUACCGACCAUUGACUUUUAUUGAUCAAUAUGGUGUACCUUGUUAAUUACAAAGAUUCAUCUAUAUAUCUAUAUCUAUAUCUAAAGGCAUCUUGUGAUUAAUUUACUGAUCUCCUUCGUUUUGCUUUCUAGCUCUUCUAUCCUAAAGGACACCUUCAAGGAUGAUGCCAGCUUUUCUACCGACCAUUGACUUUUAUUGAUCAAUAUGGUGUACCUUGUUAAUUACAAAGAUUCAUCUAUAUAUCUAUAUCUAUAUCUAAGCUAAAAGAGCGAGUUCGUUUUGAUGGCUGAGCGUUUGAGUUUCUCUUUUCAAGAUCGCCCUUCUUACAAAAUAAUUAGGACUGCAUCAUGUCCCUAAAUUUGAAUGCACUUUCUAAUAAGUAAUAUCAUUGAGGGUAUUUAUGUAUUGUCAUAAUCAAGGUCUCAUAUUCAAAAAAGAAUUUAUGUAUAAUAGUAUACAUAAUUUCCCGCAAAGAAGAAAGAAGGAAAAUAGAACACAAAAUUAUGAUUUGGCUUUGUCGACCGUAUCUUACUUUUUCUUUAUAUUACAGUAAACUAAAUGACUAAUUAGAUUGGAUGCGACGAUUCUAAUUGGUAAAAAAGAGCCGCCUUUCGUCCUAUCUAGUAAUAGUAAGGGCAAUUGUGGUUAACUACAUUGUUAUGGAUGAAAAAAAACGAGGGAAAAUUAAAAAAGAAAACAAAAGAAAGAAAGAACUGAGAUGAGAGAUUAAAUUGGUGAUCACGAGAUGCUAGCACUAACUUGGUUGCUGUGGUGCCAUAUUUAUAAGAGGUUGUUGAUAAAUUUUAUUCAACUCCGUACGAUUACAUGUGAUCUUGUUUUGUAAUUUGAACUUAAUCAAGUUAUUAGUAGUUAAUUGGAACCCCAAUUGUCAUGUCAGUCCAGGCUACCUAGCUCAAUAAAAACUUUUGAAGUUUAUUUAAUUACCGGUUUAAAACACUUGGGCCAAGUCAUUAGUAGCUCAUGGAUCCUAAGUUUAUUUUCAAUUUUCUUCUCGUUAUGCUGAUUUAUGCUUCUAUCUUCCACAAUGUUCACACUUAUAUGAGCUGUUAUUAACAAAAUGGCAAAAACAAGUUUUGGAGUUGUGAUGCCUUUCACUUGACCAUUAUUUCAACAUCAGAAAGUUAAUUUAUUGGGUUUUAAUUUCUGAUGUUCUCGAUGAUUUUCCUCUUUAAUUUGUUGUUCUCCUUUUCUUUUGGAAUGCCAUGGUUGACGAUCCCUUGAAUCUAUGUCUAAUUUCUCUCAAGGCGUUUUAUUUUUAUUUUUCAAUUUUGUGGUUGCCUCGUUGGUUUUGCAGAUAUCGCCCUAGACUAGAUACCAAAUAUGCCUCUUGUGAAAAUAUCUAUCAUGUGUACCUAUUAAAAGCACCGGUGUGAUUCGGUGUUUUAAUGAUUUAGUUUUGGCUUUCCAAUAACACCCUUGUAUACUUAAAUAAUGAAACAUACCUUAAUUUCAAACACGAAUUGGGUGAGGGAUAUUUAUGGAUAUUAUUAGUGUUGAUGUAAAAGCUGUCUUUUAAAAUUUAGUAUUCUAAACGGAAGGAAUUCCAAACAAAGUUAAACAAAAAAAAAAAAAAAGGGACAUCAUAUUGUAAAACAAAGUUAAAUCCCAAAAAAGGGGAACCAUGUUGUAAAAGGAAAUUGAAGAAGUAUUUCUACUUUAUUAAUUUUUGUAAAAAUUAAUUUUUGUUUUCCAACAUUAAUCCUCCCAUAACAUAUUAAGGCUAGUUUCAAAUUUGAAUGACUUGCGUAAUAUCAUCCUUAAGUUUUUAUUUUAGAAAGAGAACGAUAUUACAUUUUUCUUACUAAAUAUAGUUAGAUUUGGAAUGAAAUUACUUAAUUAAACAUAGUUUCUACCAAAUAACGUAAUGCUACUUAAUCUUAUUCUACUAGAUUCUGGAUAUAACAUAAGGGAUAACAAAUCCUAAUUUGAUUUUGACUAGCAAAAGAAAACAAAAUUUUUGACAGUAGCAGAAGCCGGAAAAAACCUACCACAUAUUGCAUUGAAUAAUGCUUAUAUGUCAACUGAAAGUAAAUACAUCAAAUAAAACAUAGGAAUUUCUAAAAAGAAACCAUGAAUCUAAUAUUUGGAAGUUAUUAACCGAUAAAAAGUAAUAAUAAAACCUGGCCAGGAUGAGAGGAAGACUCUAACUAAGAAAUUGAUUUGCUAGGAUGAGUGUAAGACUCUUAACUAUUUCGUAGAUGUUUGUCAUCGAUUAGUUUAAGAUUCUAGCUUAUAAGAUGCUCUGAUCACAUUCGACCAAAUCAAUUAUCGUUUGUUUGUGUAGUACUUUCUUGCAAGCAUACAAGCUAUUGGACCCUAAGCUUUGCUCUUUUCACAAGUAUUUGUGACUAACCAACAUAUACCAAACCUUCUUCUGGUCAUUAGUCACGUAGCUGUUAGACUGCAAGUUCAAUUUGAAUUACCUUGUAUUAUAUAUAUGAUAGUACAGAGUGAAAAGCAUUGGUGAGAUAAUUAUUGCUCACCCAAUUGUUUCCUUUUUUUAGUGGUCAACAUGAAGUCUUUUGUGAGAUUUGCAAAAAUGUUCACCUCAACUCUAUCACUAUUAUUGUCGACAAUGUGAUCAGACUUUUCAUCCUUAUUCCACUUUUAACAUGUUUCUCUUUGUGUUAAUUUUUAGUUAUUGUUUCUUUCAAAUUGGUAUUGAUUUACGAAGGUAUUGUGGAUCAAAUGAUGAAAAUAAGUUGUAUAAUGGAAUUGCAUUUGAUGAUAAACAAAUUUAAGUCGUUAAAAGGAAAAAAGAAAGAGUUUGUAAAUCUAAUGAGCUGAAGCCUGUCAAUGCCUAGAAUACCGACUGACUGGAAGCCAAAUCUUGUAGUAAUCACCCUUUAGUGGAGAUUCUUGGUGGAAUGAAAGAAGUAAAGCAAAGUAAGUACUUAACUGUGCAUUUUGAGUGAUUUAAAUGUGUUUUAUCAUUUAGUUAUGAUGUAUUUUAUUCAUUUUUAUAACUAAUUAACUAGGUUUCUAGUGAAUUAUGCAUUUUGUGGUUCCUUUUUUUUUUUCUGGGAAUGAUAGAUGAAUUUUAUAGCAAACCAAACUUUACAAUAUUUGAGCUACGGCUCAACCACUUAUACAAAGUGUACUAUGACACUAAGAAGAGACAAAAAUUCUCUCUUCAUCCAAAACUAUGCUUAGAGCAUAACGACUAAUGCUUUGACAUAGAGACAUAUUACUAUUUUUUCCUACUUCAAAAAAGCACAUUUGAAACAGAUUAGCUAGAGCAAGUAUAUCUUCCACUAACGUGACUGUAUUCAGAUUGUCUCCUUUCCCACUUUUCAGCAUGGCAAUAAGAUGUUGAUUGGCAUUUAUGACUUUAAUCCUGUUCCAACCAAGCUGCCUUACUUUGAUGAGUGCUAGUCGCAUUGCUGCAGCUUCAUCUUGGAUUUUCAGUAGCGAUGUUCUGUCCACUAGCACCCAGUCAGCUAUGAUUCUUGUUCCAUUCAGCUUGGCCACAACACCAAUUCCCAUCUUGUGUCCCUCGGUUGCUUUCUGUGUUGCAAUGUGAAGUUCCAUCAAGUCCCUUACCUCCAUUCCUUCCUCCCUUUGCCUUGCAUCUGCUGCAUCUAUUUCUGAUGUACUCCUAGCUUCUUUUCCUGUACCAGCUUCCUCAAACUCCAUCCACUCAUUACUUGCCUUUUGCACUACUUUAAUUCCAUCCUUCUCUUUCCCUUCAAAUUCCAGCUCAUUCCUAUCCUUCCAUAGCUGCCAAAGUAUGUUAGCAGUCAAAGCUAUAUGCUGUUUGCCUUCCUUCCUACUCCUAGCUUGAAUUAAAGCUGUCCACCACUGCUUAAAACAACCUGUUUGAGUCUGGAUGCUGUCCCAUUGAACUGGAGCAAGCUUCCAUACCUUCUGAGCCUGUGCACAAUGAAACAGAAUGUGUUCCACCAUUUCUAUCUUGUCUCCACAUCUUGAGCAGCAUGGUGAGCCUUGUUUCGUUCUCCUGAAUAUUGUUUCCCUUGCUGUUAGUGUGUUAGUAAUACACCUCCAAAUGAAUAGCUUAAUCUUAUGCUUGAUAUAAAAUAUUCAGAGUAUAAAAACUUUAUAAAAUAAUAUUCAGAGUAAUACAUCUCCAAACUUUAUAAAAUAUUCUCUUAUGCAUUUUGUGGUUCAAAGUAUAAAAAAAUGAGUUUCUAUGUGUUCAAAUGAUGAAAACUUUAUGUUUUUGUAGAUUUUAAUGAUUCAAUAAUCAAAUGUAAUGAAUGGAGAAGAUAUUUAGAUGAUUCUUUAUGAAGUGAUUUAAAGAGAAUAUGAAAUGCAAAAUGUUCAAAAGAUAAAAUGCAAUCAAGUAUAAAAGAAGAAAUAUUUGACAGCUUUGACACUUUUUGUAUUUUGGCUAUAUCUUGAGUUAGAAACAUCGGAUUGAAAUGAUUCUUGAGCCAUUUUGAAUAUAACACAUAGCCCUAUAUUUAUUAUGAGACAUUGAAAUCCAUUUCUUGAGUUUUUCUAGUCAAAAAUCGAAAUAUAGUCGGCCAUUUUUUGUUGUCGAAAGGUGAAACAGGGGAUUGACUAGUCAUGGGUAUUUUGGUCAUUUCUCAGUCUACAGAGCUCAAAAUUACAUGAUUCUUAAUGCAUUGAAAAGCUAACUCAAAGAGCUGCAAUUAUCAUUUUUGUACAAGAGCUAGUUUAGCCUUCAUUAUUGAGAAAAUACCAAUUAAAUUUGGCACAAAAAUAAAGCAAUGUUGAAGACCGAUUAGAAAAGUGCAAACCUGCAGGGGAGGCAAUACGUGAGUACAAUAUGCGGGCUCAGCCCACAUUUUGAUGGUGUGUAUUCACGUUUUGGUUGCUUUAUAGCUGGAACUAAUUGUACUUCAACUUGCAGCUUUUUUCUACUACUUUUGGACCAAUUUUCUGAACAAAUUUCGGUUGAAAAGUGCAAGAAGCAUCUUGAAAAUUUGGAGAAACAAAUCUUGGGAAUCUCCAGAGCCAAUUAGCACAACUUGAAACAUGAUUGCUUUAAGUUUUAAUUCUCUAUAAAUAGGGCCUGGCUUGUUUAAUAACUUUGGAAGGCUAGAAACACUACCAAAAUGUAGUUUUCACUAGUUUUUCUUAGUUCAUUAGUAUAGUAUAAUUAGUGUAGUUUAUUCUUCUUGUGUUUGUAGCUAGAUUUGGAUGAAAAAUUAAGAAGCAAGAUGGAGAGUUUGGAACUCAUGUGAUGAGAAUGACUUCUUUCCUAUGACUUUGACUUUUGUAUUUGAGUUCAUGUUUAGCUAUAAUACAAGUAUGUUCUUUUCUUUCAUUCUCUUCAUAUUUUGCUAAAAUUUAUGCUUAGAGUUAUGGAUGAAUUUUCUAUAUUUUGUUUGUGAUAUUUACUUGGUUAUUUGAUGAUAUUAUUUUGAAUAAGUUAGUUAUCACUUUAGCUUUUUUAAUCAUGAUUUAUCAGCCAUUAAUUGUGAUCAUUUUAAGGUGUUAAGUUUGCAAUGAGAAUUGGAAUUUGACACUAGUUCAAAGAAGUGUUAAACGUAGGGAGUACACUCAUAAGAGUAGAGGUACACUUUUGUGGUUUUCAUAGUUUAUUCCAUAUAAUUUCAUAGAAAAAUAAGUUUGUAGUUAAUUUCAUAACCAUGAGAGUAGGUAUGGUUUAACCAAAAGUAUAGUUGAUUCACUAUGAAAGUAGGUUUCACAAAAAUUAUGAAAUUACACUAUAACUAACCAAGUUAAUAACAUUUAAUUAACCGAUAAUUUCACUUGCAAGAGUAGUAAGAAAUUUCAUAACCUUAAGAGUUUUCUAUUGUUAUUUUUAUAACUCUUAUUUCAUGUGUGUAGUGUAGAUUUAAUCUCUUGAAUUUGUGGUAGUCUAAAUAAUAAAGGAAUUCAAAACCAUCGGUAAUUGACAAUCUUCUAUGUAAGAUCGACACUUAAGAUCCCUAUACUCAAUAAACGAUCUGUAUACUUGUAGUAAAUAGGAUAUUUAGAUUUUAUUAAAAUUUGGUGCAUGGUAGAAUCUCAUCAGAUUGCCAAUGGUAAUUGGUAGGUCCAAAAAGCAGGUCUUUAGCUACAUUAAGGAAAAGGUGAUAGAUAAACUGAAAGGGUGGAAAGAAAGGUAGUUAAAUCAAGCAGGCAAAUAGGUGCUUUUAAAGUCAAUUAUCAUAGCUAUGCUAACGUAUGCAAUGGCAUGCUGAAAAUUGCCUAAAGGAUUAUGUGAGGAGAUAAGUAAAGAGAUGGCAAAGUUCUGGUGGGGGUAAAAGGAGAAGGAGAAGAGAAUUCAUUGGAUGACUUGGAAAAGGAUGAUAGAAAUUAAAGGUAAAGGGGGACUAGGCUGGAGAUAUCUUCAGGAAUUCAAUAGUUCAAUGUUGGCAAAACAGUUAUGGAGUACUAACUCAACGUAAUUUGAUUAUGAGCAAGGUGUUGAAGGGAAAGUACUUUAAGGGACAAUCAAUUUCAGAGAUGAAGAUUAGAGCUAGUGACUCAUGGAUGUGGAGAAGUAUUAUAAGUGCGAGAGAUUUGCUUGAAAGGGGCGCUAGAAAAAGGGUGGGAGAUGGACGUACUAUCAAUAUUUGGAGGGAUAGAUGGAUAAUGGAUAGAGAAAAAAGGAAGGUAUUUACUUCAAAGCCACCAAAUUGUCAACUGUAGAAGGUGUAUGAAUUAAUACAAAAUGGAAAGUGGAAUGUGGAUAAGAUAAAAGCAGUGUUUAGUGAAGAAGAUUGCAAGCGUAUCACUAGUAUCCCACUCAGCAUCUGCAAUGGAAAAGACAAACUAGUGUGGCCAUACUCAAUUACAAGAGUGUCUACUGUUAAAACUGGGUAUAUGGUUGCAAAGAAGAUCCAAAGGAAAAAAAUGGAAAGGAUACAGCAAGAAGCGAGCAGUUGUAGAAAUGAGCAAAACACUAAAGUCUGGAAGUCUUUAUGGAGUCUAAAUAUGAAGCAGAAGCUCAAACAUUUCAUAUGGAAAUGUUUACAUAGAAUAAUCCCAGUGAACGAGGUGCUAAAGAGUAGAAUAGGAAAAGAAGAUGAUAAGUGCAUAUGUUAUAGAGAAGGUAAAGAGACAAUUGAACAUAUGUUUUUCUUUUGCAGAGAUGCUGAGAUGAUAUGGAAAAUGGCUCCAAUUAAAUGGGAUGAAAUCCAUGAGUUUGGAAAUAAGUUUUGGUUGUGGUGGAAUAGCAUCCUGGAAGCCAAGGAUAGAGUUGAAGGAAAGAAUCAUAUUAUACUAACAGUAAAUAUCCUGUGGCAGAUUUGGAAGUUAAGAAAUCUGAUUCACCCUGGUUCCGAAGAGUUUGUUUAAUCUGAUAUACCAGAAUUGACUAGCUGACAAAAAAUUAUUAACUCGUAGAUAGUGGCAAGUAGGGUCGAAUCCACAUGGACUGGGGAUAAUUCGUUUCUUCUAAAGUUCAGAAUAAGGGAGAUAUUUAGAAAAUAUAAAAUAACUAAUUAACCAACUAAUAGAAAUAAAUAGAAAUUAAUUAAUAACCAAUACGACUCUAGUCAAAUGUGCAACUUUUCAGAUACUGUCCAUUCAACUGAUCAUCGAUGCAAAGAUAAUUCAAUUACUCAUUAAUCGAUUGGAUAUAGUUGUCAUACACGCGAUAAACAACCAAUCUUUCCUUACUUUUUGAUAGUCAAGGUACGACCAUUAACUAUUUUCCUAACCAAGAAAUAACUUUAGAUACGACCAUAGAUUUUAAUUUCUCGAUUACAAUAAGAAUUAGAAAAACCCAACCCUAACCAAUAAAUACGCUACGAGGGUUUGUUUAAAUUAGAUCAUACGUUUUCCUAAUAUGAAACCAAUCACACUAGUCGUCACUAAUAUUAAUCAAUUGAACAAUUACGGAUUCAAUCACUUAAUCUGACAGUAGAUUAUUAGGUUAAUUCGAAUAUCUGGCACUUGACAUUCAAAUAAUAUAACAAUCGUAAGAAGUUAAAUCAGAAAACAUAUAAUACCAAUGAAUAAAAGAAAUAAGUAAAAUAAUUCGAUCUCACAAAUGUUUGGAACCGAGUCUUCAAGUUAACCUUUGACUAGAAAAGAAGAUUUAGCUACGCAUCCUCAAGGGAAAUCUGCAGGACUCCAUUGAUAACAAUUGCAUAUGAUUUUUCCUCUAAAACUAACGAAAAGGCCAAGAGAAGAGCCUCCAAGAAAAUGACGGCCGUGUGUUGUACUUCAAAAAAGUUCCUACCGAAUUUGUUGCUGGCCAACUCCUUAUCAUGCGAGAAUCUGGCUUUUUAUUCCUUGUUUCCUACUUAAGCUCAACUACUAAUAAUAAGAUAUGUUUCCCAAAAUAUAAAAAGGAAACUACUAAAAAUAAUAUUACAAGUUUUCUAAUCCAAUACUAAGACUAAUAAUGAAAAUUAAAAUCCUCAAAAUCUUCCUCCAAUACUGCCUAGAAUUUGAUUUGGACUUGGAAACCGAUUUCGAGUGUGCCACCAUCAAAUUGAUUGGAAAAUUACCCUUUUUUGUCAUAUUUUGCUCAUUUUCCUACAAUUAACACCAUUAACUAAAUAUAAGUAGAAACUGACAGUUAAAAUAAUAUUUGGCUAAAAUCAAGGGAAGAAUAAUUAUAAAUUUAGCAACAAAUUGUGACCUAUCAAUUUCCCCCACACCUAAACCAUACUUGUCCUUGAGUAUGAGAACAACAAAUCAAGCAAUCAAAUUCAAACAAUGAUUAUUACUCAAAUCUUCUAUUGCCAAGAUACAAUUAAAACGCAUGUCAAGCAUUAGUGAUUAAGUUUCAAGAAAUAUCUCUCCGGUUAUCUUUCAAAAUCAAAAAAAUUUUCAAUUUUCGACUAACUAAUCUAAGAAUAUAAAAUAUUCAACUAACAUUCGUCAGCAACCGAUUCAACUAUUAAGCAAAAUCUCAAUAUUAAACUCAUGGAUCAGUAGGCUAACAAUUCAUUCAAACACUUCAACAUUUUUCACUAUUAGCUCAAAAUUUUUUUAAAUAUCCCUAAACUUGAGCUUUCAUUUUUUUUUCUUCUCUCUUUUUUUUUUUUUGUAGGGGAAAGAUCUUAGUCCUUAGCCAUUCAAGUCUUUUGACGCAAACUCCUAUUAAAUGAAGGAGUCCGAUUACUCAACUUUUAUCACUAAAGGACCACAUACUCAUAGUUUUCGUCACUUUUUGACACAAAAGUUGACACUUGUGGUGAAGACUCUCGGUUACUAGGCAACGAUAUCUAGCGGAGUAUAGUUAAACAUGAUUCAAAUAAGCACCAAAAAUAAAAUUAAAAACCACACAAACCCGUUUCAUUUCUUAAAUAUGGAGAACUAAGAUUAAUAGUUGAACCAAUUUACAUGAAAAAUGCUAGAAAAGUAUUUACAAUCCUUAGAAAAGUUAAUCAAAAAUUGUAAAAAGUCACAAAAUCUCAAAUAUUUACCAAAGAGAUACCCUUAAAUUUAACCAUAUCAUAAUUAACACCUUUAGAGUAUAAAAUCGUAACAAUAGAAAAUUUUGAAACAUCUAAUCAUCGUUUAUCAUGAACAACCACAAAAAUGCAUAAGACAUGGUAAAAUUUGGAUAAAAUUUGACAAAUUCAAACAAAAAAUUCCAACAAAAAUGCCUACACUUGCACUUUUUCAAUAAACUACCAAUAUACUACUCCCCCCAUACCUAAAUCUUACUUUGUCUCUAAUGUAAGAAAUGAAAGAAAUAGAAUACGAAGCAAAAAGGAUAAUGAAACUUCUCUGGUAAUUGAGUAGGGUUGUGGACAGUUAUGAUGGAAGGGGCAUUGUGAAGUGAUAGCGAAUGAUCAGCAAUGGAUGGCGGUGGUGUCCUGUGACCCUUGGCGGUUGUGAAUGGUGGAAGCAAUCCGCGAUGAAUGAUGAACUAGCAAUGGAUGGCAAAAAUGAGUGGCGGCGGCCAGGGUUUUAAGUUGAGCGGCUCCACUUUACCCCAAACGAAGAUUAGAGAUGCCAAAUUAACGACAAAAUCAAAGAUGGCCAUGGAAAGUGGCCAAUGGCGGCAGCAUGGAAUUUGAGGUCCUAAGGUUGUGGUCUUGUGGCUGGAAAAGGAAAGAAUGGAAGAAAAAGGAAAGGGAGAGAAGAAGAAAAAAGGAAGAAAGAAGAAAGAAAGAGAAAGAGGAAGAGAAAAAGAAAAUGGAAAAAAAAAGGAAAGAAAGAAAGAAAGAGACAAGAGAGAGAGAGAGAGAGAGAAAAUUUUUAGAAUCAAUGCGUUAGACGUGGGCACGCCUAACUGCCCUCGAGUUUUCUGACCAACUCUCGAAAAUUAAGUUCCUUAAACGUGACCAUAUGAUGCGGGCACGCCUAACUAUUGAAGAGUCUUCUACCAUUGACGAAAAUUGCCUUCCUUAGGUGUGACCAUCUAGCGUGAGCAUGCCUAACUAGUAGGUAGUCUUCUGUCCGUCAAAUUAAAAAUUUUGUCCUUAGGCGUGACCACUAGAUGCAGGCACGCCCAACUACUAGCUUCCUGCAACAGAAGCAACAAAUCACUAAACGCAACUAACACUUAACAAAAACUCUAGAAACAUAAGAAAAUUAAAACACAUGACCAUGGGUUGCCUCCCAAGUAGCGUCUUUCUUUAAUGUCUUUGAUUAAAUAUUGCUAUGUUUAUUCAUGGGGGAUAAAAUCGUGUAAUUCAUUUCAAUGCUUCAUCUUCUAUCCCUCAUAAAUAGAGUAAUCCUUGAGCACACGAGCUACGGUCUUCCAUAGAUUAGUAGAUGGCGCCAAACAAACAAGUAAUGACCUUAAUUUUUCACUCACUCUUCUAUCACGAUCACUUAUUGGUUCGAGAUAUUUUGCCAUUAUAACUCUUAACUUAUUCCUGUCAUGAAAUUCAAAAUCUUCUGGUAUAAUAAAGUCAAUCUCACUAACAGGAAUUAAAGAAUAAGAGUCGGGAGAAUAUUGAUUAAGCAAUGGAGGAGAUGUCACCGUAUUUGGAGAUUGUUUACUAGAUGCAUUCACUUGAACAAUUUGAUAUUGGGGUCCCAUUUCUUAUACUUCAACUUCCUUUUCAACAGCAUCUUUAGAUCAUUCUUUUUAAAACUCUUGCAGUUCCAUGUUAUUAUCAAGAUAAUUACACUCUCAUCUUCUUUGAGGUCGAUGUUGGUUUGUGAGGGCAAUUUUUCACACAUUUGAGAAGUUAAUUGCAUUAUCCUAGAUAUCAAUUGAUUCACUUGAUCUGCCAGGUUAUAAAUGCUCGUUUGUGUCUCCUAAUGAAAUCUAUAUGUAUUAGCAGUUAAUAAUUUCAUUAUUUCCUCAAGAGACAUACCUGACAUGGAUGACGAUUCUUGAGACUCUUGUUGUUGAAAACCCAUUGGUCUGGUUGCAUAAUUAAAAUUGGAAUCAUCCCACCAUCCUUAAUCAUACCCGUUUGAAUAAGGGUCAUAUCACGUUCGAUAUUGAGGUGAAAAAUCUUCAAAAGUAUCGAUUGGAGUACUUAAGCCAGCUUGAAAUAGGGGGUAUAUUUCGGUUGAAUUAUCUGAGGUAAAAUAAUUUUCACAAUUUGUAACAACCAAUUGAUCAUUAGAAAAAGCAUGAGUCUCAUAACCCUUUCUAAAAAUAAAAUUUAGUCUAUCACCAGAAUACGGAAUACUAGCAGCUAUAAACUAUAUAUAUAUAAAAAAAAGAGAAAAAUAAAUAAAAAAUGAAAAACAAGAUGAACUAAAAAAGAAACAAAUUAAUCAGGUAUCAGUCCUCAGCAACGGCGCCACAAAUUGAUAGAUGUUGAGCCUGUACAAUAAUAAAAAUCUAACUACCACCAAAAGCAGUCAACAAUCAAUUCCAAGUAUUGGAGUAGGGACUCUGGAUGUGCAAUAGAUUACUUGAUUCACUCUGGUUCCGAAGAGUUUACUUAAUCUAAUAUACUAGAAUUGACUAGCUAACAGAAAAUUAUUAACUCCUAGACAGUGGCAAGUAGGUUCGAAUCCACCAGGACUGGGGAUAAUUCUUCGUUUCUUCUAAAGUUCAGAAUAAGGAGGAUUUUUAGAAAAUAUAAAAUAGCUAAUUAACCAACUAAUAAAACAACUAAUAGAAAUAAACAGAAAUUAAUUAGUAACCAAUACAACUCUAAUCAAAGGUGCAACUUUUCAAACACAGUCUAUUCAACUGAUCAUCGAUGCAAAAAUAAUUCAAUUACUCAUUAAUAAAUUAGUUAUAGUUGUCAUACACGCGAUAAACAACCAGUAUGUCCUUACUUCUUCGAUAGUCAAGGUACGACCAUUAACUACUUCCUUAACCAAGAAAUAACUUUAGGUAUGACUAUAGGAUUUAAUUUCUCGAUUACAAUAAGAAUUAGAAAAGCCCAACUUUAACCAACAAAUACGCUACGAGGGUUCGUUUAAGUUAGAUCAUACGUUUUUCUAACAUGAAACCAAUCACACUAGUCGCCACUAGUAUUAAUCAAUUGAACAAUUACGAAUUCAAUCACUUAAUCUGGCAGUAGAUUAUUAGGUUAAUUCGAAUAUCGAACAUUUGACAUUCAAAUAACAUAACAAUCAUAAGAAGUUAAAUCAGAAAACGUACAAAUACUAAUGAAUAAAAUAAAUAAGCAAAUAAUUCAAUCUCGCAGAUGUUUGGAUUCGCGUCUUCAAAUUAACCCUUGACUAGAAAAGAAGAUUUAGCUACGCAUCCUUAAGGGAAAUCUGCAGGACUCCAUUGAUAACAAUUGCAUAUGAUUUUUCCUCUAAAACUAACGAAAAGGCCAGGAGAAGAGCCCAAGCAAGUGACAGCCGUGUGUUGUACUUCAAAAAAGUUCCUACCGAAUUUAUUGCUGGCCAACUCCUAAUCACGAGGGAAUCUGGCUUUUUUAUUCCUUGUUUCCUACUUAACCUCAACUACUAAUAAUAAGAUAUGUUCCCCAAAAUAUAAAAAGGAAACUACUAAAAAUAAUAUUCUAAGUUUCCUAAUCCAAUACUAAUACUAAUAAUGAAAAUUAAAAUCUUCAAAAUCUUCCUCCAAUACUGCCUUGAAUUUGAUUCAGACUUGGAAAUCAGUUCUGAACGUGCCACCAUCAAAUUGAUUGGAAAAUUGUCCUUUUUUGUCACGUUUUGCUCCUUUUCCUACAAUUCGUACCAUUAACCAAAUAUAAGUAAAAUUUGGUAGUUAAAACAAUAUUUGGCUAAAAUCAAGGGAAUAAUAAUUAUAAAUUUUGUAAUAAAUUAUGACCUAUCAAAAUUAGAUACAUUUCAACAGGAAAAGAAAGUGUCUAGGUUCGAUAGUUUGGGGCAAUGUAGGAAUGGUUUGAAUGUUAGAGUGUACAGAGGGAGAAAGUAGAUGAAGAGGGAAACACAAGAGACGAGAACAAAUUGUUACCACCGCAAGAAGGCAUAAUCAAGCUCAAUACUGUUGCAACAGUAGAUACAAGGAAAGGCAAGGCUAACUGGGUGAGAAUAGAAAGACCCAGUCUUAUAGAGCUCUAGGGGAUAAAUUAUUUCACUAAAGUUUGAGACUUGAAAUAUUGGAACAUAGAAUGAGUAAACCAUAAUAAUGAGCUAAAAAAUGCUAAAAGGAUUCCAAAAGGUGCCUCAUCAGAGCCUAUAUAUCAACGUCUUUAUUGGCAAUCAAGAACCAAAGCUUACUAUGCCUUUCUCAUCCUCAAGUUUUUUUCUUUUUUUAUUUUUUUACCUCUUUAAUAUAAUUCUGGAAGUCUCUACAUUUUCAAUGCAAAGUUUUCCAUCUGCUAAAGGUAUAUUGCCACGGCAUGUUGAACUAAAAUGACUGUAAUGUCUUUCAUAAUAUAGAAAAACUGUUGACUGCCACUGAAACGUUUGGUCAUUAGGUGAAAUAUUGUUGUGGCACUAAAAUUGUUAGGGCUAAUCACUUUGUACUUUCCAACUUGUACCACUUAUGUACUUGUACCCUAAAUUUCAAUUUUGAACACUUUAUGCCAUAAACUAUCAAUUUUAAAUACUUUGCUCUAUAAAUUCUCAAGUUUUCAUCUCUCCUUCUCCAAUGCUCAUCUAGCAGGCAUUUUUGUUCUUCAUUGCAUUCAGAUUUUGCCAUCAAAGCACUCGACCAUGCCCCAAGUAAUAUUUCAGAAAGUAAUUCAAGAUGAGUAAUAUUUUAAGUUUGCACCAUAUUUGUACUCUCUAAAUUUCAUUAAAUUCUCUUUUUUAGUUGUCCUGCCUCAUUAAAUUUAAGAAAAUUCAUUUCUCAAUAUAGAUUAUCCUUUGAAAUUUUAUAUACUCCCCCUUAUUCUACAUUUACCCCCUAAAGACUCUUGAAUAUGACCUCAGGUUGUUAGCUCUUGAAUAUGACCUUCAUACAAAGGAGUUGUCAAAGGACCUGGGUCUAAUCUCCGAGGUCACUCUGACAAUCAAAUUAAUGUGGUUUCCGAGUUAUUGAUGUUUUUAGAAUAGGAGAAGUAGAGGGUUGAGUGAGUAUCAGAUGCUCUAAACUUUGGUAGUCUGUACUAGGAAUGAAAGAAUCAUGAAUGAAUCUUUUGGUGAUUAUCCCAUGAUCAUAUCAUGAGUUCCUGAUAAAAUUAUCCCAUGAUCAUAUCAUGAGUUCCUGAUAAAAUUAUCCCAUCUUUUGAAAUGUGAGCAAAGCAGUUAGUAUGUUUAGAUCAUUUGGCCUUUUUCAUAAAUACUAGCUGGAUUUAGUCAGGGUGCUCUAUUGACCAUGGCUUCAGUCAGUCCAUCUGAAUUGAAUCAUGUGUUGUGAUCACAAUCAAAAUCAAUGAAUUAUGCGAAAGUCAAAUAUGAAUUGGAAUUUAAUGCAUUUUUAACCCUUAAGGUUAAGCCAAAUUGGAUAUCCAUUGGGUUGAGCUUUUAGCUCCAAGAAAGGGUAUUCAAUUUGUUUACCGUAGUUAAUUUUGUCUAGGGAAUAAUGAAGAAUUGACCUUGAGCUGAUUCAUGCCUUACUUAUUGAGAUACCUAUUUAAUAAAUUCUUUUUUCUAAAGAGUGUUUUGGCACCUUUUCAUGCUUGAAGAUGCUUCAUUGCCAUCAUUUGAAUCCCAAAACCUAUAAGAAUGUGCCUGAUCACUAUGUGUCCAUUAGAGAAAUAUUCUUUCUAUAAAAUAAACAAAACUCUUCAGAAUAUUUGUCAUCUCACUUUCUUUAAAUCUUAUUCUAUCAUAGAGGUAAUUUGCCUUAACCUAUUAGCAAAUAUUUUGUUGUAGUGGAGGCAAAUAACAUGUUAAGAAUAGUGUCAAAUACACUUCAAGAUCACCGUCUUCAACUUCACUUUCUUCGAUAACUUUGUGUUAGUCAAAAGAUUUAGUACUUUGCCUACUAAUUACAUCAACAGCAAAUCAAAGAGCAAUCGAGCGCCAUUUCUCAAGGGUAUUAUUAUUGUUACAUUCAUUCAACUCUUCCGCAUCUGAAAAAGCUAGCUGCUUAGGGCAUUACUAAUUUCUUUUUCUAAUUUUCUUUUGAUUUUUAGUAUCAAUUGGGAAUUGAUUUUUGCAAUAGUUGUGGGUGAUUGUUUCUCCAGGCAAGUUGGUUAGAUAUAGAAAUUACUUGUUCUUGUUAUUAGCGAAACCAAAAUCUUAAAUAAGUAUAUAUUAUAUCUACGGACAUAUUUUAGUUAUAUAGGUACAACUAUUUUAUUUCAUCAAAGGAAAUUGGAAACAAUGUGGAAGAAGGAAGUUGCCAUUCAUAAUUAACCUUGUAGUUACUUUCCAUAAAAGAAAUGGCCGGUUCAUGGUUAUUUCCUUUCUGUCAAACCUUUCCUUAUUUUCACGUUCUUCCAACUCCUAUAUAUAUACAUAUAUACAUACCGUGUUUAAGAGUAUAUCCCAAAGAAUUCAGAAGAAAUUAAGCCAUGGAUUCUGUCAUGCAACUUGUCUUCCUAAGCUUUGCUGCCCUCUUCAUCUGUGGUAAGUAUCUGCGCCAUAUUACACGAGUACUUUAUGUAUGCAUGAUUUGUGGGUACAACGGAUUUUUGUGAAUGCAAGAAUGUAAAAACGUCCCAAGGAAAAACCCAAAAAAAAAAAAAUGCAAAGAUUUUUGUAGCAUUAUUGUUUAAAAAUUAUAUCAAGAGAACUAAAUUCAAACAUAUAAACUAUUGCCCUUAUCAAUAUAAACUGAAUGUUUUUGUAGCAUUGGUAAUGAUGUAGCAUUAGUUUGUGUAGAAAAAUUGUACUUUUGUUAUUACGAUUAGGGGAGAAGCUUCUGCGUUAACCAUAAAUUUCUUUAUUUCUUUAGAGAUCAUACUUGUGGAAGAAGAAUGCUUCUUUUUUUUUUUUUACUUUUUUUAAUCAAGGGAGAGAUGGAAUAUAAGAAGCGAGGAGGUAGGACAAGGAGUGGGAGAAGAAUGCUUACUUAUAUCUAUAGAUGUAUAAUUCAUUCAAUAAUAUCUCUCUUCCUAGAUUUUAAAUACAGUUGCCCCGACAUGUCAUAUGCAAGCUUAGUACUUUAAUCACUAUAAUAUUUUGAAAUUUUGACAUAUUAAAUCUUUAUUAUGUUUAAAAUUAUGUUAAAAAUUUACAAGUCUAAGAAUACGCUGGCAUUUUGAGUAGAGUUAUCGCUUAGUAAAAAAGGUACACUUUACUGUAUAUUUUUUGGUUUUGGGUUGGGGGGGGGGCGGCGGGCGUUAUAUGUGUUGCAUAUUCACUGCACUUUUAUUCUCUUCAAAUAAUAAUAAUAAUAAUAAUAAAGUCUCAGUUGAGAUGGAAGUGAAUAUUUUACACCAGCUGUGUUAGAACAGAUAAGCUGGAUAUGUUAAGUGUUUCAUGCUUUCUUUGUCAUGACCUAAUAUUAAGAGAUUCCCUAACAUUAUACUGCAGGUGUUCAGUCAGUUCAAUUCACCUUCACAAACAACUGCCCCUACACAAUAUGGCCAGCAACCGUAUCUGGUGGAGGGGUAGCACAACUGCCCACAACUGGAUUCGAGUUACCCUCCAAGUCAUCAGUCUCCAUAGAAGUACCAGCACAAUGGUCAGGGCGUAUUUGGGCAAGAUCGUUUUGCUCUAACGACAACUCAGGUAAAUUUUUCUGCAAAACAGCAGACUGUGGAUCAGGUGAAGUUUCAUGCAAUGGUGCAGGUGCAAUUCCACCGGCAAGUCUGGCAGAAUUCACAUUGGCAGCAAACAAUGGGAUGGACUUUUAUGAUGUUAGUCUUGUUGAUGGCUUCAAUUUGCCGCUUUCGAUCACCCCACAAUCUGGCUCUGGAAGCAACUGUAGAAGCACUUCUUGUCCUGUUGAUUUGAACGCAAUCUGCCCUCAAGAAUUGGCAAUAAGAGAUGAUUCUGGGGGAGCUAUUAUUGGCUGCAAAAGUGCAUGCUUGGCUUUUAAUCAACCACAGUUUUGCUGCACAGGAGAGUUUGGAUCCCCACAAACUUGUCCACCCACAAUUUUUUCAUCAUACUUCAAGAACCAGUGUCCACAGGCUUAUAGUUAUGCAUAUGAUGAUCUAACCAGCACUUUUACUUGCACCGGUGGACCAGACUACCUUAUUACCUUUUGUUCUUGAGGGACUAGACUAGGAUUUUUGGGGUCUUGCUUAGAUCUUCUGUUAUUACUUAUUCGACCUGUUUCAAAUGAUUAGUUGCUAAAAUGUUAUAAUGCGAUUAGAUAAGGGAACAAUGUUGUCAUUUGAGUUGGACCUUUUACCUUAAUCAGACUUGUUUUGCAUUUAUUAUUUAUUCAUUGUUUUGCCUUUCUUUUGCUGCAAACACUUCUCAAUGAUGGUGUACUUGAUAAGUAUAUCAAGGCUAUUGCCAUUUCAUCUUGCACCAAGUACUUUUUCAUACAACUUCUUUCUGAAGUUUUAGCAACAAAAAGAGUUCAUUUAUCUUUGGAAAUAAGGCCGUUGUCAUGUACAGCAGCCACUCCACCAAGAAAUUUGAUUAUUGCUGUUAAAAUUCGGGCUCAGAAAAUAUCUGAACUAGUGAUGGGAAACUACAGAUCGAGAACAAUGCCCCUGAAUGUAUAGCAGGAUAAGUAAAGGUGAAAGGCACAAAACUACAAAUCACAAAUAUCACUAUCUGUCUGGUUACUAAAUACUGCUAUCUGUUGAUUGGCAGACAGAAAAUUUUAUUCAUCUUUAUAUCCUGAUGGUCGAAAGGAGAAAGAGUCAUCCAUAGAUCUGUGGGAUAUGUUUUCAUUCCCAAACGAACGUACAAAUGAUCUCCCUAUUUAUGAAGAAGCACAAGGGUAUCUGCAUCAUUUUGCACAAGGAGCAAUACCAGUCCAAGCAUGACUUUUUUGUUUUCAAGGCCAGAAAACAAACAGGAAGAAAUGUUGAGAAAUAUGUCUGAACAUAUUCAAAUCAAAGUAUCGGAGAAAAGUGAACUAGCAAGAAUUCAAGAAAAAUAAGAUUGAAGAUAACAGCUUUGCGCAGCAUCACUAAUCCAAUAUUCUGCUUGGUUAGUUGUCAGACACAGUAAUAUAUAUCUCAUGUUGAAGUUUCAUCCAUGCAUAAUUGCACAUGGGGUAAAUAAUAUGCGAUCUUUUUCCAGAGGGGAUAUUCCAGAUAAAAUCACAGAAGUGAUAUUUUAUCCUUAGAAAGCAUAUAAUUUUCUUUAAAGAUGCUACUAAUCGGCUUUAAACAAUAUAAUCUUUUCUGCUAGGGACACCAAGGUUAGAAAUUCUACUAUCAGAAGGAUGAGAAGUUGAGAAUCCAAUAACCACACUAUUGCAUAGCACCUACAGAAUCGACCGUUACCCCUAGAAAGAACUGAUGUUAGUACCAUAACAAUUCCUCCCGUCUCCAAGAACUGAUCUCAUUGAACUUUACAACCAACGAGAUUUCUUAGUCGUUCAAUCAAUCAGCAAUUUCUUUUACUUAGCUUCUCACAGAUAAGGCUUGUAUUACAUCGAGAAGCAAAGCGCUCAAGCUUGCAAAUGAAAGAUGAGAUUUCUUAAUCACAGUCAAAAGUUAACUGCUCGAGGCAUUAAUUAAAGGAGGAGUGGAAGAAUGCAGCAUGUGCUGCAUGAACUUCAGCAAUAUAAAGAACAUAAGAAAGUGCAUCUGCUUGGACAUGCACAUGUCCAGGUUGAAUGUACCAAAACAUAUUGUAGAGUUCAAUUCAGUGCAAGAAAUAUGGAGCUAGAUUAAGAAACUACUUACUUCACAUGGAUAUUAGAAACAAGGUCAAUAUACCCUUGUAGGGGCAGCAAUUUGAUUCCGCCUCCAAGUCCUGUUUUGAGGACUACAGAGAAGUAAAAAUUUCUCUUAUGGUUACAGAGUGGAAUGUUAAACCUCACCAUAAUCAUAGAGUCCAUUAACGCCUCUGCAGAUAUAGCGCAUUAGUAACAGCACAACUUCAAAGAGCAAGUAGUAUUUGUUAUCGAUUAUCCCACUGCAAAUUAGUAACACACGUGGAAAGUGUCAAGUGAUUGAAUAGGACACAGGGUCCCUGGAUUACAUACUAAUUGUUUUUACAAGGAGUAGCACAUAUGACUAGUGAUGAAGCAUGUUGGAGAACCAUUCCAAGUUCCAUGGUGUUUCAAAAAGGUUUCCGGGGGGUCCCUAGCAGACAAUAGGUUUUCUUUUUUUGCUACAACUUUUAAUUUUAAAUUUACAUUUAAAAUAAAGGAAAAGUGUCAGAUUCAUUUCACCUUGCACAGAUCCUCACCCUCCCCCAAUCACACACAGAAUUUCCAGCAAAAUCUUUGUCCAUUGUAUCCUGACAAUCAUUUGCUUCUCCCACAUCAUUGAGUCACUUUUUUCUUCACUGUUUUACUUUGCAGCCAUCACUAGACAAUUUUCAGCUCUGUCUUACAACCCCCCCCCCCAAACCUCUCUCUCUCUCUCUGACAUUUUUUAUGACAAUGUCACAUGAUUCUACCCAAAUGCCUGUCCAAUUUUUACAUCACAAUUAUCGAUUCACAUCCAAAAGAUUUCACUCAUUAAAAAAGUCCUAACUAAUUCACCAGCAUUUUGGAUUCUAAAAGAACUUAUAGGUAACUGUUUCCAAACAAUCGAUUAAGCUCAAGCCAAGUCAUGUAAAUGUCUGAGAGCUUUUUCCCUAGGUACCUGGGGCCGCAAGCAUGAAGAUAGUUUCUUCUCAUGCUUUAGCAACUGACAAAAAUUGGAAUAGUCAUGCCAGUUUGAAUGCAAAGAUAGCCAGCAAGAAUGGCUCAACUGAUAUUAGACAGUUACUUUGCAAGAACAUCAACCUGUUCAAUAAACUUGGAUAUACUGAAAACUAACACCAGCUUACUAUGAGAAUUGUUGCCAAACGAAAACAAUAAACAGAUUUGAUAUGUUGCCAACUACCAUAAUUAAAAUAACAGGCAAGUUUCCUUCAAAAGCUACUUUGACUGUUUGGAGCAGGAACCAAGAUUGAGGUAUUGCAAUUAAUACCUUAGUUGAACUGCUUCCUGAUAGCCUGAACUCAUUCUUUGCCAGAGUUGAUGGCACUGGAAUAAUCAGAUUAUCAGAGGCAACUAAAGUCCCCCACAACCCAUAUCCAAAUUCUCUGCUCCACUUUCCUUAGAAGCAUUUAAACUCAUAUUCAAACGAAAUAUCGAUGUAAAAAAGCUCUAAAUGAAGAAAGUGCAGGAAUAUUUUACUCUUAUGCAGGUUCAUUUUACAAAGAAGAUGAGCUCACUCUGAACGAGCAAGAACCAUUCAUCAGUCCAAAAGUUGCUACCAUCAUCAUUUCGGGUUGCGGUGUUUGCGACUGGCUUUGAUGCAUAUUAAACAUAGUUUGAAACCAAGAUGUAAAAAUGAUCUAAAUGAAGAAAGUGCAGGGACAUUUUACUCUUAUGCAGGUUCAUUUUACAAAGAAGAUGAGCUCACUCUGAACGAGCAAGAACCAUUCAUCAGUCCAAAAGUUGCUACCAUCAUCAUUUCGGGUUGCGGUGUUUGCGACUGGCUUUGAUGCAUAUUAAACAUAGUUUGUAACCAAUUGAGCAGUACCGUACAAUAGACACAUUUUGCUGUAACCAGCAGGAAAGUUUUUGACCAGCAAAUACUCAAAUAAAAAAAACCUGAACAAAAUGUAAAUAAAAUAUCAAAAUUAAAAAUAUCUUGCUGUGUUUCAUGCUUUCUUUGUUAUGACCUAAUAUUAAGAGAUUCCCUCACAUUAUACUGCAGGUGUUCAGUCAGUUCAAUUCACCUUCACAAACAACUGCCCCUAUGCAAUAUGGCCAGCAAACCUAUCUGGUGGAGGGGUAGCACAACUGCCCACAACUGGAUUCGAAUUACCCUCCAAGUCAUCAGUCUCCACUCUCCAUAGAAGUACCAGCACAAUGGGUAGGGCGUAUUUGGGCAAGAUCAUUUUGCUCUAACGACAACUCGGGGAAAUUUUUCUGCAAAACAGCGGACUGUGGAUCAGGUGAAGUUUCAUGCAAUGGUGCAGCUGCAAUUCCACCAGCAAGUUUGGCAGAAUUCACAUUGGCAGCAGACAAUGGGAUGGAUUUUUAUGAUGUUAGUCUUGUUGAUGGCUUCAAUUUGCCGCUUUCGAUCACCCCACAAUCUGGCUCUGGAAGCAACUGCACAAGCACUUCUUGUCCUGUUGAUUUGAAUGCAAUCUGCCCUCAAGAAUUGGCAAUAAGAGAUGAUUCUGGGGGAGCUACUAUUGGCUGCAAAAGUGCAUGUUUGGCUUUUAAUCAACCACAGUUUUGCUGCACAGGAGAGUUUGGAUCCCCACAAACUUGUCCACCCACAAUUUUUUCAUCAUACUUCAAGAACCAGUGUCGUCAGUCUUAUAGUUAUGCAUAUGAUGAUCUAACCAGCACUUUUACUUGCACUGGUGGACCAAACUACCUUAUUACCUUUUGUCCUUGCGAGACUAGACUAGGAUUUUGGGGUCUUGCUUAGAUGGUUCGUUAUUACUUAUGUGACCCGUUUCAAAUAAUUAUUUGCUAAAUAUACAAUAACGUAGAUAUUGCCACAGUUCCAGAACCAUCAGUUUCGAUUUAAUAACUGACGAUUCAAGUUCUUCUAAAAUAUAGGUAGAAGCUAAACCAGUCCUUAUAAGGAUGGUUAUAAUUACGGUUCUUGAACUUAUAGUUCUGGUUUCUUCCGAUUACAGUUCAGUUCUUUUAAUUAUGUUUAAAUACUUGUUGUUAUAAAAAAUGAACAUUAUGCAAGGAAAAAAGAAAAAAAUGAUACAAAUUUUAUGAAAAAAAUAUCUCAUUGUUGAUUAGAUUAAAUUAGAUUGAUCUUAGAUUUAGAUUAGUCAUGGAGUAUAGAUUUAGUAAUAGAAUGGGACAAUGGGUUGUUGGACUAGGUUUGGAGAUGCUUGUAUAAUGGUAUUAGAAGCUGACUAUUGAUGUUGAACUCUAUACUGCCAAAUAGGUUCAAGUAGCAAAUAUGUUUUUAGACGGUUUAAACGAGUUGCAAACCGCCGAUUUUGAUUCUGGUUCAAAAUUUUGGUGAACAUGAAUUUGAACCUCUAGUUACAAUUAUGAUUUUGGUUCCGAUUUCCAAAAUCCAGUUAAACAAACCGCCAGGUUAGUUCCGAUUCAUAUCUGAACCAUAGCGACCCCUACUAUAAUGCAAUUAGAAAGGGGAACAACGUUGUCAUUUGAGUUGGACCUUUUACCUUAGUCCAACCAUUUUUAGUUCUAAAUUCGGUGUAGGCUAUUUAAAAUAUGCAAGUAAUUUGGUCAAUCAGACUUGUUUUGCAUUUAUUAGUUAUUUAUUGUUUUGCAUUUUGUUUUUCUUUUGCAGCAAAUACUUCUCAAUAAUGGUGUACUUCAUAGGCUAUUGACAUUUCAUCUUGCACCAAGCACUUUUUCAUGCAACUUCUUUCUUAAGUUUUAGCAACAAAAGAGUUCAUUUACUUUAGGAAAUAAGGCCGUUGUCAUGUACAGCAGCAGCCACUCUUCCAAGAGUUUUUAUUACUGCUGUUAAAAUUCAGGCUCAGAAAAUAACUGAACUAGUGAUGGGAAACUAUAGAUCAAGAAUAAUGCCUUGCGUGGAUAACAGGAUAAGUGAAGGUGAAAGGCACGGACCAGGAACGGUUAAUUAUUUACAUUUUGCACAACGCGUAACUUUAUUUUCACAAGGCGUAACUUUGUUUGCACAACGUGUAACUUUAAAACAAAUUUUUACGAGCCACACACACGUUAUUAAAAACGACGUACAAGAAGUGAUUAAGACCAUACAAAUUUUUGAGGCCAAAUCUUGGCCAUGAACAGCUCAGGAACGGUCCGUCCACCUGAUGAUCGUCCCUACCCCGUAUCCGAAAGGCACAGACUACAAAUCACAAAGAAAAUAUUAUAAAGGUUAAUAUCUCCAUCUGUGGGGUUGCUAAAUACUACUAUUCGUUGGCAGACAAAAUUUUAUUCAUCUUUUCCAAAGAUCUGGUUGCUAAAUACUACUAUACGUUGAUUGGUAGAAAGAAGAAAGAGUCAUCCAAAGAUCUGGGGGACAUGUUUUCAUUACCAAACAAACAUACAAAAGGUCUCCCUACUUAUGGAAAAGUACAUGGAUAUCUGCAUCAUUUUGCAAAAGGAACAAUACCAGUCCAUGCAUGACUUUUUGUAUUCAAGCUGGAAAAGAUACAAGAUAAAACGUUGAGAAAUACAUCAGGACACAUUCAAACCAAAGCAUUGGAGAAAAUUGAACUAGUAAGAACUCCAGAAAAAUUAAGGUUGAAGAUAACAGCUUUGUGCAGUAUCACCCAUCAGUCUUAUUCUAGGUUAAUUGUCAGACACAGUAUUAUGUCUCAUGUUGAAGUUUCAUCCAUGCAUAUGGGGUAAAUAAUAUGCGACUUUUUGUCAGAGGGGAUAUUCUGGAUAAAAUCGUGGAAGUGACAUUUUAUCCUGGAAAGCAUAUAAUUUUCUUCAAAGAUUCUACUAAUCAGCUUUAAACAUUAUAGUCUUUUUGCUAGGGACACCAAGAUUAGAAAUUCUACUAUCAGAAGGAUAAGAGGUUGAGAAUCCUAUACCCACAAUACAGCAAAGCACCAAAAGAAUUGACUGUUACCCCUAAAAAGAACUGAUGUUAGUACCAUAGCAAUUGCUCCCAUCUCCAAGAAUCGAUCUCAUUGAACUUUAAAACCAAAGAGAUCUCUUAGUAGUUCGAUCAAUCAGCAAUUUCUUUUACUUGGCUCCUCAUGGAUAAGGCUCGUCUUACAUCGAGAAGCUAAGUGCUCAAGCUUGCAAAUGAAAGAUGAGAUUUCUUAAUCCCAGUUUUGAGGAGUUAAUUAUCCACCAAACAUGAAUCAUAAAGACGCAUUUUCAGGCUUUUUCCAUAAGCAGCAAUAAGCAAUGCCUCUGCUCGACCUACAAAAGAAUAUUUAACUGCAUCAGUAGCAUUUUAAUCUGUUCUAGCAUGGUCAUUUGCAAUUUUCUUAAGCAAGAGCUUGUAGUCACAAUCAUUAGUAAUUAACGAAACCAACGAAGUAAAUAGUUGCAUCAUUUGGUUCAAGAAAGAUGGUAAACAACAAGGAGAAAUUUUGAUUACACUCUGGUAGAGGACAUCCCUGGGCCUCCUGGCCUUCCUAAACCACUUCCGAGUACUCUCUUAUACAGACUAGUUGAUUAAGAUGGACGAACAAUUGGCUAAGGAAGGUUUGGAUAUCAUAAGAAAUAAACAAAUAAAAGGUAUUGCAAUGCUAUGGGACCUCAGAUUCUUGCAAGUAGCUCUUAUAUUUUGUAGACAAUGUGGAAAUAAUAGUGCAUAAGAAGUUAACUAAAGGUCACCUAUCGUGUUCUCUUUGUGCCAACUUCCACACCUUAAAAAGAACACGAAGAAACUAUGCGAAAAGAAGACUCGGAAUGAAUAGGAUAUUUUUGCAUCAAUGGGUGAAAAAGAAAAGCUGGUCAAGAUCCUAAUAAGGACCUCGACCUUGCAAACCGGCCAACAUUCUAGGUGGCUUUAAUAGAUAACUGGGUGAAUCAAUGCUGGUUUCAUCUGGAACAAGAAGGGUAAAAAAUACUAUGACUCAAGUCUGUAGAGCAGGCAUUCAAGUAUCCCUGCCCUACUUUGACUUUCUAUCCCCCCAAAUAAACAGACCAAAAGAUGAAAACUACAUAUUUUAUUCUCAGUGAAGAUGAAAACAAAGAACACAAUUGAGGAGUACACUAACCAUGAUCUUUCUUCCUCUUUAACUGAGAACUCAAAGAGGGAAACAUCAUGGACGCAGCUUCCCUGCUAUCAUCCUGCCAAUAUUUUUAAUAUCAGGAGAAUGAAAAUAUAAAAUUCCAAAUCUCGCAUAGGUUGUACUAAAGGAGACUGAAUAAAGCAGUCAAAAGAAGGAAGUCAUAAAGAUGGCAUGCAGCAGUCAAAAAUUAACUUCUUUGAGGCAUUAAUUAAAGAAAGAGUGGAAGGAUGCAGCAUAUGCAGCACAAACUGCAGUACUAGAAGAAUGCAGUAUAUGCUGCAUGAACUUCAGUAACAUAGAGAACAUAAGAAAGUGCAUCUGCUUGGCCAUCCACAUGUCCAGGUUGAAUGUAUCAGAAAAUAUUAUAGAGUUCAAUUCAGUGCCAAGAAAUAUGGAGGAACUAGAUUAAGAAACUAACUACUUCACAUGGACAUUGGAAACUAGGUCAAUAUACCCUUGUAGUGGCAACAAUUUGAUUCUCCUUCUAAAUCCUACUUGGAGGACUACAGAGAAGUACAAAUUUAUCCUAUGCUGAGACAAAGCCAAAUCUAGAAUAAACCAAAAAAAAAAAAAUCCCAAACCAUAAAACUAGGUAAGCCAUCACAUUUGAUAUGCUAUUCAUGCCCCUAAGAAAUCUCUUGUACAUGUAAAUGAAAACAUGACAUCAGUGCUAAACAUGUACUAGCUGUCACAUUUGGUUAGAGUUGAAGUGAAACCUCAACUUCUCAACUUCUUGCAACCUCAGCAUAAUCACAGAGCCCAUUAAAACCUCUGCAGAUAUAGCGCAUCAUUAAUAGCACUACUUGAACAAGCAAGUAUUUCUUAACUAUUAUCCCACUGAAGUUAACCAUUCCAAGUUCCAUAGUGUUUCAAAAAAGUUUCCUUGGAUUGAAUUGACAUGUAGGCGUCCAUCCCAACAGGUAUAGGAUCAUUUCAAGACCCAGCCCUCAACCUAAGAUUACAGCUUCAAAAUUGCCUCAUUAUUGUCAGACUAGAAUUCCAGAAACUUAACUUCAUCCCGACUAAUAGUUUUGACCGACCACAAGUUCAAUAAUUUUUUCUAACAUUGUACUUGAAAGCUACUUGCACAAAAGGGGGUAAAAUACAAUUGUAUGAAAAUAUGAUAGGAUAAGUACAUUAGAAGUGCAGUUUAGAAGUUGAGAAAGUCUAUAAAGGAUAGCUUUAUCUAAAACGUGUGGGUCCCUAGCAGAAAAUAGGUUUUUUUUUUUUGUUCCUACAACUUCUAAUACUAAAUUUACAUUUAAAACAAAGUAAAAGUGCCAGACUUCACCUUGCAUAGAUCCUCACCCUCCCCCAUCACACAGAAUUUCCAGCCAACACCAUCAUAUUCAGAUGUUUAUCAUUCCAUUCACCAUCUUUGUCCAUUGUUUCCUGACCUCAUUUGCUUUCUCCACAUGACUGAGUCACUUUUACUUCACCCGUUUACUUCUGCAGCCAUAACUAGACAAUUUUGAGCUCUCUCUCUGUCUCUCAUAGAAAUUUUUUAUGACAAUGUCAAAAAUCCGAAUAGUCUUGCCAAGUUUGAAUGCAAAGAUAGCCAGCAUGAAUGGCUCAAAUGAUAUUAGACACUUUACCGUGCAAGAACAUCAACGAGUUCAGUAAAUUUGACAAAUGAAAACAAUAAACAGAUUUGCCAUGUUGCCAACUACCAAUAAUUAAACUAAUACGCAAGUUUCCUUCAAAAGCUUCUUUGACUGUUUGGAGCAAGGAAGCAAGAUUGAGGUAUUGCAAUUAAUACCUUAGUUGAACUGCUUCCUGACAGCCUGAACUCAUUCUUCCACACAGCUGAUGGCACUGGAAUAACAGAAAACCCAGAGGCAACCAAAAUCCCAAUCCACAGUCCAUAUCCAAAUCCUCCGCUCCACCAUCCCUAGAAGCAUUAAAACUUAUAUUCAAAUGAAUUAUCGAUGGAAAAAAAAGCUCUGAAUGAAGAAAGUGCAGGAACUGAUAUAUGAACACUAGUGUAUAUAUACUGUCCCCGGAAGAAGACGGACAUUUUCAUAGAGAACAGUAAAAGUACUGAUAACAAAAUUGAAAGUUAAACUACUUGCAGAGAAACCAGUCCACAUUGAGACAGGAAUGGUUGACUGUCCAGUCAAGAAUUUAAAAAGUCUAGACUUAAUUGUCACACAGAAAUUCCAAUGUGCAAUCAAACUUCACAUUAAACAUCCGAAAUAUACGUGGCAGAAUUAUGCUGAGCAGUUGAAAUCUUUAUAUCCUUAAACAUUAGCUUGACAUAUAAUGGUUCACUUCAGUUCCAAAAAGAGGCCACAACUUCCAUUGUUACUGAGGAAGCCUUUAUGCAGACAAUAUGUCUAACGUUAUCAUACAUUAACUUCAACUUAUCAAAUCAUAGCAAGACAUUAAGGAUUCCAUAUUUGCAGUCCUUUCUUUUAAAAAAAAUAAGAUGUAUAUGAAGAAAAGAACAGAAGUAGACAUGUAUAUACACAUGACUGACUUCUAACAAGAGGAGAACCUUUUCAAACUCCUAUCUAUUUAGCCUGAUUAUUGCUAAUUUAGUUAAACAUGCAAACCAUUUCUCAAUUGAAACACCCAAUCUGAUUUAAUACUAUUUUAAGUACAGUCCUCUUCCUUGUUCUUAGAUAUGGCUUUUCAGAUGACUUCAUGAAAAUUCCUCACUCACAAUCAUAAAAUAGCAUUCUAAACAGAGGAUUCUUUUCCCAGACUCCCCAAAUAAGAUGGCUAUUUAAAGGCAGCAGCAGCACAUCAAAGAUGCAGGUUCAUUCUACAAAGAAGAUGAGCAUACUCCAAAAGCGUAAGAACCAUUCAUCAGUCAAAAAAUAGCUACCUUCAUCAUUCCCGGUUGCAAUGUUUGUGGCCGGUUUGGAGGCAUGUUAAACAUAGUUUGUGGCCCACUGGAGCAGUACCAUACAAUAGACAUAUUUUGGUAUAGCCAGCAGAAAAUUUUUUGACCAGCAAAUAGUCAAAUAAUAAAAACGUUAUCAGACAAUGGCCACAACUUCCAUUGUUACUGAGGAAGCCUUUAUGCAGACAAUAUGUCUAACGUUAUCAUACAUUAACUUCAACUUAUCAAAUCAUAGCAAGACAUUAAGGAUUCCAUAUUUGCAGUCCUUUCUUUUAAAAAAAAUAAGAUGUAUAUGAAGAAAAGAACAGAAGUAGACAUGUAUAUACACAUGACUGACUUCUAACAAGAGGAGAACCUUUUCAAACUCCUAUCUAUUUAGCCUGAUUAUUGCUAAUUUAGUUAAACAUGCAAACCAUUUCUCAAUUGAAACACCCAAUCUGAUUUAAUACUAUUUUAAGUACAGUCCUCUUCCUUGUUCUUAGAUAUGGCUUUUCAGAUGACUUCAUGAAAAUUCCUCACUCACAAUCAUAAAAUAGCAUUCUAAACAGAGGAUUCUUUUCCCAGACUCCCCAAAUAAGAUGGCUAUUUAAAGGCAGCAGCAGCACAUCAAAGAUGCAGGUUCAUUCUACAAAGAAGAUGAGCAUACUCCAAAAGCGUAAGAACCAUUCAUCAGUCAAAAAAUAGCUACCUUCAUCAUUCCCGGUUGCAAUGUUUGUGGCCGGUUUGGAGGCAUGUUAAACAUAGUUUGUGGCCCACUGGAGCAGUACCAUACAAUAGACAUAUUUUGGUAUAGCCAGCAGAAAAUUUUUUGACCAGCAAAUAGUCAAAUAAUAAAAACGUUAUCAGACAAUGGCCACAACUUCCAUUGUUACUGAGGAAGCCUUUAUGCAGACAAUAUGUCUAACGUUAUCAUACAUUAACUUCAACUUAUCAAAUCAUAGCAAGACAUUAAGGAUUCCAUAUUUGCAGUCCUUUCUUUUAAAAAAAAUAAGAUGUAUAUGAAGAAAAGAACAGAAGUAGACAUGUAUAUACACAUGACUGACUUCUAACAAGAGGAGAACCUUUUCAAACUCCUAUCUAUUUAGCCUGAUUAUUGCUAAUUUAGUUAAACAUGCAAACCAUUUCUCAAUUGAAACACCCAAUCUGAUUUAAUACUAUUUUAAGUACAGUCCUCUUCCUUGUUCUUAGAUAUGGCUUUUCAGAUGACUUCAUGAAAAUUCCUCACUCACAAUCAUAAAAUAGCAUUCUAAACAGAGGAUUCUUUUCCCAGACUCCCCAAAUAAGAUGGCUAUUUAAAGGCAGCAGCAGCACAUCAAAGAUGCAGGUUCAUUCUACAAAGAAGAUGAGCAUACUCCAAAAGCGUAAGAACCAUUCAUCAGUCAAAAAAUAGCUACCUUCAUCAUUCCCGUUUGCAAUGUUUGUGGCCGGUUUGGAGGCAUGUUAAACAUAGUUUGUGGCCCACUGGAGCAGUACCAUACAAUAGACAUAUUUUGGUAUAGCCAGCAGAAAAUUUUUUGACCAGCAAAUAGUCAAAUAAUAAAAACCUAAAUAAAAUGUAAAUAAAAUAUCAAAAUGAUAUUGUAUACUCCACAUAUAUGGCUAUGCUGAAACAUACAAGUGCUAUCAAACCAUGUAACAUGCCUUUUCUGAACCUUCAAACCGUUUGAAACCAUAAUCAAUACAUUUUAUUAAUUGUAUAACAAUAAAAAUAUUUUAGAAUCUCACUGCAUUUGGGUACAGAUGAUGUUAAUAAAUAAGUGUAUCACCACAUUAAGAUAAAAGUACACAAGACAGCAAAAACAUAAAUCAUUUUUGAAGCCAUGAGAGUUGUCAGAAGGACAAUUAGACAAACUUGUCAGCAUCUAAACAAGGAAUUUAAAAUAUGAAUAAUGGUCUCAGAUGGUAACAUCUUUUUUACAGGAAAGAACAUAUCUUGCUGUUGGUAGUAUUUGCUAACCUGCUUACCAUCUUUUGGGUAUGGAAUUGAUUGCUCUAUAUAGGCAGUAGUUCCUGAAAUAGGAGACUUGGCUUAGAGAGAUGUCUUUCCAGCUAAUAAGUAAAUAAAUUUGACACAGGAAAACAAAUUAUUACAAAAAUGCCACAACACAGUAUCUAGCUAUAUAGCAGAUAAAGCAGAAACAUAAGAAAACUGAUCAUUUCAGAAACUACUGCACAAAUGAAAACCUGAAAAGCUUUGGAACAGACAAAUAUACGUACCCAUUGGAGCAUUAAAACUAUUAAGCAACUGUACAAUAGACUUUGUGUCUAAACGCUUCCGCAAUCUCCUGCCAAUUGGUACUUUCAAGUGAGGGGAAUCAAAAACCUAGAGUUUUGCAGAAAGAAAACAGAAGACUGUAUAAGUGGUGAAGGAUCAUGUGGUUGAUAUCCCAAAGAAUCAAAGAAUGCUCAUUUACCAAUCCCACUCAUCUGACUUCCCAAAAAAACAGAAGGAUACAUACAGAGGUUAAGGAAAGGGUGAUAAUUCAAAACAUUGGAAAGAAGCAUUUUUAACUUCGCUGCAAAUGGGAGAAGAAAAAGAAGAUUAUAAACAAGCUGGAUAACAUGGGAAAAAAAUGAGUCUAUUAACCCCUUAGGCAGCAGAAAGUCGUAAUUAAAGCUCUUCCAAUUCCCAGACUUCCAUCAGUGUAGAACUCAUUUCAAUGCCAAAAAGUGAUUGACUAGAUUUAAAGACAAGUACCAGUACAUUCUACAAUAACAAAGACGGGAACCCCAAAAGCCAUAUUCAUUCAUAUGUAUUUAGAUGUCAACUUGAAAUUCUACUUUUGUCAACUCUAAAGCAACAAAAUGACAAUGCCCAAAUCUUCUUACCAACAUAUUAUAACCUUCUCAACAACGGCUUAACUAAAACAUGAGCACCAUGAACAGCCUCAGUUUUGUUUUGUUUUGUUCUUCACUCAUAAGCAAUUUUAUAUCAAGUAUCUAUCAGUAGACUUCUCAAUAUUAGACACAUCUGUCAGUACUAGGACAAAAACACACAAACUGGAACCUUACUUAAAAGUUAAAACCUUUCUUCUCUUUCUUGUGGAAACUCAUUCCCAGGUAGUUUCAUGCGCUAUCUAUUGUAAAUCAUUGAAAUGACUUGUAAAAACAUGUUGCGCAGCAAACUCAGUUCCACGAAGUUGUCCUUAAAUACUUCUACAGCAAGAUUCAAUAGCAGGGAUAUCAGUAUCAAGCCUAAUUAAACUAUAAUCCAGGACUUCCCUGGCAAUUUUAACACAUGCUUAUCUUUGCUAAUAAUAAGAACCCAAUGAUUAAAACGCUGAUUAAAGCACAACCCUUGUGAAUUAGAGGCACCUAUUCAGCCAAAAUAGACAAAACCAGAGCAGUGCACAAAUGUAUAAUCUCCAAAGAACAAGGUACCAGCAUUCAAUGCAGCCAAACACAAUUGGCAUCUCAUUUGGUUUCUAGCACUGAUCAAAAGCAGAACAAAUUUCAAAUUCAUACCAUUAACUAAAGAACAAACAAAAUCCAGAAAGUACAUAGACACGGGACGCCAUACCUGUGCAGAAUGAUCCGGUUUCAAGAGAGCCAAGGCUCCGGAAGCAUCAGGGUCAACUCCAAUAACCCAUUCGGAACCCAAAUUCGGACUCCCAUUGCCAUGGAAGUUCAGAAGAUCACUAGAACAAUUACUAUUACUACUACUAUUAUAAUCAAUUUUCUCAGGGAAAGGGCAGGAGAGGGAAUCCAACCAAUUCUGUCUAAGUUGAGCCUCUGUAAUCAACUUAUUCCCCUUCUUCCCUCUUGAGCUUUUUCGCCGGGGCGGCGGGAUAAGCUGGUCAGGAGUUAUAACUACAGCAUGGUCUACAGAAGGGGUAAGAGUGGUGGCAGUGGAGAAGAGCUUGAAAGUGGUGGCUACGGUAGAGGAGAAGCGGAGGAGGAAUGGUUGGGCGAGUUUGGUGGAGAAAGGGGUCAUGAAUUCAGAAGGGAAAUGCGAGAUUUGGGACUGGAAGUGGAAGUGGGAAGUUUCCAUGAACUGGGAAGAAAGGAAGGAAGGGUUUGGAGAGAAAAGGAGGGAAAGAGGGAAGAAAUCAAGAGAGAAAUAUGGGGUUGGGUUGGUUAGUUGGGUAAUUGAGGUUUUGUCUGGAGUGAGGAAAGUUUGGUACAUAUGGGCUAAAGUUCGGUUUGAAUCCUUAACCCGGUCUGAAAGUGUUCAAUGAUAACCCCACUGAGUCUAAUCAAGUCAAAACAUCUAACGUUUAAAAAGUGGAAAAAUGAUCGGUUUCAUUCUUUAUAUUUCACAAAAAUAUUCUUUUUAUCCCUCACUUUUAAAACGAAACAAUUUCAUCCUUAACAUUUAAAAACUAAAGUUAUUAUAUCCCUGAACUCAAAUUUCAAUAUGAAUCAAACCACCAAUCAACCUGAUGACAAAUUUUGGGGGUGUAAUUGGUAGAUCACUUGGUUAAGUCAACUUGAUAUUCAUGUGAAAUUUAAUGAACCUAAAAAUAAAAAAUAAAAAAUUAUAACAUAAAAAAGAAAAAUUAAUCUUUCAUACAUUAUCAUUGUAUACACUGACGGUUUUAUGUACCGUCAUAUCAUUUUAAUUUAUAUUUAAACAUCAAAUUUUAUAUUUAUGAUACACAUCUAGAUUCGCAAGCGGAUAUACUAAUAGUGCAUAAAAAGAUUUACCAAAAAAAAAAAAACUCUAAUAUUCCAAGACAAAGAAUGGCCUUUUAUGUUAUAAUUUUUAUUUUUUUGGUUUAAUAAAUGUCAUGUAAAUAUGAUGAAGUUGACUGAGUGAUCUGUCAAUUCUAUUUCCGAAAUUUAUUACUGGGUUAUUGGAUGGUUUGAUUUAGAUUGAAAAUUAGGUUCAAGGAUGUAAUAGCUUUAAUUUUUAAAUGUCAGGGACAAAUUUGCUUCAUUUUAAAAGUGAGGGAAGAAAAGAAUAUUUUUACGAAAUGUGAGGGAUGAAACAUGUCAUUUUCCCUUAAAACUUUAUUCAUAACACGUUUAAAAUUAAUAUGUGUUCAUUUAUUUUUUUUAAGGAAUUUGAACAAACUUUUAUCGAGUUAAAAUAAUUUGAACAUUUUAUAUGUGAAUCCCAACAUUCCUACUUAUUAAGUCAUUGAAGCCAAACAUGACAUUUGACAGAAUAUAAAUAUUGUUUAUGUUUAGUUUGAUUGAUUGGUAAAUUAAAGUCGAACAAAUACUUAUCGAACUUAAAUUACUCCCUCCGUCCCAAUUAUUUAGUUAUGUUUGGGGAUUCUAACUUUUUAAAAAUAGUGGCUUGAUUGUGACUUUGUACUUCUUUUUCUAAUUUUACCGUCACAAAUUCAAAAUUCAAAUUUGAAUAGUAACAUGCAUAUGAUUAGAAAGAAGUGUUAUAUUGGAAAGAGAGACUAAAAGGUGAUUUGACUUUUUCAACAUGACAAAUAUUUUAGGACAUUCCAAAAUAAAAAGUAUGACACUUUCAAUGGGACGGAUGAAGUAAUUUAAUAUGGAGGUUAGUUUCUUAGUUUAAUUAUAAUGGUUAUGUUUGGUUAAGAUCAAGAUUGCAAUUUUUUUUUUCCAAUACAAUUUGUAAACUUGUAGCAUUGUUAGGUAGACUUGUAGUUGUAACAAGUUCAAGUAGUUGAAUUAGUUAACCUUUUUUUUUUUUAAUGCUUAAAGAAUGGAAGUCUAGUCAAGUUUGUUAUGUAUGUUAUCGGCUGCUAAAUGCUCAAGGAUAUGCUUUACUUUUGCAAACUACUAGUCUAUCAGUCUAAAUAAAAGCAUAUAAUAAGCUUUUACAAAUUUGAUACAUGCAAAUCAUUUUUUACACUGAAAAGUGUAGCAAGUAACCGAGGAGAAGGUGAUAGAUGAAUAAGGAAAUGAAGAAAAAAAAUUGCUAUUACAAGAGCAAAGAAAGAAAAAAAGAAAGGUGUGUUGGACAAUGGUCACAUAUAUAUUAACAAUAUCUAAAUUAACAAAUCUAGCAUUGUCAUGCUCUUCAUGUUGCUACAUUUGAUCACAACAUAGUCUACUACCAAACAUCUUAAUUAAUGGAAUCAAAUUUAUUAAGAUACGAAGUUAUAGACGUAUGAAGCAUAUAUAAACUUUGUUUCAAGUAGAAUUGAUUCACCACCGUCUUUUUCAUGUACAAAAGCUCCAGUUUAUUCCACAAAGUCUUUGGUUGCCUUUUCUUGAGCAAUUUCACAUAAAACCUUAUCGGAGAGAUUUAGAAUAAUUGCCGAGAGGGCCUUAUUAUCCAUUUUUUCGAAUUUGCUUAUCCAUAAUUUUUUCUGAGUUUUUCUCCUUUUUGAACAGCGCUACUUCUACUUCAUCUUGGAUGAGAAUAGCUUUCAUCUUAAUCUGCCACAAACUGAGGCUGACACAUUGGUCAAACUUUUCAAUAUAGGUCUUGGUUAUUGUCAUAAUGGUUAUUGUCAAAAAACUUAGUCCAGGUAAUCAGGCUCUGAUACCAUUUUAUUAGGAUCCCAUCCUAGUAAUUAUGAAAAGGUUAAUUUGACAACUCACAAAAGUGAUAACAAAGGCGGUAAUAAAAUGAGGAGAAAAAUAAUAAAAGACAAUAUUAACACAAAAAUUUACGUGGUGAUUUGAUCAAUUACACCUACAUCGGAGAGGGUGAGCAAAAUCCACUAUAAUGAAAAAAAAAAUGAGAAAUUUCUAAUUUUGUGAUGAAUUUAAAAAAAAUUCUACAAAAGGGGUGAUUUUGGCAUUGGAUUCCGUCCGGAGGUCUUCGCAUUCCUGAAAUGCGAGCUCAGUGAGCUCGCAUUUCAGGAAUGCGAGGUUAGAGAAGAGCUCGCAUUCGCGGAAUGCGAGCUCUACUUAUUGAGCUCGCAUUCCGCAAAUGCGAGCUCUUCUGUAUUUUUAUUUUUUAUUUUUUGAGAGCUAGGGAAUUAUUUCCAGAAAGCUCCUAAAUGUUUUUUUUUUAAAUGUUGCAAAUAUUUAAAAUUUUGCAAAUAGCUCGCAUUUGUUAAAUUUGACCUCCAAAAAUUGUAUUUAACUUUUUUGUUAGAUUUCGCAUUUAUAAGUAUGACUUUCAGAAAAUUAAAUUCAAAAAUGUUAGGAAAAAAAUUUUAAAUGAUAUUUACGAGCUCCAUAAAAAAUAUAAAAGUAAAUGUAAAUAUUGUUUGUUUUGUAGAAUUUGCCUUUACUAAAAUGGUGUCGGUAGUAAAAUCUUAUUUUAAAAUCUCUACUAAAAUCUUAUUUUUCGGAGAAAGGUUAGAGAAAUUUUGUUUAAAAAUCUGUAAUUAGCAGAGGAAUAAUGUUUUUUUUUUAUUUUAAAACUUGCACGUGGCUAAAGUCAUCAAAUAUGUGCUAAAACAAAAUCAGAUUAACAAUAAUCUUUUUAAUAUAAUUUACUAUACAUGCAUAAUUCUUUUAUAAUAAAAAAAAUUGGUAAUUGUACGGUUGAAAAUACGUUAUUUUAUUAUAAUACAUUUAAAUUGUGGAAAAAGUACACAUGCAUAGUUCUUUCUAUUUCAUAGAUCAAUGUAAAAAUAGAAUGAAAUUGUUAACAUGUAAGGUGUUGACUAUUUGUUGUGAAUAAAAUAUUAAGUGUUUUUCCUUUUGUAUCAAAUAAAUUUUUUUGAUCAAAUUCUAAUUUUCCUUUCUUAUUAAUGAAUCGUAUUUAUUUGUUGAAACCGAUGAAUAUUAGUUAUAAGAAUAUAAUAGUUAAUAGUCAUUAAUAUAUGUUACAAUUUCAAUUGUAAUUUUAGAAAUUUCAUAACGCAAUGUUUUUUUAAAAAAAAUUAUAUAAGUUAUUUUUAUGAAAUGCAUGUUAUUUUUUUGGUAGUUGAAAAGGAAAAGGAAAAAAAUUAAAGCAAAGAUCUAGCGAUUAAAUCUUGCGUGUUUUACCUAACUUACAAUUAUUUGGGCUGGAUUACUAUUUUGAUUAAAAAUAUAAAGCGAUAAUGAAAACAAAGUUAUACUGCAGCAAAAAUCCUAAAACCCUAAGUGCUAAAGCCGUAAAACACUAAAUCGUAAAUCUUAGAAACCUAAUCCUUGUAAACCCUAAAACAUUAAAUCAAGGUUGUUGGGUUUAUUAAUAUCCAUUAAAAAAUAUUUUUGCGGCACGAUAGGAUUACUAUUUUCAUUAAAAAUCUAAAGUCCUAAUCAAGGCACACUAUUGUCAAACUAAAAUCCUAUGGCGGUCAAACCCGAAAGUACUAUUCUCGUAAAACAGUAAUUCUUGAUCUCUGAAACCGUAAAAUCCUGAAUCCUAAAAGUCUCAAACCCUGAGUGGUAUCUCUAAUGUAAUCAGUAGCAGAAUCAAAGAUAUGAUAUUUUCUUUUGUCUACAACUCAUUUGAUCUUCUGUUUUGUUGCAGAAGCAUGUGCCACCGAUUUCUAUCCCUCAAAAUAGCUGGAAAAGUUAUGAGAAAGGUAAAGGAAAACAGGUGUGACACUUGCUGUAGAGAGAGACAGAUCCGAGUCUCGGAUCGGAAGGUUGAAUAUAAAUCCGAGCUCGGAUCAUUAGGAUCCAAGGACUUCCCAUGAUGGAUCCGAGGUCGGAUCUUCUGACCUCGAAUACACUCCUACAGAAGUACAGAUGAGGGAUCGGUUCUGUCUUAGCUCUCACGGAUCCGUGCUCGGAUCGGUUCCAUUAAAUUUCCAGUUUUUUCGCUUUUUUCGUUUUUCCUUCGUUUUUGCUCCUAAUUUCUUGUACACUUUAUCCUCUGGACUAUCUUCACAUUGAUUUCAGCUCGUGCAUGAACUUCAUAUGGAAUGUCCCUCACAAUCUCACAAAAUUAAUGCAUUUAUCCACUCAUUUAAUCAACUCAAAAAAAUGGGCAAAAUUGAACAUUUUGGCCAUUAACUUGAAAUUUUGGACAAUAUUUUUUACAAAUUUUGACAGAAUUUCUCCUAAAAAAUGGACAAAACUCCCUGUCAACAACCUCAAUUUCAAGAAAAUUAACCUUAUGACAAUAUUUCCAAAUACAAAACCAACAUUUUCAAGCCAUAGACAACUAAAAUUAUGCAUUUCAAAAUACAAACAUCCAUAACAUAAGGUAAUCCCUCCCCCACACUUAAAAUUCACAAUGCCCUCAUUGUAGAGGAAAGUAAAAGAAACUGAAACUUCCCUCAAAAUGAGUGGUGAUUCAUUUAGAAGCCAUAAUUCCUCACGAUCAUCCAAAUUGUUGCAUCAAUGAAACAAAAGGUACGAAUGAUGGGCUUUUUACAUCAAUGCAAGUUUAAUUCCGAUUUUACACCCGUUGGACUGCAAGUAUACAGGUCGCAAUUGUAGUACAAAAUGUGUAUCGAGUCGAUCCCACGAGGAGCAAUUAAAUUGCUAAGCAUACUCUUAAUUCCAAUACCUUUUUACGCGAAUGUCGACAUUUGUGAAUGCCAACCCCCGGUUACUCAGUAUGUGAAUCAUUGGAGUAGAAAAGUAAUAAUAUUAUUCUUUUCUCUUUUUUUUUCAGAUAAUUUCUUUUUCCCUCUAAGUAUAAUUAAAGGAAGGAUUUGGCCUUGUCUUUGACUAUAUCAGUCACUUACUUAUAAAUCUCAUGUAAAAAUGAUAAAUAUCAUUAAUCUUGCAAAAUUCUAAGCAUAAUUUUUCUUAUUUAAUCAAAUAUACUUUCUAAAAUGUAAAAAUCCUAAUAGCAUAAUAAUUCAUUCCAAGCCAAAUAAGAAUUAAAGUUUUCUAAAAUACACAUAGCAUUUUAUCCAAAGGAAGAAUUAGACACUUAAAAUUUUAACAUUUUGGCCAUUUAAUUGGAAGAAUUGCAAUGAAAUAUUGGAAAAUGUUUUAGAAAAAAAUUGACAGAGUUUCCCCAUAAAAAUGGAUGAAACUCCCUGCCAACAUCCUCAAUUUCACAAAAAUUAUCCUCAUGACAAUAUUUUCAAAUAUAAUUCCAACAUUUUUAAGCCAUAAACAACUAAAAUCAUGCAUUUCAAGACACAAUCACCCAUAUGAUAAAGUAAUCCCUUCCCCACACUUAAAAUCUACAAUGUCCUUAUUGUAGAGGAAGGUAAAAGAAACUGAAACUUCCCUCAAAUAGGUGGUGAUGCAAUUUGAAGCCCUUAAUCAUCACGAUCAUCCAAUUUCUGUCCAAAAUGAGACAACAAGGGUACCAAACACCAUAAGUAGCACAAGAUGAUUCAACUAAAAGAAAAAUAAAAUCUACAAAGUUUGUCUUAACAAAAGAAAAGAAAAAUAAAGAAAUAAAAGAUCUCAUCCGCUAAAGAGCAUCAUGGCUGCUGGGAACGAGGGUCUACUGCCUCCUCGGCUCCAUGAGGACCCUGUAAGGUACCAAUAUGGCCGUCCUCCUGAUGAGGUGUAGGAGUAGGGGACCGACGGAUAUAGAAAUGAUCCUCGAUCGCACGAAGACGGCGAUCAUGUCGGUCGAGUCGCUCGGUCAUCAUCCGCUCCGUCUGGUCAAUGCGCUCGACAACUCGCGUCUCCAUACAACAAAUGGCAUUUAGGAGCUCUUGCCACUUGGAGCGCGGUUGAGGAGGUGGUCGCGAAAUCGGAGGAGGAAGAGUCUGUUGUGCCUCCGUCUCUUGAGUUUCCGCUUGUGGUUCAGUGUGAGGCGGAGGCUGAGUGGAAGUCGAUGCUUCUCCUGUGUCCCGGACCAAAACAGCUCCAAAAUCCGUAGAAAUACCCAAGGAUUUGAGUAUCGUAGCAUUCACCUCCUCGGCCGACCUAGUUACCACUGCUCUCUCGGUUCCAAGAGGAACCUUGAGCUUCUCAAAAACAAGUGAUAGCAGUCGAGGAAAUCCGAAACAAGUGCUGCCGGCUCUCAUGCGAGCUGUGAUCCGCAUAUAACUGAUGAUAAUGCUGGGUAGAGGAAUUCCGGUCAACUGCCUACCCACUCCAUGUAUCAUCUUAUCCAGAAAAUAGAGAUCGCUAUUUCGGAUCUCCCGUUUGCCACUCUUUUUCGGCACCACAUUAAAGGCUAAAAGAUAGAAGAUCAGGUGGUACCGAUGAUGGAAGGAGUCGGCAUAUACCGUGAGUUUUUUCGAACUUCCUCACUCACGGUACUGCCCCUUUAGACGUCCCACAGCCUCUCCCACUUGCCAAGGAUCUCUAGCUUUGAACUCCUUGAUCAAUUUGACGUCGUCGCCUUCGUCUUUGAGUUGGACGAAGCGUCUCAGUGCAUCUCGAUUGAGAGCCACUCUCCUGCCUCUAACCCAUGAGACAAUGGGGUUGCCACUGUGGCUCUGCUUGUUUUCUACAUUAGCAUAGAACUCCCGGACCAGGUUAGGGUAGUAGUGCUUGGGCAACUGAAGGAUGUUCUCCCAUCCAAGUCUCUUGAAUGCUGUAGAAAUGUGAUAGUGCGCGUUCACCUCCGGUGCCAAGUGUUUCUCAAUGAUGAUCUCCUUGUCCAGUCCGGCUUCAUACCACUCUUGGUUUUCGAGCGAUGUGAAUCGUGUGGUAUCGUAGUCUGGCGGUGGCUCGUCACGGCUAGUAGAUGUGGUCUUCCGGCGAGAACGAGAUGGCGGCUCAGGUGAGGAAGAUUCUUCCUCAGGUGACUCCUCAUGCAAAGAGGGUGUGUGUUCCUCACUUGAGGAAGGAGUAGGAGUACGAAUGCGAGCCCUCCUUGUGCGAGCCAUAAUACCUAUACCAAAACAAGAUGAACGUUCAUUAGAAAACGUAUAAACUUGCUCACACAUGUUAAAUAAGAAUUUAAGAAAAUUUUGGCAGAGUUUCCCCUUGUAAAAGGGCUAAACUCCCUGCCAACAUGUACCAAAAAAAACACAACCAAAGAUCCUAUUUUACGCAUUUCAAGCUCAAUUGCAUAUUUUCAAGUAAAAUCGUCAUCAAAGAAAUGAAUCAUUUGAACCUUAACCAUCAUUUGAAGAAUGUAUAUGCCAAUAUAAUCAUAAUUUUAACCAAGAAUCACACAACAAUUGACUAUAGCAUUCUUAAUAAAGUGCAUACAAAUGAGCCGUAAGUUUGCCAAAACAAUUUGCAAACUAACCCUUAGAGAGAAGAGAAUUCAAGCAAAAAGAUUUGAACGUACUUAACUAAAUUAUAAACACGCUCUUUUACCCAAUGGAAUGUGAUCUACUUGGCAUAUCAUUUUCACUUGGUACAACAAUAACUUAUACUCCUCAGAACAAAUACAUUCAUUCAAUGAAAACGAACAUUCACAAGUCUAAAUCACUAAAAUGCUCAUGCCCAAAAAUUGAGAAAAAAUCUUAAAAAUAUCACCAAAUCCACAGUUUUCUCAAAAAUAAGCAUGAAAAUAGCUGUAACAAUCUCUUUAAGCACAAUGUGGCACAAUUAUAUCAAGAAAUCCCAACAAAUAUGCAUUUAUCAUAAUAUUCCCAAAAACUAGAAAAACCCGAAUAAGAAAUUAUAAAAUGUCAAAGAAAUUCGCAAAUUGUUACCUCAAAUGUGUAGAUUGAUAAUGGAGGAUGAAAAAGAUGUAAAAUUUUACACAGAAACACGCCAAAAUACCCCCCAAGUUGAGGAAAUCAGGUGCGGCCCGAAUUGAGGUUUUGCAGAUCAAAACCCUUGUUUAAUGUUGUUUCUUGGUAAAAUAGAUUGGGGUUACUGAUCAGAAGAGGUUUGGGGAGAUUUUUAUGAAGGAAGAUUGGAGAUUUGAUGGUUAAAAUGGAAGAUUGGAAGAAAGGGGUAGGGUUUCGGUGAGAAGAGGGAAGAAAAUUUUUGAAAAGUGCAGAAACGAAGCCUCGUUUCUGCUAUAUCCGCGAACCGAUCCGAGCUCGGAUCGGUUCAUGAAGGCCUCGGAUCCGACAGGUCUCGGAUCAGUCUCAACAGAAACACAGGCGAUCCCUCGGAUCUAUCUGGGUUGAAAUGGAUCCGGGCUCGGAUCUAUAGAUCCGCGGUCGGAUCUUUCUGGGCUUCCUAGGAUCCGAGCUCGGAUCCGUGUUUCUCUGCAAUAAUUGCAGAAACUGCAAUUUUUCAAACUUUUUUUCCCUUUUUCGGCCAAUUCCAAUUCACCCAUUGGACAAACAUUUUAUCAAUUCUAACCUCCUACGCACAUGUAAUAUACCAUAAACACAAUAUCCAACCUCUCAAAACACAACAAACACAUUUACAUUGGAAAUCGAGGGGUGAGGUUCUUUGGUCAUUUUUGCACUUUUACACUAAAAUGGCAUUUUUUGGCCUUAAAUACAUAUCAAAUGAGUCCAUGAGCUUUUAUAACCAUGAUAUCACCAAAAUUCACUUGAAAUGCACAAUGCAUGUAUAUGCAUGGGAAUUUUAAGCACUUAAAACACAAUUUGGUAAGAAAAACUCCCUUAAACCACGUGUUCUUGAAUUGCACCUUCAAGAUGGAAGUUCCGACAUGUAACUAAUUUACCGUGUAUAAAAUAGAGGUGUAGAGUUGUAUAAUGCAUAAGAAUACUCAUAUAACCUACAUUUUUUUUGUAGUGUUUAAAAGAGUACUCAUAUAAAGUGAGAACUAAGAUACGCACGAUCGCGUUGUUCCACUCAUAUUCCUGAAAUUUUAGAAUAUAUACAAAAUGUCACAAACAAAAGUAUGUAAUCCAUAAGUUAGGUUAUUUAUACAAUAACAAUACAAGUAGCGUGCAAUCAAUGCUGCCCAAGUUUCCCAUGAGUACCACAUGUUGUUGGUUUGGGUAUUCUUUGGCUUCGACGUGGUUGGUUUGGCACUAUUGUAUGGACUUGAGUAAUAUGUGUCAACAGUGUAGCAUCUUGAAUUUCAGUGCUUGUGCCUUCACCUCCUUUACAUUGCUCAGAAACAUCGCGAUGUGAGUCCCUAUCGGGCGUAAACUCUGUGUAUGUCACAGGGAACCUGUGAUAAUGGCCAAUCGAUACACCUCCCUCAUGCAUGACUUCGAUCUGAGGUUUGACAAAAAUAGAUGCGCCAGUUUGGUCUUCAGUUGCCAUCGAACCUCCAUGGAAUCCAGUUUGUAUGGCGGGUUCUGGUGAUCGGAGUCUACGACGUCGCCCACCGCCAUGCUGACUUCCGUGGGUAUUUCUAGGAGCUCGCUGAACACGACAUGGAUCAGGGUAUAGUGGAAUCUCAUGUGGUAUAUGUGGAGGACGAAAUGCAAGUCGGCGGGACUCUCCUACAUGAUGCAAAGAUAUGGAUGCAAAGUCCCUCAACUCUUGAAAAUAUCCGCUGUGUUGUUCAUUACUAACUACAAGAGACUCCUGUGCCAUGAAAUACAUGCGAGACAUGACAUCGCUCUGGAAAAACAAAUAUAAGAAUUAGAAGGACAUACAGUGGUACAAAAUAGUUUAAAAGGUCAGCAAACUAUUUGUGAUUAUUAAAAGUGGGUUGGAAAUAAACUAUACAAGAUAUUGAGCCCUAGCGCUAUCACCCUGAAAGCCCUCAGGGAAAGCGGGAAAUCGACUCGGAUUUGAAAUAUAAAUCACCGUGCGCUCCCGAUACCACUGAACAUACUCAUCCGAUGGAUAUGUAGUAUCUUCAAUUACUGUGCCAUCCUGUACAUGCACACGUCGAUCAGUCCAAAUAUCAAUAUAUUGUCUAUGCGUGGUGCUCCAGUCUUGAUUCGCCCUACCACGACGAUCUAGAGAAUGUAGAGCUGCCUGAUUAUCCGUCAACCUCAUAUCAGGCAGGGACUGAUGAAACCCAAACUGCCGCAUAACCCGAUGAGGGAGGUGUGGCUCAACUACAUCCCAGCAAAUAAGAUACGUUACGGACCUCCAAAUGUCCUGACCUGCAGUACAAUACGCAGGAAGAGAAGCGAGAACGUCCUCCGAAUAUAGCUGCCAUAUGAACUGAAAAAAAUAUAAAAUGAAAGUUGUUUCAUUUUUUGUAUUAAGAAAUAAUAAAACUUCCGAAUGUUCAAUUCUAACAAAGGGAACCGAUCCGAGCUCGGAUCGAAACUGAAUGAGUACGAAUCCGGCAGGGUUCGGAUGUAGGCCUGCGGAAGCACAGACGAUCCCUCGGAUAUCUUAGAAGAAUUUUUGGAUCCGAGCUCGGAUCAAUGGAUCCGCGGUCGGAUCCGUCUGGGCACUUAGGAUCCGAGCUCGGAUCUGUAGUUGUCUGCACUAAUUGCAGAAAUUGAAAUUUACCAAACUUUUUUGAAAAUUUUCCAAAAAAUUCCAAAAAACGCUGGUGAAAACCGAUUUAUGAAAUCUAACCUCCCACGCACAUGUAAUAUAUCAAAAGUACAAUACCCAAUCUCUUAAAACACAUCAAACACAUCUACAUUGCAAAUCGAAGGGUGAGGUUCUUUGCUCAUUUUUUCAUUUUUACACAAAAAAAGCCACUUUUGGCCAUUACAUGCACAUCAUAUGCUAGUCAAUACCUCUUCAGCCCGCAGGCCUGUCAACUGAUCUCGAAAUGCGGGCACAACAUGCCUAAUAACUCUGUGUACGUCCAAGUCAUUAUUCCACCUAAAAAUAUAAAAAGUAGGAACCUGUUUAGAACAAUUUAAAGUUGGUUCGAUAUCAAAUGUCACGGAAACACCCGAAAUAAGGGCGAAACGACGCACCUAACUCCAUAUGGACCAGGGUAAUGCUCCAACAGCGCGAUUCGGUCUGGACGCAUGGUUGGUAUAUGUUCCCAAAUCCAGAGCUGUUAGAAAAUUAGAAUCAAUGUUAAAAUUGCAAAAUGAUAAAAUGCAAAAAAUCGAAGAUAAAUGUCCCUAUUGAGUGCAAUGUAUCCAUAGCAAAACUAAUGGACCGGCAAUAGCCGAUUUGGCAAGAUGCGUGGCAUCACAAAGUGACCGAUAGAGAGUCGCCAAACACGCACUACCCCAACUAUAUUGCCCAACUGUUUCCAAGUCCCGCAGUAAUGGAAGAUACAACAAAGGGACUUUGUUGCCGGACUUAUCGGACAAUAAAUGUCCACCUAAUAUCAGUAAGAGGUAGAUGCGCGCACGCUGCCUACAUUCCGCAUCUGAAACAUCGGGUGGCAACUCUGUAUCCAAGACUCUUGCUAAACAUCCCAACUUUAGUCUCUGUCCAUCAAAGUAUCCAACUGCAGGAGAAAAUCCAAGGAGCUCCUCACAAAUGGCUCCCCACUCUUGAAUGCUGCGGUAUGUGUCUGCCCCUAUAACCGGUGGACCAUCGAUGUGCAAUCCCCACAACACCUCUACAUCCUGUAAUGUCACGGUAGCCUCUCCAACAGGUAAAUGGAAUGUAUGCGUCUCGGGCCGCCAUCUCUCGACUAAACUUGUGAUCAAAGAAUGAUCAACCAUCUGAUAUCCACUCUCAAGCACCCCCUUAAAUCCAGCCAAGGCAAUAUAACGAAAAACCCGAUCAGGAAUAGGCGUAUGCUCCCAAAAUCCUCUGUCACACCGUCUGACAUCUAACUGAUUGCCCUCAAUAUGUCCGUGAAAAAUUGAAUGCGCCCAGUGUGCAGUUCCCCCCGAUAUAAUGUCGUGCACAUAUGGUCCUGGAUGUAGGCCUGCAGGGAUAGGAGUGUCGGCCAUAAUCCCAAGCAAAUAUCUACAUCAAUUAAAGAUCAUGAGUUAUGCAUAAGUAAAACCCUAAAAGUGGGCAGUAUCCAAUUUUGACCUAUAAAUCACGGGCACGGCUUUUUUUUAGCAAAUUUUGACCAUAGAACUAAGAUACAUCGAGUGAGAACUCCAUUUCUAUCAGUUAUUUUUUUUUAGAAACAUUUGUUAUCCCUCUAUGUAUUCAUAUACUGCAGUAAUGUAUUUGUAGUCAUAUUUUAAAACUUGGUUUGACAAAAAAUUUGGCAGAGUCUCCCCUAUAAAGCGGCCAUAACUCACUGCCAAUAGCUCCUCAAAAAUACUUUGGGGCUGCAGGUGUAAACUGAAAAUUCAAUACUUAUCAAAGUACAUAACGAGGGAUGCAUUUGACAAAUGAUCAAUGAAAGUCACUAAUGUAGUUAUUUAAAAUAAAUCCAGAAUCGAACACAAAUGAACUAGCUCGAACUCCACGUUCAAAAAAAUUGAACUGACAUGAAACUUAAAUUUCUAGGGAGUCGAUCAAAUCAAGGCCUAUAAUUCAGACAAUUUCUCCUAUUGUGACCCGUCUGAUGACAAUUUCGACAUCUUCUUGGUUCGUCUGGAUCCCUUUCAUCCAUCUCAUUCCGAAUUCUGCUAGCUCGAACCCGCCCUGCCCGACGUGUAACAAAUUUGCUCUUGUCUGCCUGCAGCUCCCACCCAGGAUAGAGCCAAGUAUCUUGAUGCGGCAAUGGGUUAAACAUGCCUGAAUACUGGACCGCCCACCUUGUUUUGGUAAACUGCUGGUCCACAAGCAAUCCCGAAUUGUCACCUCUAUUCCUGCACACCGCCAAAGCGUGUGAACAAGGAAGCCUGUAUAUCUGCCACUUUCCAUAAGAGCAUGUCUUAUAAAAAAACCUGAUGGUUUGCGUAUUGCCUCCUUUACCAUCGACACGAGGCCCUGUGAUAACCUUAUAUAUGCCCGAUGGGCCAUCGAACUCAAUGACUCUGUGGGCGCCUGCCUUCCACUCAGCAUUUUUAAAACGCCGCCAUAUCUUUGGGGGAAAAGGAUUGCGACAAUGUGAAGCAUCUUCCCUUCUCGUCUUAAAUAACGCAACUGUCCGAUGAAAUGUCAUGUCAAUGCAUACACGAAUUGGCAAAUGCCGUGCCCCGCGCAAGACAUUAUUAUAGCUUUCGGAUAUGUUGGUAGUUAGAAUACCCCAACGACGGUCAUCGUCGUGUGUUAGGCACCACUUUUCUGGACUAAUGGUUGACAGAUAAUUCCAAACAUCUGGGAACAUGCUGCGUAGUUCUCUUCUGAACAUCCGCCACUUGCAUAAUUGUCUUGCCCUUCCCAUUGCCCAACACAACUUGCGAAGGUGUAAACCUUUGAAGUGUGUCAUCAAAUUGCUCCUAACAUGUCGCAGGCAAAAUCUAUGGUAGGCUAAAGGUUCCUCCCAAUAAUCAAAAUGUGUCAUGGUAUAGAUGAUACCAUUGUGGCGAUCGAAAAUGACACAGAUAGGAUGUCGAUCAAGUGCCACAUUAUAUCUUAAUUGUUCCAUAAACCACGACCAACUGGAAAUCGUCUCCUCAUCAACUAUGGCAUAAGCAAUUGGCAGAAUCUGGUUGUUCGCAUCUUGCGUGACUGCAACAAGGAGUUUGCCCUUGUAUUCGCCACGCAAAUGAGUGCCAUCAACGCAUAUAACCGGCCUGCACAUGUGGAAUGCUUCAAUAGCCGGUCCAAAUGCUCAGAAUAUAUACUUAAAGGUCUUAACUCGAUCCGAACUAUCCGAAUGAUGCGACCACUCCACCACGGUGCCUGGAUUGGAUUGCACCAGGGCAUCGAGAUACUGUGGUAGUUCGGCAAAAUUCGCUUCCCAAGAUCCAAACACAAGCUCAAUUGCUUUACGUCUGGCAUACCAGGCUUUUUUGUAAGACACAUCAACCUUCAAGUUUUCUUUAACGGAACUUAGUAUGUUCUUGACCUUUAAUCCAGGGUCAUCUUCAAUGCUACGGAGGAUGUGCCUUGAAAUAACGGAAGCCGUUAGGCUUGUAUUGUUAUUUCUAAUCAUGUCGCCCAAGCAGUUAUGGUCAUUGACCCACUUUGUAAUUUACCAUAUUUCAUGAGUCUUUUUCUUUACGGCUCUAACACACCAGUCGCAUGGUGGAUACGAUGGCGCGGUUGAAGUGGAAGGAGUUCUUUCAAUUGAUGACUUGCAUUUAGCAAACCACGUGUUACUCUUACUCUCAAUAACUCUGAACUCCCUAUUGUGAUUGAUGGACCACAUCCUAACUGAUCGGCUGAGCUGCUGCUUACUCUCAAAUCUCAUAUGAAGACGUAUAUUAUUAUUCUCCUCACUGAAUGUUACAAUACGCUCCAAUCCAUCCUCCUCUUCUAUAUCAUCAUCAUCUAUGUUCCCAAGAUCGGAGAAAAAUGCCAUUCCUCUUGGCACAUAUGCAGAGCUGUCAGCUGUGCGAUUUGCGUCUGUCCAAGUGGAACAUAUCGAGGUUUUCUCUUAAACCCCCACCUUCAUGCUUAUCAUCCGAGUCACUACCAGACACAUCUUGCGACUCCGACUCUUCAACCUCUUCUGCAUCAACUUCCGGGUCAUCUUCUUCCAGAUCAUCUUCAAGAGGGCCAAGGAGCCUAUCAUGUAUACUAGCAUAUACAUCAUCUUCAGCUGAACUGCGACAACCUUGCCAAGGGUUAGACUCGAUCCCAUUUGGAGAAAUAUGGCAUGAUGGACCUGGAUCUCCAAAACUUGGAAUCGAAUCCAGGCCAUGAAAAUAUUCCUGGGCACCCAUGGACCCUGAUGUGAGCCUUGGUUCUAAUGAAUCCAUAGAUCGAUCAUCAUGCAUAUAGUGACAUGCCGAUGAAGUCUCUGGAACGACUGAACUAGAACCGAAGUUAAACUUUGUUGGAUCCAUGAAUGCAUGUACAAGCGACAUCAUUGGACCAACAUUACCUAUUGAUCCAGUGAAUACGCUAUUAACUACAGGCAUUUGGACGAUUUCUUUCUUCUCGAUAUAAAUCUCCGCCAUGUAUGAAACGCUUUCGAUCCAAAGAUCGUACAUUACAUCAAAAGUUUCAUCAUCCACCACUGCGGAAACAGUAUAUUUGGAACUCUCCAACGGUUGACGAAGAAACAAUUUCAGCUUGAACAUCCCUUUAUCGACCCCAAUAUAGUGGUAAAUCCUGUCAACCAACUCCCCGUAUCCAAUUCUAUGCCUCAAAGUGAAUGUCCGGUUGGAAGUACGAGGCAAAUAACAAACAAAGUCACCCUCGUAAUGUAUUUGUCCUCCCCAGUAUAGGUUUACCAGCAGAGGUCUUUCUACAGACAUGUCUGUAAAAUAAAUCCCUAUUUUGGGGACAAUAUAUUAGAAUUAGUAGUCCAAGGGUCCAAACAAAUGAAAGAGGAUGGACUGUAGGCCGAAAUUGGAACUAUUAUAGAGACUAAUUUCGAUCCAAAUGUUUAUGAAAAAAUUGAAAACAGGUAUGAAAUAUACUAUAAAUAACGAUAGCAAUAGCCUAAAACUCCGAACGCAAUUUUUAGAAAAUUUGGACAGAGUCUCCCCUAAAAUUAGACUAAAACUCCCUGCCAACCAAUCCAAAAAAGGAACCCGAUGAAGUAGUAAUCACAUUUGCCACACUACAUAUUGUCAAGAGACCCUAUAAUUUUCAAAGUACAAGCGUAAGAAAUGUAUUUAGAAGUUAUAUAUAUUUGGGCUCCACAUUCACACCGCAUAACAAGAUCCACAUUCACAAUGAUGUGAUAUUCUACCUAUGAAUCUUACAAAAUUAAUGUUGUUUUUCCCUGUAGCAGAUUUUGCCACUUUUGUAGCAUUAUAGAUUUUGCCAACUACAAAAAAUAAAUCCGUCAAUUGACUUUCAAGGUUGGUCAUUGACUUUCAAUCCAUCAAUUAGCCUUAAAAUAAAUCCGUAUUUCAUAUUCUAACGCCCUUUUCUAUAAAAAAAAAAUUUAACAAACUAUACUAUUUCAACUUGUCGGCAAACAUUCAAUAGUUGUAAUAUAACAUAAAUUAGUUAAUGGCUUGUAUCAAAUCCGAAUUAAGCUUUAUGCAUAAGAAACGGUAGUUGUAAUAUAAAAUAAAUAACCUAAUAGUGAGUUACCCUCACAAAGAAAGAUCUACAAAAAUUUCGACAUAGUCUCCCCUAUAAAUGGCCUCAAACUCCCUGUCAAACAAUUCAAAUAUCCAUGAAAUUCAAAAGCUCCAAUCUAUAAACUACAUAAUGUCAAUAAAGUCUCAAAGCUCCAAUUGCAAAACAUACAAUAUCCAAUGUACAUAGUGUUUCGACCAAAAGUAAUAGGGUCGAUAAAUAGAUUUUUAAAAAAAAAUCUGAUGAAUUUUAAAAGAAUUCUACAAAUGGGGCAUUUUGAGCAUGGGAUUACAUCCAAAGGGUCUUCGCAUUCAGCAAAUGCGAACUCACGGAGUUCGAAUUUUCACACGACGAAAUCCACAAAAAAUUUUAACAAAAAAUAAAACCACACCUCGCAUUUAUCAUUAUGAAAUGCGAAGAUCCGAGCUCGGAUUAUUUAUGGCAUCCCUCGGAUCCAACAGGGUUCGGAUCCUUCUCAACAGAUGAUCAGACGAGCCCUCGGAUCUGAGUUAACAACUAUGGAUCCGACCUCGUAUCAUAAGGAUCCGAGGUCGGAUCCUUCUGCCUUUAGUCGUAUCUGAGCUCGAAUCAUGCUUUUUCUGCACUAAUUGCAGAAACUGCAAAUAAACUGCAACAAAUUGGAAACAGAAAAAUUGCCCGAAUUCGAAAAAUAUAACGUAUUUCCUCAAAUUCACCACAAAAAUUGCAAAAAUAAGCACAACCCACAUCACAUUUACACCCAAAUUUCACAACAAAUCUGAACCUGCCCUUGGAUGAAAGUAUUCAAGUAUUCAUUAAACUUAAAAUGCUAUAUGUGAGCCAUUGCAAGUGCAAAAGCCUAACCUUUAUGCUGUUUGACAGUAGCAAUGGGACGGCAAUGCUGGCAAAUUUUGGGAAGCGGCAAACGCGAAACCAGUCUUUGGAUGCUCCGGUCUGCUCCGGUCUUUGGAUGCUUCGAUGUGCAGAAACCAGCUCUGUUUUCUUUGUUUUGCUAUUCAACAAUUCCGAAUUCUUUGUUUUGCUGUUCGACAGCUAUUCAACCAGCUCUUUCUUUGUUCUGCUUCUCCCACUCACUUUUGUCUUUUUUUUUUCGAAAUGGGGUCUUGGCGCUGGAUAGUGCGAGCUCGAUGAGCUCGCAUUCUGAAAAUGCGAGCUCAAUGUGCGAGCUCAUUGAGCUCGCAUUUUCAAAAUGCGAAGACCCCCAUUUGUAGAAACAACUCCAAAAAUCGUCCUCGUUGUAGAAUUCUUUUUUUUUUCCAUCACAAACUAAGAAUUCACCCAAAAAAAAUACAAACUCAGGACAAAAUUCCUAAAACCCCAAAACAAGAAAGAGACAAAACAAGAGAGUACUCAAUAUAUCACAAAAGGGAAGAUUUCCCAAAUGAGCUCUCGUCUCUUACCAAGCCUCUGCAAAUGCCUCGAUUUAUAGACAAUUCCAGCAGCAUUUUGUACAGCCGGAUGAGAAACAAAAAUUCCGUGAAGUCUGACUAACAUAUGCAUAACGUGGUCAAGUAUUAAAUAAUUGGCCUACUCCAUGAAAAUGGCUUCAUAGGCCAUGUAUCUUGACCAAGAAAGAACGUAUGCAUGGUAGAGCGAUGAGUAGAAUGGCGAUGAUACCAAAGAAAGAAUGCUGGAGGAUGGAAAGGCAUUAAUUGUUAACACAGAUACAUGGUAUCUUUUUCAAUCUAGUAUGUCUAGUUCCCAUGAUUGCUUCAAUUUCAAUUGGUUUAUUUCAUUUUCGUCAGUCUCAGUUAUGCUGAGGCAUAUCUUUUCUUACUGGACAAUGGGACGAGCCAUGUUGACUGAGAUGUACAGCCGGUAAUAUUCCAAGGAUUUUACUCUGAGCUUUUUUCCUCUAUAUCAGUGUUUGCGACCUUUUAUUUUUGACCCUGUGUUUAGUCCGGUUCACCAGGUGCGCCUUUACAGCACUGAAUGUUUGUGUUGCUUGAACUUUUAAUCUACUUGAAUCAAUAGGGAUAAAAACAUAUAUGUAUGAUGUGACUCACAUUUUACUUGAUCAUGCUAGAGGAGCAUUGUAGAGGAGGGGCUAACUAUAAGGUGUCAUUUGAUUUAGCUGCAUUCCUUGACGAACAUCAUCCCUCUACCAAAUAGACAGUAACAUUUGAAAUGGAAGUAUGCCUCGCUAUUUUGUCCUGCUUUAUCUUGGGCAUAAACUGCAUCAUGAAAUCAUUUUCUAUCUCAACAACGCCUAAAACUUUUUCUUAACUGGGUGAAUUUGUGGUAGUUUGUGGUAAUUAAGGGCUUUUCAAUUAAUCUUGUGUUUACUCUUCCACUUUCUUGUUCAAGAACUUCUGCCACCUAUAAUACUAUCAAUUUUGCUCGCAUUAAUUGGAUUAUCUUGAUUAUGUCAGAUCCUGAAAGCGGUUAGGAAGGAAGUUUUGAAGGGUUGCAAGGUUGUCUUUAAGUCUCAGAGUGAAGAUCAUGAACUAAGCAGUUGGGAGCUACAUGCUCAACAGAACUUGACUCGUCAGUGACGCAUGGUGGUCUCUUCAGAUGGUGGAGCAGAGAAAUCUCGUUGGGCAGCGCUGGAGAAAAAAAUUUAUAGUCCGUUCAGAUUGGAUUAAUGCUGCAUACUAUCUCUGGAAAAAGCAACCCGAAGAAAAGUAUGCUGUUACAGUUCAUUUGGACAGAAGGAAAAGGGAAAAAAAGGAAAUACAUGGAGAGAAAAAUGGAAGUUCUCUUCCAUUCAGAGUUUUAAAUGGGGGAGAACAGAAAGAGAAUGGCAGAAAUGGAAGUUCUCUCUCUUCUGCUUUAUUGCUUUUAUGUGGGAAGAAAUGGAGAGAAAGAGUGACAGAUCAUCAAACGUUUUGGAUUACAGUCUUUAGCCAUCAAAUAAAAAAUCAAGAUUCUUGAGAUUGAAAGGUAAUCCUACCAUUUCAUAUUUUUUUCUCCUUCAUGUUUUUUUUUCCCUUCCUGUAGGAAGUCAAAAUUUACUUUUGUUGUCAAAUCUAAAACAGAUUUGCAAGCCUUUAAAUGGAGUAACAGGAUCUUCGAAGGCCACUCCUGUUGGAUAUCUAAAAUUGCUGCUCUUUUUUUUUCUUCUCUUUUUAGUUGGAUUCGAUAGUGAAUAAGAAUGAGAAAUACACCAGAAAACUACAGCAUAAGAAUUUUUAUACAUGCUGCAUGGCGAGGGCGAUAGUACAAUAGUCAAUAGGGUUAAUGAGUACUAUCCAUGCUAUAACUUAAAAUUCUUUAAUUAUUUUUUGAUUAUUUUUUUUAACUCACAUACGGCACACAAUAAUAAAUAGUGGUAUAGUUUACCAUAUAGUUGUCAAUUCAAACAUAAACCAUGGUUUAUCCGGAAGCAUGAAAGGAUAUCCCAAAUAUUUAGUAGUCCAUGUCAUUCCUUUAGGCUCUACUCAAAAAUACCAAUUUAUCAGCAUUAAGAUUUAUGAGGAAAGACCAGGAAGUAAAAUAGUAAAAACCAGCUUCAAGAUAUUAACUAGGUAAGAUUCUCAUGCUUGAGUGGUCAACAGAAAGCCAUGUAGAACCAAAAUGGAUAAAUUUAAAAAAAAAACACAAAAUGGAUACAUUAAAAGAUGAAAUAGAUGAAUAACAUGAUUGUGAACUGAAAGGAUCAGUUUCAAGAAUAACAUGUUUGCCUGCACACUUUCAUUUCCAAUAUUAGGUGCAAAGCUAAUUUUGUUAAGAGAAACCAAAAAUACCACAUAUAUACCGGAUGACAAUAGUAAUAUAAGAACCAAUCUUAUAGUGACAAAAAGUUAUGGAAGUUAAAGAAUUAUUUGAAGCUUUUAAUGUUUGUUUUAAAAUCUUGAUUAUGUAAGGGUAAACAUGAAAAUACAUACACUGUCAAAAAAGAGAAAGGACAAUUUAUUUAACACUAGAUGCCAAGGCUCUUGCUUUACAUAUAGGAAGAAAUAGCAGAAGUAGAAAGUAUUAUCAUAGAAAUUGAAUUCCUAGUUAGCUACUGAAAUCCAUGCCUAUUGAUCAUACUGGAAUCAGUUGAAACUAAUUACAUACUUAGGCCGUUUGUCUGGGAAAAAGAGGCCGAAAUGUCUUUCUGUCUCUGCUCCAGGCUUCUGGUUUUCAUCAAACAUGGCAAACAUAUAAGUUUCUAUACCUCUUCCAGGCCUUCUUGGAGUCCCUCUUCCACUCUUAACAUGGCUAAUCACAUUCCUAUAGUAAGUGCCUGCAUUUCCAGAUGAUGCAGCAGGAGGAUGCCCAUCCGAUGGCCAGCCAGUUAAUUUCCGACACAACAAUGUUUACAUUAGAACCGCUUGAAAAAAUGAAGGGUUUACAAAAAUGUUUACAAAAAAAAUGAAGGGUUUAGCCUCGUUUGAAAAUGAUCCUUCUGAGGGAGGAUAAGAAACGCUUAACAGAUUUCCAGCUAUUGAUGUUGAAACCUUGAUUUGGUUCUGAAGCCCCGCCGAUGCUAAUGCACUUUGUAUCCUUUUCAUGGCUGAACCGACAUAUCGAGCGAUGCUAGAACUUAAUGAUACUUCAUUUCCAACUGCUAUGUAUCUGAACUUCACAGCUGGUGAGUAAUUUAGUAAUUUUUGAUGUUGUUUUGAACCCAAUUUACAGCUGCCGAAGGAUUGGUCGCAAUGGAUUUUACGUCCUCAUUUGCAACGCCAAUUAAAAGUUCAAUAUCAGUUCCCCUUAGACUUAGAGCAUUGAGAACUUCAGCAACUGGUGCAAAAAUUCUCAUUUUUUUGAUGCCAUAUUGAUUGUAAAGAUUUACAACAUCUUCUUUAGAUGGGAGAUUGUUGCCAUUGAGCCCAUAGCAGACACCUAUAGAUUGUACCCCUGCAAUGAAAAAGAUGCCGAGUUGCUGUUAAAUUCAUUUUAGGAGUUCCAAGUGGAAGUAUACAGUGUAGGAAAGAUGAUCAGCAUCUAAAGAUUUUCAUAAUUACAAAAUAGUACUCCCUCCGUCCCAUUGUUAAUGUCAUAUUUCCACUUUUUACUUGUCCCAAAAUUUGAGUCACUUUAAAAAAGUCAAACUACUUUUAAAAUUACUUUCCAAUUAUACCCUUCUAUUGAAAAGUCAAAAUUGCACUAAACAAUUAUGAUGGGCCCUGCCAUAACACAUUUAGCUCCUUGCGUUUCUUUUUAUUUCCGUUACUUUUCUUGGACUUCAAAUCUUUGUUAUUUCUUUUUUCUUCUUUUUCCUUGCUUUUUUUUUGUGUUUUUCAUUUCCAUUUCUUUUCUUGCACUUCAAAUCUUUGUUUUUUUUUUCCUUUUUUCUUUUUUUUCCUUGUUUUUCAUUUUUUUCUUUUCUUUACUCUUUUCAAGCUACACAAGUGUUUGCAGAUGCAAUGAAAGUUUCGUUUCUUGUCUUUCUAUCUUUUUUUUUUUAACAAAAGAACAAAUUUCUUACAAUAAUACAAAUCAAGUUUUUUUUUUGGAUAAACAAAUAAAGAAUGCUAGAUGCAUUCCUUACCCUUUUGUUUAUCACUAUUUAAUUUUUUUAAUGUAAAGGUGAAAAAAGAAAAGGUAAAAUUUGUCCUAUAACUUGUGUUCUUGCUCUUAAAUUUGCCUCUAGUAUCAAACUAACAAAUAAAUAGAGUGAAAAAAAUAUCAAAGAAAAAAUAAAAUGAUCAACUAGUGCGUAUUACGUUGAAAUCCUAAACAUCCAAGCAAGGCAUUAAUUUGAAAGCACCAAGACUAAAAUAACAUUUACUGCUCAUUGCUUCCAAGAGUUCAUGGUUGUCUAUACAAAUCAACAAAAUACAAAAUCUAUGCCCCUAAAAUAGAUUCGAGUGACAACCAAAUCUUAUAAGCAACCCUCAAAAAUAACUUAGGACCAAAAGUCAAGCCCCCUGUUUUGCCCAAAAGCAUUAGUAGCAAAGUCGUACAAAAGCCAAGUCGUACAAAAGCAUUAGUACCAAAAGUCUAGCAAAAGUCAAGUCCCCUGUUUUGUACAAAAGCAUUAGUAGCAAAAGUCUAGCAAAAGUCAAGUCUCCUGUUUUGUACAAAAGCAUUAAUAGCAAAAGUCAAGUCCCUUGUUCUGCACAAAAAGCGUUAGCAUAAUCCAAGUCCAGAAACUUGAUCCAUGACUUGAUAUACCUUCCGAACAAAAUAGAGAAAAAGAAAUCAAUCAUAAGUUAGAUAGCAUUAUCACUACCUUUAUCAUAAUUUAGAAGUUAGCAAAGUUUAAAUAAUAUGGAAAUUCUAACCAAUACCAGUACAUUCAUGCUUGUAGAUAAUGGAUGAUUUUGUCAAUAAGCUCCUUAUCACAUCCAAUUUGCAAAGGAAGAUUUCCAUCUCUUAUCAACCGUUGCUUCCCAAUAUGUGGAACUUUGUAAUUAUUCCCUCCACAAUUCUUCAUCACCUCAAGCAUACAUAGUUGUAAGGUUAAGAACACAUUGUUGAGACUUUCAGAUGAUAAUUCAUCGAAAGACUUUUCAACAGCAGAAAUUAGUUCGUCAAUAGAGUUAGGUGCUUCUUGAUGCUGGAGUGAUUGAAUGGCUCUAAAAUACCCAAGAUCAAGAACAUUCAUAUCAGGGCUAUUAGGUGGUUGAAAUGAUAAACGAAUAUCAAAACCUUCUCUUGUGGCAGCUUCUAUGAACUCAACAUCCAUUGGAUCAAUAUGUGGUUUUGCAUUAUCUUGUUGGAUGAAGAUAGGGCUGAUAACAUCACUUUGUGGCCAUUUAGCACGAAUUGCAGGCAAAACAUUAUCAAUUAAGCACCUUCUAUACACUUCCUUGGUCACUGAUAGGAUAGACUUUGUUUCUAGAGUACCAGCAACACGAUUUUUGCUAUUCCUUUUAGCUGGUUCUUUGAAGGCAAAAGGAAAUAUUCCAAUUUUCCCAUCAAAGUGCUUGUUUCUAGAACAAUCAAAGCGAGGUCGAGCAACUGCAGCUAGAAACAUAACCUUAACAAUAAACUUUUUACUCCUACAAGUCCUCAUAGGGUGUUCUUCUUCAGGAUGUAGGUAGUAUUUCUCAGACUCCUUAGUCAUGUAGAACCACUUUUCAUCGAUAUGAACCAUAUUGCACAUGUUUUCGAAAACAGGUGCAUCAUUAAGACUCUCUUGUUGAAGCAUUGACAAACAAAAUUUGAGUCUUACCAAUUUAUUGUCAUCAGUAAGGUGAGGCUUUAAUGCAUUUGAAUGUGCUUUGAUAACACCUUCUUUUAUUCGUCGAUGAAGAGUGGACUUGGCAACUUUCAUUUUGGUUGAUAGAGAACGAAUAUUUGUUCGACACCGUAGAGGUAUUUCCAUGAUAGUGCUGAAGUCUAUCUCUACCCUUUUGCGUCCUGCCCUCUUAGGAAACCUGCGAGAGAUGUCAACCGAGCCUCCAUUAAUGAUUGAAGACUUUGCUCUUUCCCAAAUUCUUUGUACUGUCCUCGUGCUGAUUUUGAACUGUGUUGCAAUAACUUUGGUUAAUCCUCUUUCUAGUUGUCCACCAUAACUAUAUUGCAAUAAUGCUUCAAAUAUGGCUUGCCUUUGCUGAUUUGUCAACUUUUUCCUAGAGAUUUCAUAAUUUUGAAAACUAUGAUUAUCCAUGUUCAUUGGGGAAUAUUAUCAAACAGAAUUUGUGCAAUAGACGAAUCUCUCUAUAAUCUCAUUAUAUAGAGAAUAAAGGCAUCAGAAUUAUCAGCUUCCAAAAUCUAUUUAUAAGAAACGUGAGAAACAAAAAGCUUAAAAAAAUGCAUCUACAAAUUUUCAAUGAACCGCCAAAUUUCAAGAAAAAAAGGGAAAAACAACAAAUGGCGCCAAAUAAAAGAUUAGCUAAAUUAUGCUAAGUCUCAAGAUUAUCUACUUCAAAUUGAUCAAAAGAUCAUAAAACAAAAUGAAAAUAAAAAAAAAGCACCAACAAAGUGAUAGACGGAAUUGUAGAAAUCUUACCUUUUUCCAUUGUCAAUCUUCUGUAACUGAUCUUGUUGAUUUUAUGAAACCCAAGCAUACAGAGGAAUAGCUAGAGUUGGAAACGGAUGUUUGCUUUACUUUAACUUGUCUUUGCCUUUUAGUCAAAUGUCUUAAUGGCAAGUGGUCCCCAACACCCAACAGCUUGUUAUUUUACUCCACGGACAACAAAGGGCACGAUUGGAAUAAUCAGAUAAGUGUGUCCCAUUAUGCUACUGUACAUAAAAAGUGUGUUUCCCAAAAAGCGACCCAAAUUUUGGGACGGAGGGAGUACAAAAAUUAAGAUAUACCUUGUGCCAUCGAGUACGUUUGAGCUUGAUGGAUGAUCUUGAUCUUCCCUCAAACUCUCUCAAAUGCCUGUUCUAUUAAUGAGAUAUCACACAAAUUUAGAUGAAUGUCAAGAGGUACCAAGAGUUCGUUUAAAGAUGUAGAAGUGUCCAUUCGCAUUAUUAAUCAACUUCAUUAAUUAUUUCUUUUCGAUAGGAUGAAUCUUAGCAUGAAUCACAUUUUUUGAGAACGUAUAUACAUAGUACAAAUGUAUAUACAUAAUUUAUAUAAAAUUUCAUCUAUGCAAAGAUAAGUUUAAUUGAUCACUUUAUGAGAUUCAUGAAUCCUUGUAAUCCAUUAAUUAGCUAAUUACAUGAGUUUUGGUCCUUUAGGAUUACAGCCUUUACCAAUCAAAGAAAAGAUUCAAGAAUCUUGAUUUUGAAGGCAAACGUGUAAAUUCAGCAUUAUGCAUGGCCGCUAGGGUCACUAUUAGCUACUCCCAAGAUCAAUAAACUUUUACUAUCAUUCCUCUUAAAUCUUCUCUUUGGAUGCUUCCUUGGAAAUUUUGUGAAAGGAAAAAAUCUUUUCCGAAAGAUAAAAUCCACCUUUGGAAGUUUUAAAGAGAAUGCAAUAUCAUUGGAAAUUUUCCACGUUAAGUGAAGGUUUCACUUUUCAAAUAGGUAGAUAUCUAUUACUUAGAAAGAAUAUCUUACCAUUUCAUAUUUUUUUCUUCUUCGCUUUUUUUUUUUUUUUUUUUUUUUUUUUUUUGACCGGGGGGGGGGGGGGGAAGGGGGUCAAAGUUUCUUGAUUUUCUUCUCUUGGCAAGUUAGGAUGAAUGCAAUAUAAUUUAACAAAAGAAAGAGUAACUCAAAAUUUACUUUCUCUUGAAAAUGAAACUUUAAAAUAGAAUUUCUUGGAAUUCAAAGGAGUACAAUAGGAAUUCCAAAAGCCACUACCUUUUGGAUAUCUGGAAAUGCUGUUCGUGUAUGGACAAGAUAAUAUAAGAAAGUGAAAUUGCCCAGAUGAAAGUCUGAAUAUAAUAUCGAAACACCCAUCUUCUUGCAUGAAAAUGAAACAAAGGAAAAAACGAAACAGACGCACGCUUCAGUCGUAUAAAAAGUUUCUUGAGCUAUUCUUUCGUUUCUAGGAGGUACAACCAUUUAGUUGCAAACAAAACAUGCUAUACUUUAGCCAAAAAUGUUAAAUCAAUAGAGAAUUUAAAUCAUUGUAAACUUAUAUAGAGCAUAUAGUAAUUUUUGUGCUUGACACAAUAUCAAAAGCUUUGUGAUUCCCAUGUUCUAGGUAUUAUAGACAUAUUUUCUAUCUAUUUAAACUGGACUUUAAUUUGAUACAGAUAUUAAUUUUGAAACUUGAAUAUUUGUUGACAAUUCAAUAAGCUUUUUAGGUUAAACCAUUAAAUAUGUUUCAGUUCGAUAGACGAGACAACAACUAUUAGUAUGUGCUUUUUUGAAGACAGAAGUACAUAUUAUGUUCAACUAGCAAUCCUGUAAUUUUUUCAGCAAUUUCAAUCAAGGGUUUUUCAUGCCAAAAGUUCCAAUGAAGUUUUUAACAGUCGCUAAUUACUAAGACAAAUAAGAUCAGUUGUCUCAUUUACUCAAGAAAAGCUUCCUGUGGCAAUAUCUAGUUUAAGAUAAGUGGGAGACGCAAACACUACUGCACAAAAAUAAUAUUCCCCAUGCUGCAUCCUGGAGGGAGGUGGCAUGAUAAUGGUGCUAAUCCGUGUUAUCCCAUGUUAUAUUUUUUGCAACGUAUAUUCUCAACAUGUUUUAUCUUUUCAACCACCAUUUUAUAUAAGGGAUAAUUGCAGAAACCUCCCCUGAGAUUUCUGACAUUUGCCCUGACCUCCCCUCUAGGUUUAGAAAUUGCAUUCACCUCCCCUGAACAGUAACAAUUUGUUGCAGAAACCUCUUUGACAGCUUUUGUAGAAGUGAGAUAAGAAUUUUCUUCCAAUUUUGCCCUUACUUGCUUGACAAUUAUUAUUUGCUUGACAAUUGCUUAACUAAUUAUCUAAUUAGUUAAUAGUUAAACUAAUUAGCUAUUAACUAAUUAUCUAAUUAACUAAUUAUCUAAUUAAUUAAUUAACUAAUUAUCUAAUUAACUAAUUAACUAAAACUGUUGUCUGUCCGAAACUAACAAACUAUUUGCAUGUUAAACUAAUUAACUAAUUAACUAACUACCUAAUUAACAAACUAUUUGCCUGUUAAACUAUAUGCAGUACGCAUUACCUAUUUAAAGUAUCGGCUCUUUAUAAGUAUUUUACUUUCAAACAUUUAAUUUAUGAUAAAAAUAUCAAUGUUUGUAAGUAAAAUUCAAAAAGUGUUACAGUAAUAUUCUUACAAAAAGGAAGGGGCAUAGGGCCAUAAAUUAAAUGUUUUAAAGUAAGAAUAUUGAUAUUACUGUAACACUUUUUGAAUUUUACUUACAAACAUUGAUGUUUUUAUCAUAAAUUAAAUGUUUGAAAGUAAAAUACCCAUAAAGAGCCGAUACUUUAAAUAGAUAAUGCGUACUGCAUAUAGUUUAACAUGCAAAUAGUUUGUUAAUUAGAUAGUUAGUUAAUUAGUUUAACAUGCAAAUAGUUUGUUAGUUUCGGACAGACAACAGCUUUAGUUAAUUAGUUAAUUAGAUAAUUAGUUAAUUAGAUAAACAGAAAUUAAUUAAUUAGUUAAUUAAUUAAUUAGAUAAUUAGUUAGUUAAUUAGUUAAGCAGUUAAUUAGUUAAUUAGUUUAACAUGCAAAUAGUUUGUUAGUUUCGGAUAGACAACAGCUUUAGUUAAUUAGUUAAUUAGUUAAGCAGUUAAUAAGUUAAUUAGUUUAACAUGCAAAUAGUUUGUUAGUUUCGGAUAGACAACAACUUUAGUUAAUUAGAUAAUUAGUUAAUUAGUUAAUUAGAUAAACAAAAAUUAGUUAAUUAGUUAAUUAAUUAAUUUGAUAAUUAGGUAGUUAAUUAGUUAAGCAGUUAAUUAGUUUAACAUGCAAAUAGUUUGUUAGUUUCUAACAGACAACAACUUUAGUUAAUUAGAUAAUUAGUUAAUUAGAUAAAUAGAAAUUAGUUAAUUAGUUAAUUAAUUAAUUAGAUAAUUAGUUAAUUAGUUAAUUAGUUUAACUAUGCAGAAAUAGUUUGAUUAGUUAAUAACUAUUAACAAUUAUAUAAUUAGUUAAUUAGUUAAUAGUUAAUUAGAUAAUUAGUUAUUAAUUAAUUAGAUUAUUACUUAUUUAGUUAUUUAGUUAAUUAAUUAAUUAGUUAAACUAUGCAGAAAUAGUUAAUUUAGUGUAAUUUUUAUUAACAAAUGUUUUGUUGGGUUUGAUGAAAGUACUCAUCACAUUCAUUUGGUAAAAUUAAAUCAUGUCAGGGGUACUUUAGUAAAUUGAUCCACUUUUGCCUAUUAAAUUGCCUCCAACUUUUGAUAGGGGAGGUCAGUGCUAUUUCAAAAUUGAUAGGGGAGGUCAAUGCUAUUACUAUAAAAGUCAGGGGAAGUUUCUGCAACUAUCCCUUUAUAUAAAUAUUAUAUCACAUCACAAUACAUGUUACAAUGAAUAAUAAGCUUUCAAUCCACGAACACCCAAAAUAAUCAUAGUGGGGGAAGAGCUAGGUCUAAGUAUGGUCAAUUGACCCCACUAAAUUUUGAAAAAACUCCAUGUAGAAUAGUGGUUUAAAAGGUGACGGGAUCAAGUAGAGCAUUUUUUUUUUAUCCAUUGAGAUGAGGUGUAUGUAAAUCUUAGGCUUGGGGCAUAAGCCCCAUAAGACUUUAUUUUUUAUAUUAAAAAAUAUAUAAAAUAUUUGAGAAAUAAUAACUAUAACACAACUGAAUGCAAAACAGUUAGCAAUUUCAAGUGUUUAACAGGUCAAGUUCCUAUUUGUGACCAAUUUCUCUUUUUUUUCGAAUUUGAAAUUUGAGAGAAAGAUAAUGAAAAUCUAACUAUAUACAAUUUUAGUCCAAUUCGAUGGUUGAUGCAUUGGCCUCUUUGGGUGGUGAUCCAAAAAUUACUUUUCAUCAUAGUUCUAAUCUUCCCCAACAUCUUUGUGGUCAAGGGAGGGUCCUUAAAAUUCUCCUGACUACCAAAUUCAGAGUUCAAAUGCUAGAUCUUGAAGUUGGGAGUAGAAAGGGCGUGGGAAGGGAUUUUUUCUGUUCUUUCUUUUUGCUUCUUUUUGUCCUUUUAAUCAAAGAUGUUCAACAAAAUUAAGUGUUAGGAAUAAAGACCGUCAAAAAUCAGUUACGUAAUCAUAUAAGGGAUCAAUGGAUGAAUGAUCUUCUGGUUACUUAUAUUACAAUAGAUAUCACUAACAAAAUAUGCCUUGAAUUGAUUUUACAACGUUUGAGUUGAUUUUGUAACCUUUUCAGAAGAUGAGUAUUCGUGAAAGACAAUUAUAAUAUGUAUGUAACAUUAUAAUCUUUAUUCAUAGAAAUUCUAUUGCAUUAAAGUUCGACCCUACUUACUGUAAGGUCUUUGCUUCGCCACUCAUAGACACUGAUUUCCUUAUUAGGCAACUAAGAUCCAAUCUAUGCCAUACUCACGACAAAGACCAAGAGGAUAUAUAUCUUUCUUGAUCCAUGCUCUUGAGAUAAACUCUUAUUACAAUAACAAAAAAAAAAAAAAGCAUCGCUGUGGAGCUUUUAUUGCUAUAUAACUUUUAUAUCUCUUCUCAAUUUCCUCAUCAAGAAGUAGUAUAUACAUCAUAUGACAAGUACAGGAAAAGCUCUUCAGACGAUGUUUAUUCUGGUACACGUUUGACCCUUGAAUUAUUUGAAACUAAUUCCAUACUUAGGCUGUUGAUUUGGAUAAAAAAGGCCAAAAUGUUUUUCUGUCUCCUCUCCACGCUUCUGGUUCUCAUCAAACAUGGCAAAUAAAUAAGUUUCUAUGCCUCCUCCAGGCUUUUUUGGAGUCCCUUUCCCGCUCAUAACAUGGCGAAUCACAUUCUUGUAGUAAGUGCCUGCGUUUGCAGAUGAUGCAGCAGGAGGAUUCCCGUCAGAUGGCCAGCCAGUUUCCGACACAACAAUGUUUACCUUAGAACCGCCUUCUUUUUCUAGAGCUGAAUAAUGACCAUCCAACAUUGCAUCAAAAAGGUUCUGAUAUCCCAAUUUACCAUCUUGAACAACCGUUUUUUGUGAGGUGAACAAUGCAUAAUCCAGUGGAAUAGUGUUUCUACUACCAAUAUAGCUGAAGUAGGGGUACACAUUGACUAGCAAUGGUGCAUUAUUUUGGACUAGGAAAUUAAUUAUAGGUUUAAUGAAUGGUUUAGCUUCGUUCGAAAAUGAACCAUGUGAGGGAGGAUAAGAAUUGGUUACUAGACCUGUAAGUAUUGAUGUUGAAACCUUGAUUUGGUUCUGAAGGCCUGCUGAUGCUAUUGCUUUCUGUAUCUUUUCCAUGGCUGGACCAACAUAUCGAGCAACGGCAGAACCAACAGGUACUUCAUUUCCAACUGAUAUGUAUCGGAAUUUCACAGCUGGUGAAUAUUUUUUGAUGUUGUUUUGAACCCAAUUCGCAGCUGCUGAAGGAUUGGUUGCAACGUCUUGAAUGCUUUCAUUGGGAACAUCAACAAGAAGUUCUAUAUUGGUUCCUUUUAAAGCAUUGAGCACUUCAGGAUCUGGGCCGUAAAUUCUCAUUCUUUGGAUGCCAUUUCGUUUGUAAAGAUUUAUAACGUCCUGUUUGGAGGGUAGGUUGUUGCCAUUUAGCCCAUAACAGACUCCGAUAGAUUGCACCCCUGCAUCAGAAGUGAUUGAUGGAAAAUGAAAGUAUAGAGAGUUUGUGUUCAAUUCUCUUUAUAAAAUGGUUUGUAAAAAUCAAUUCUCUUUGCUAAUUAAAGUUGACACAAAAUAUAUAUGUGCAUAAUAUUUGACUCUACCAUGAUUCAUCAAUUACUAAGCUCAUGACCAGAACUUCAUCUGAGAAUGUUUUACCACUCGGUUUGAAUGUAUCCUUGAAAUUAUGCAAAAGAAAAGAAAAAGAAUAAGGCACUCGUAAAUCAUAAUUUGUAAAACAAAUAAAAAUGCCUAUAUAGUUGAUAUGCUGCAUACAUAUUAGUAAUUUACAACUCUAGGAAUUAUAUAUUCAUAUAAACCUACCUGUUUAAAAUUACUUUAAAAAAUAGCAAUUAUGAAGUUAUUCCUACCAAAAUAAGACAACUAUUCGUGCCAUUAACCUUAAUGCAUGGAAACAAGCAAGGAACAUGGGGGCAGAGACAUACCUGUGAGUCUGAGACCAAGCAAAAACAGCCCAAGCAAAAGCAGGAUAGUUGUCAUUAUGGUUUUGUUGAUGAGGAGAAUAUAGCAAAAGCAGAAUUGGAAGAAAAUAGCACUCAAAGAUUUGCAAAGGAAGACAUGACAGAAUGAAGUGGCUAGGGUGCUUCUUAUAGGGAAAAUUUUUGGGCAUUAGACAGUUAAGCAUGCAGACGUAUUAACAAAGUUUUGCCCAGUCAAUACUCUCCACUGUCCAAAAUAUUGACGAAUUAGAUCUCAAUUUUCUCUAGACUUGGCAAUUUAAGCAAGCAAGUUUAAGUGAUUGUACAAGAGAAACAAUACCUUUAUUCAGGGGUGCCACAACAUUAGCUUAAACUUACAAUAUUAGUAUGUAGUUUUUUUAUAAAACUAUAUAUUUGUUAUAAAUAGACUAAUUUAUUCAAUGUAACCAAAAAAGGCUUGUGAUUCAUCAUUUUUAGUAGUUAAUAUGUCAUCUAAUGGUAUAAAAUUUGCAUAUUAGAUAAAAUUUGUGCAAGACUAGAAGAUGUAAAUUCUAAUAUUUGAUAGGUUGCAAUUUUAUCAUUUAUUUUAUUAUUAAUUUUCCCUAUUACCUGACCUGAUGUGAAUUAAUUAUUAGAUUCUACUCACUUUUCAUAAUUUACAUUUAUUUCAGGGAAUAGAAUGAAAAUGCCACAACCAAUGCCAAUUUGACAGUCAUCGGGAAAGAAUUCAAAAAGAAGACACUCAGGGACAUUUUUGGAACAAAAGAGACGCGAGGCCUUUUUAGUCAUUUUGGCCGAAGUCUUCCUGGAAGGGGAGAGCCGCCGCAAAGGAUAGCAAUAAAAGGGGCGCCGCACAGUAGAGUUAGCAAUUAGAUAGGAAUUAGAAUUAGGAGCAGGGAACUUCUUUUUCUUCUUUAGAUUAGCUAUUGUUGACUUUUCCAUGGGAUCUCUUUUUGCUUUUUGAUUCUUACUUAUGGCAGGAGCAAAGGGUAGAGCCUUUGACUUUUCCUUUCAUCUUUAGUUGCUUUUCUUUUCUUUUCCGUUUCCGUAGAGUAGACAAGAGAUGAGUUAAAUCUCUUUAUCUAGUCAAGGAAUAAUGGAGGCUUUGAUUCGCCUAAAAAUUAUGAGAUCGAUUUAAUUUUAUCUUUUUCUUUUAUUUAUUGGUAUUCGUAUAUUCUUGAUUUCAGUACUUAUGGUUAUUUAAUUAAUUGAUUGUCUUGGAUCCGAAUAAUUAGUUAAUUUGGUAAUCUAUUGUCAAUUAGGGCAUUAAAUCCGUAAUUAUUUAAUUGCCUUGAUAUAGUGACAACUAGCAUGAUUGAAUUUGUGUCAGGAAAAUACAUGGGUUAAUCUAAAUAACCCUGGUAGUACGUUAUUUGGUUAGAAUAGGACUUCUCUAAUAUGUAAGGCAAUUAGGGAAUUAAAUCUUACGGGCGUACCGAGAAUUAUUUUUUAAUUAGAGCAGUGGUUAAUGGGCAUACCUUAAUCACCGACACAGUAAGGAGGAGUUGACUGUCAUCGCUUGUUUGUCAGUUAUAACUUAUUUAUUAAUAAAUAAUUGGAAUUGACUUUGCAUCGAUGAUCAAUUAGGUGAACCAUUGGUGAAGUUAUUCCUUGGCUAAAUCAUUAGUUAUCAUUCAUUUGAUUUUAGUAAAUUGUUAUUUAAUUUCUAGUUGGGUAUUUUAUUUUUAUUGUUUUACUUUUAGUUGAAUUGCUUAAAUUGUCACCCAUGAUAUAAAAACACCCCCCUGUCACUGUGAAUUUGAAAAGAAACAAUUACUCCCAAUCCGUGUAAAUUCGACCAUGCUCACCGCUAUCUACAGAAAUUACUUUUAGUUUGAGUAGGUUUUAUUAUUGCACAGGCUGACAACCUGUCAAUUUUUGGCGCCGUUGUCGGGGAUUGGUGUCAAGUUAAUUUAUUUUUUUUUAGUUCAUCUUGUUUUUAUUUUUUUUAUUUAUUUUUCUCUUAUUUUUUUAUAUAGUUUAUGGCUGCUAACAUUCCGUAUUUUGAUGACAGACUGGAAUUUAUUCCUGAAUGGGGUUAUGAGACUCGUGUUUUUUCUAAUGAUCAAUGAGCUGUUGCAAAUUGUGGAAGUUAUUUUGCCUCAAAUCAGUCAACCGACAUAUACCCCGCAUUAGGGGUGGCAAUUCCUGACACGACCCGAAAACACGACACGAACCUAACACGAAAUUAAUGGGUUUGGGUUGAGGUUUUGGGAGUUCGGGUCAGAAUCGGGUCGAACCCGAUGAACCCGAAAAGAAAACAUGUCAAUUUCGGGUCAACCCGUGGUGACCUGAUAUGACCCGAUGUGACCCGUUUACGAAUUAAAACUAAUUUAAUAAACAUAAAAAUUAUUUUAUCUAACUAAACUAAAUCAUUUUUUUUCCAAAGGCAUUAAUUACUUAAUCCUAAAUGAAUUUAUUUAACUUGUGUGAAGUUAAAAUUAUUAUAUUUGGACAAAUAAUAUAUUAUGUUAUUUUUUACUUUUAUGUUGUUUUAAUUUAUUUUAUAUUUGGUUUGGAAUAAAACACUUUUAUGGUGUUUAAUUUAUUUUAGAUUUGGUUUGAAAUUAUUUAUUUAAAUUUUUAUUACAUGAUGAUGUAAUUAAUUUUGUGAAAAAUUGAUUUUAUUAGAAAUUACAGUGAUAAAUUAAUAAAUUAAAAUUAAGUUUCGGGUCAUUUCGGGUCGACCCGCCAACCCGCCAACCCGAAAUUUUCGGGUUCGUGUCAGGUACCCUGACCCGUUUCGGGUUGGCGGGUCGGGUUCGGGUCAGCAGGUUCUUUGUUAUACUUAGGCCUCAACCCGACCCGCCAACCCGAACCCGACCCGUUUGCCACCCCUACCCCGCAUUUCAAGAUGGCCUAAGUGCUCCAAUCGAUACUUUUGGAGAGUUUUCACCUCAAUAUCAAACGUGGUAUGACCCUUAUUCAAACGGGUAUGACCAAGGAUGGUGGGAUGAUUCCAAUAGUAAUUAUGCGACCGGACCAAUGGGUUUUCAACAGCAAGAGUCUCAACAAUCAUCAUCCAUGUCAGGUAUGUCUCUUGAAGAAAUGAUUGAAUUACCAACUGCUAAUACAUAUCGAUUUCAGCAGGAGACACAAGCGAUGGCGGAGCAAAUGCAUCUAUUGACAUCCAGGAUAACGCGAUUAGCUUCUCACCUUGAAGAAUUGCCCUCACAAACCAAUAUCAACCUUGAAGAAGAUGAGAGUGCAAUUAACCGGCCAAAUGACAUGGAACUGCAAGAGUUUCAAGAAAACGGAUCUAAAGAUGCAGUUGAAAAGGAAGUUGAAGUGCAAGAAAUGAGACCCCAGUAUCAACUCUUUCAAGUGAAUGAAUCCAGUGAACAAUUUCCAAAUGCGGUGACAUCUCCUCCAUUGCUUAAUUAAUAUUCUCCUGACUCUUAUUCUUCAAUUCCUGGUAAUGAAAUUGACUUUAUUAUACCAGAAAAUUUUGAAUUUUAUUAUAGGAAUAAAUUAAGAGUGGCGAUGGCAAGAUAUCUUGAACCAAUAAAUGCAUGUGAGGGAGGAAUGAAUGGAGAAUUCAAAUUAUCGUUGACUUGUUUAGCGCCAUUUACUAGUCCAUGGAAGACUGUAGCUCCUGUGCUCAAGGAUUACUCUAUUUACGAGGGUUAUCAGGACUAUAUAAAGGAUGAAGCAUUGAAACGAGCCACAAGAUUUUAUCCUCCCUGAACAAACAUGACAAUGUCUAGCCAAAGACAUUAAAGAAAGGCGCUUAUUGGGAGGCAACCCAAUUUCUUUUAGUCAUUUGUUCGUUUUUGUUUGAUAGUUUAAAUAUGUUUUUCCUUGGAUUUGACUGAUUUUUGGCUUCAAUUUUUGUUUUUGAUGAUUCGUAGGUAUCCCUCUGACUUGACGCGCCCGCGUCAACUGGGCGCAUGGCACAGUGCGAUUUCCUGGUGCUUAGUAAAAAGGGUUUCGAUCCCCUUGACGUGCCCGCAUCAAGUCCCAUGAAGAGUUCAUGGUCAGAUUCGUCAGAAGGGGUUCUUGUCCUCAUGACGUGCUCGCGUCAAGUAACCUGGAGAGCUUUUCACUUCGUGCCUACAUGACGUGCCCGCGUCAUGUUCGCAGGAAAGGUAAGCAUUCAAAUUUUGAGAAAAAAUUUUGAUUUUCUUUUAAUCUCUAAUUUUGAAUUUUGAAAGUGAAUUUCAUUCAUAAUAUUGAGAAAAGAAAAAAAGAUAAAAAAAUUCCAAAGAAAAGUUUUUUUAAAUUUUUUUUUAAAAAAACUCAAAGAAAAAAACCAAAAACUAUUUUGUUUUUCUUUUUCUCUUUUGUUUUUCUUUCUUUUCUUUUCUUUUCUUUCUUUUUCUUUCUUUCUUUCUUUCCCUUUUCUUCCUCUUCUCCCCCGCUACCCCUGUUUCCCUUUCCUUCUUCACUCUUUUGGCCGAAAGCCUUCACCGCUGCCCCUUCAUCCAAACUUCAUCGCCACCACCUCGCGCGACCAGUGUCGCGCCGCAUGCCUACCACCAGCGCAGCCAAGUCCAGCCCUCUAUCGCAGUCGACGUGCACGCCAGUGCGCCGCCAGUAGCCGCGAGCACCACGCAACGCCGUUCACUGCCACAGUCUCCAUCCACAGCUCGCCGUGUCUCCAAGCCUCGCGUCUGCCUCCAUCACCCACCAUCGCGAGCCUGUCUCACUUCAGCAGCUGCGCGGCCCCGAAUCGCGCCACCAGCUCCCUCCGUCUUCUCUUCACUACUUCACGCGCACCUCCACCUGUGCGUACCACCACCAGCUGCGCGCACCCAGCAAGCAUUCGCAGCUGCCGAGCCCCCCUCUGUCCCACGCCACCUUCUCUAACCGUGACGCACGCCAAGCUCUACUCCCUCUUGUGACGCUUGUGCUCCACCACCUCUCCUCUUUCCAUUGCCGUGCGCACCGUCGCUACUUGUCAAAUUUUUGACAGGUAGAGGUAUUGUAUGCUCCCAGUCGCUAGUUCAUUUUCUGGGACAUCAUUUUCUGGACUAUCGUUAUUUUAAUUUCUUGUUGCCCUUGCUUACUUGGUUGCCCUGUAUUGCACUAGUGGGAUUGAUUUGCUUGAUUUUACGCCUAUUAUUUGGGAGUUCUGUGCACGAUGGUUGCCAUUUUGAUUCCUUCUUAUUUCUGGUGCCGUUUGCUAUUGGUUGGGAUAUCAAGUGAUUUGGGUUGACCGUUUGAGAUUUUACUUUAACUAUGUGGCACACCAGUGGUACUGGUUGGGGCAUUUGGCCUUGAUUUUGUUGCUUCUAUUGGGUUGGUUGCCUGACUGAUAGCUGAGAGUUUGUAAUUGAGUUAUUAUUGUCAAAUUUCUAAAUUGCUAUUGCUGGAAUUGCCGAUUUUGAGUUGAGAUAUCCACUGUCCAAUUGGAGAAUUUGUUGAGAUUUUGGGUGGACAGAGUUUUGCAUUUGCUGGUUGAAUUGAGUUGAGAUGUCUCAGAACUUGGCCGCGUACUUCCAUCACAUCGGUUUCAUUCCACUGUUCCCUCCUAUCCCUUAGCUAUUCAACAGGGAAGUUUCAUCGUUCUCUUCGCUUUAAUUAUUUUAUUACCUCCAUUGAGGACAAUGUAGGAUUUAGGUGUGGGGGGAGCAGUUAUGGUGCUAGUGUCUUUAGUUUUGAGUUUUUAGAUUUUUUUUCCUUUCUUUUUAGUUUGUUAUUUGUCCAUCUUUCGUUCAUUUUCUUUUUUUUCUUUUUAGUGAUUAGCUCGUAAGUGCAUGCCAAGACUUGAUGUUGGUUUGUUGACUCUAAUUCUGUUAUUGCCAAGUUUUAAUAAUAAAAGUGCAUUAAGUUAAUGUGGUUGAGUCUAAGAAUAUUUCUGUAGUGAAUAUCAACGACUGUGUGACUUUUAUAAUUUUUGGUUAACUUUUCUAGGCAUAGGGAAUGACUAUUGGCAUUUUCAUGUGAAUUGGUCCGGUUAUUAAUCUUAGUUCUCCAUAUUUGAAAAUGAGUUAGCGGUUGCAACUUUUCUUUUGAUUUUUGUGUUAUUUUGAAUUUUUGGUGUUAUUUGGCUGUGAAUAAGAGUUGACUGUACUCCACUAGUAUUUACUACCGAGUAGGGCUGCAAACGAGCCGAGCCGAGUCGAAUUUUGAGCUAAUCGAGCCGAGUCUCGACUAAAUUUUACCAAGCUCGAGCUCGACGAGCCGGCAAAUUUCGAGCUCGAGCUCGACUCGAAUCAAGUCGAGCCGAGCUCGAGCUCGAGCUCGAGUUCAAAAAAAAAUAAAAAAUAAUUAUUUUAUUUUUAAAAAAAUAAAUAAAAUAAUAUUUUUUUCUUAAUAAAUAAUAAAAUAUUAAGGAUAUAUACGUAAUUUUACUAUGAAAAUAAAAAAUAAAAAAAAAUAUAUAUAUAAUAUACGUAAUUUUAUUAUUAAAUAAAAAUAAAAAUAAAAAAAUAUAUAUAUAUACCCAAGCUCGCGAGCCGGCUCGCGAGCUAACGAGCUUAAUAUUCUGAGCUCGAGCUCGAGCUCGAGUUUGACUCGAGCCGGCUCGAGCUCGACUCGAGCUUGACUCGAUUCGUUUGCAGCUCUACUACCGAGUAACCGGGGAUUUUCACCAAAAAUGUCGAUUUUCUCGUCAAAAAGUAAUAAUUGCUAUGAGUGCGUGGUCACGUGGCGAUAGGAGCUGAGUAACCGGGCUCUUUCAUCUGGCGAAUGUCGGAGUUCGCGUCAAAAAAGCUUCAAUGGCCAGAGACUAAGUCUUGUGUUACUAUUAAAAAAAACAGAAAAAUAGAAAAACAUGAAAAAAAAGUGAAUGUUGUGUUAGUGUAUAAUAAAAGUCAGCUUGCUGAUUUAUGGAUUUAAUGUUGAGAUUUUGGUUAAUAGUUGACCAUUUGCUGAUAAAUGUUGUGUGUCAUUCCUUUUUCUUAGAUUAGUUAACCUGAAAUUAGAGGAGUUUGUGGUUUAGAAACUAACCAGAGUGAUGUUUCUUGGAUCUUGAUCACUGAUGCUUGAUAUAUGUUUUUCUUGGUAUCUUGGCAAUAAGAUAGAUGGAGCAAUAGCCAUUAUCAAAUAUGGGUGUUUGUUUGCUGUUCUUAUGCUUGAGGACAAACAUGUUUUAGAUGUGGGGAGAAUUGAUAGGUUGUAAUUUUAUCAUUUAUUUUAUUAUUAAUUUUUCCUAUUACCUGACCUGAUAUGAAUUAAUUAUUAGAUUCUACUCACUUUUCGUAAUUUACAUUUAUUUUAGGGAGUAGAAUGAAAAUGCCAUAACCAAUGCCAAUUUGACAGUUAUCGUGAAAGAAUUCAAAAAGAAGGCACUCAGGGACAUUCUUGGAACAAAAGAGACGCGAGGCCUUUUUAGUCAUUUUGGCCGAAGUCUUCCUGGAAGGGGAGAGUCACCGCAAAGGAUAGCAAUAAAAAGGGGCGCCGCACAGUAGAGUUAGCAAUUAGAUAGGAAUUAGAAUUAGGAGCAGGGGACUUCUUUUUCUUCUUUAGCUUAACUUUUGUUGACUUUUCCAUGAGAUCUCUUUUUGCUUUUUGAUUCUUACGCAUGGCAGAAGCAAAGGGUAGAGCCUUUGACUUUUCCUUUCAUCUUUAGUUGCUUUUCUUUUCUUUUCUUUUCCGUAGGAGCAGACAAGGGAUGAGUUAAAUCCCUUUGUCUAGUUAAGGAACAACGGAGGCUUUGAUUCGUCUAAAAAUUGUAAGAUCGAUUUAAUUUUAUCUUUUUCUUUUAUUUAUUGGUAUUCGCAUAUUCUUGAUUUCAGUACUUAUGGUUAUUUAAUUAAUUGAUUAUCUUGGAUCCGGAUAAUUAGUUAAUUUGGUAAUUUAUUGUCAAUUAGGGCAUUAAAUUCGUAAUUGUUUAAUUGUCUUGAUAUAGUGACAACUGGCAUGAUUGGAUUUGUGCCAGGAGAAUAGGCGGGCUAAUCUAAAUAACUCUGGUAGUGCGUUAUUUGGUUAGAAUAGGACUCAUCUAAUACGUAAGGCAAUUAGGGAAUUAAAUCUUACGGGCGUACCGAGGAUUAUUUCUCAAUUAGAGCAGUGGUUAACGGGCGUACCUUAAUCACCGACACAGUAAGGAGGGGUUGACUGUCAUCGCUUGUUUGGCAGUUCUAACUUAUUUAUUAGUAAAUAAUUGGAAUUGACUUUGCAUCGAUGAUCAAUUAGGUGAACCAUUGCUGAAAUUAUCCUUGGCUAGAUCAUUAGUUAUCAUUCAUUUGAUUUUAGUAAAUUGUUAUUUAAUUUCUAGUUGGCUAUUUUAUUUUUAUUGUUUUACUUUUAGUUGAAUUGCUUAAAUUGUCACCCGUGAUAUAAAAACACCCUCCUUGUCACUGUGAAUUUGAAAAGAAACAAUUACUCCCAGUCCUUGUGGAUUUGACUUGCUCACCGCUAUCCACAGAAAUUACUUUUAAUUUGAACAGAUUUUAUUAUUGCACAAGCUGAAAACCUGUCAAUAUUCAUAGUACGUAGCUGGAGAAUAUGCAUAUGGUCAAACUAUCAAAUAAAUUUUUUGUGUACUUGUAAUUCAUAUGGUUGGAAAUCUAAGAAAAGUCCAAUGUUAUGUAAAUUACCAUUCAUUAGAAAGAAAAUAAAAAAUGCAACAUCCAAUAUGUGUCAUCUCAAGGUUCUAUUGUAGAAAUAGUGAGAACAAAUGUAACAAUUUUGAACACUUUUGGGUGGUGGGGGGUGCAAUUAUUCAGUCAGGCCUGUGGAAUCUAGAAAGUUCAACGAUUAAGUAUGGUUAAUGACUUGUGCAAAUUUCAAUCAACGUUAUUUUCUACGAAACAUGUAUUAACAGUAUAAAUUAAUCCACCAAGAUUACCAAUAUAUACACAUAACAAGUGUAAAACAACAAUUAUGUUGCUAUAGAACUCUCAAAAACAGGUAAGAAGUUAUUAUUGUUUUAUGCUUAUUUUUUGGAUAAUUUUUUUUAUGCACUAUCAGUAUAUAUACAAGUAGUUGUGGAUGUAUGCAACGUAAUCUAAUUUUAAAUUGAAAAUUUAAUUUUUACAAACGUCCACAACGGUUAGUGUAAAAAAAAAAGAUUUUAUAUUGACAAUGUAUAAAAAUUUAAUCCUUAUCUUUUAAGUUCAUAAAUUUCUCAUAUCAAUGCAUAUAUUACAACUAACAAUUAUUGAGGCCUCACCCAUUAAGGACGUAGUAGUAAACUUCUUAGCCUCUUUUAAGUAGUAAUGUAGUAGUCAUUUAAGGGUUUUUAUCCACUACUGCUAUUGUUUGUGGAGCCUUGGAUGUUACUCCUGGACUAAAUUGAUGGAUCAAUCGAUUGACACUGCGUGCAAAUUGGUCAUAAAUUUUCCAACGCAAGACAAAACCAUCCACUUCAUAUUUGCCAUGAUUGGCAUCUCCACUAACAAAUUGUAGUACUUAGAAAGCUAUGUGAAUGCAACGGGAAUGGUGUAUUGGUAACAACUUAUAAUGGCCUUAUAACAUGCUACGAGACCUCACUAAAUAUCUCCAUGAGUGAAUGACAAUAUAUAACAAUAAUUAUUGAAUUAAUUUUUUAUAUACCAACAGUAUAGUGAUUAUUUUUACACUAAUAGUUAUGAAUAUAUGCUACAUAUGCAGGAUUUGAAUUUUAAAUUUGAAUUCAUGCUAUAUGACAUGAUUUAAACUUAUUAGAGUAAAGAAAAUUAUACACUACUAGUACAUAAAAAAAAAAAAAAAGUUAUCCACAAUUGUUUGUUCUCAAAUUUGCAUCUUAAUUGCCAAAAAGUUUUUAUGGCUAUUUGUACAUGCCAAAAUUACAUGCAUUUUUUCCCCAGCCAAUACUCCAAACUGAAAUUAUGAUGCCCAAAACUUGGUCCCAUAAGAACGACAGUGAACAAAGGUGGAUUAUAUGGCCUACAAUCGAGGCUGAAUUUUUCCAGCUGUUCUGAAAAGCAAGAAAAAAUAACUUUUGCCCAAGAAAUACUCCAAGGAAAAAUGUGACCUAAACUAGGUUUAAUUUAGAAAACCAAAGUAUUAAUUAAAAAAAAAAUAGUACUUCUCAAUUAUUUGUUGGCCUGCUUGCUGAUGGUCUCUGUAUCGUUGUCUUUGUCAGUUAUCUCUGCUUGGAUGCUAAGGCGGCCUAAGAUUAAUCAAACAAAUAGAAUAGUUAAAUCCUUUGGUCACUUCAUCUCCGUCCUGAUUUUAAAUGGAAGGAUAGUGCUUGAGGGUCCGGAAAAUUUGUAGAAGGUGCAGUGAUGCAUCGGUAUGAUUUGAACGUGGAUUCUCAUCCUCAAAUCUGACGCAAAAGUCACGGAUGGAAUUUACCCAAUACACACUCUUGAAUAGCAGCUCCGAGUUCUCUUGUUAACAAAAGAAAGAGAGGCAUGAUCUACUUUCAAACAAUUUUCACAAAAUACUAGACAAACUUAGGUAAGGUAGUUAAAUUCAACCAAAAGUUGUAUUAAAAUUGAUAAAAAGGGAAAAUUGUGCCGGUUCUUCCUCACAUAUUGUUGAUGCAAAAUUUUAAUCCUUCAGAAUCAAAAUCAGCUAUUUUAGUUUCUAAUAAAUAAAGCUCAAUUUUAUACUUUGGUCAUUUUUCCUGCCAACUUUCGGCUGGAAUAAGCCACAGACAAAUGACGUGAUCAUAUUUAAAAGACAAACCUAGCAAUUCACUAAAUGUUGGCCUAAUUUUUCACUUAAUCUACCAUUUCUCCCAAUUCUUUUCACCCAAACUCGAAUUUCACAAAUUCAAAAGCACAUUUGCCCAUUUUGCCCCUUCAAUACAUCACAGUCCAAUAUAUUGAUGAAUUAUUUUACAAUUUCUCAAAACUUUACAAGUUAAACUGGAAAUUGUUAAGUGAUUAUCCAAGGGACAUGCAACUAAUUAACAACAUCCUUGUGUGUUCCACUCCUGCCACGUUCUCAGUGGAGAGUUCAAUCAAUAAUCUUUAAGUACUAGGAAAAUGCAUCGAUCUGCUGAAUCGAAUCAAAUUUCUCUUUUUGAUUUGAAAUUAAUAUUACUUAUUGUACAUUUAAACUUAUAUAGUAAUACUAGCAAUUUGUUAUGCAAAUGCAAUAACUUAGUUUAUGAACACAUUGAUCAUUUCCAGCAAUGUUACCCCGGCCCCAUGUUUAAUAAAUAUUUUUAUUACUAUACCAUCGACACAUUAAACAAAAUAAUUCUAUUUAAGACAAUAGUUCAGUCCAUUAAAUUUUAUAUUUUGAACUUCGAAUGUGAUAUAGGUUAGUGAUACAUGUAUGGAUGCGAUCGAGUUUCUUCCUUUGAUGAACUUCUGUUUCUUUCUUAAUACAUACUGGGCUUGUCCUUUUUUUAGACACAAAAAUUUGUAUAAACUUUGUUGCUCAUUUUUGCUCUGUGUUUGCCUUAUUCGUUCUCUUCACUACAAGGGUUUGGCAUUUUCAAAGACAGUUUUCUUAUGUGUUUCUAUUGAAUAUGCUAAAAGAUCAUCUAAAACUUGACUAUAUGUAAAGAGAUAAGAAGCUCAUAUAUAGUAACAAGUUUUAAUGGUUCUUCAACUGUGGACUAUCAUUUUCUUGCUUGAUACAGCUAAAUAAUUGAUAGUCGUCAUCUUCUAACUUUAUAAGCAAAGUGAGGAUUGUUGUCAUUACAGUUUUGUUGGCAAACGGGGAAGAAUAUAGCAAAGCAAAGUUGGAAGAAAAUAUCACUCAAAGGCUUGCAAAAAAAGUUAUGAAAAAGUAGUGGCUAGAGUGCUUCUUAUAGGGUAAAAUUGUCCUAUUCAGACGGUUGAUCAGGCUUGAUUAAUUUAACUUUGCCCAGUGCAAUACUUCUCAGUCCAAUAUAUUGAUAAACUAUAUUGACUUAAAAAUUUAAGCUGGAAAUUCUUAAGUAAUUCUCCAAGGAAGAUGCAACUAAUCACAUCUUUGCAUAUUCCAGUCCCGGAAGAGCUGUUCCCUGUGUAGAAUUCAGUCAGUGAUUUUAGAAAAUUUAGAUUUCUGUAUAUAUUCUUAAAUCUUAAUUAAUACCCUUAAGUGUGUAAGUUUAACUUAAUUAGUUUCCAUCCUAUGUCAUCAUCGUUUGGGAAUCUUGUAACAUGUUUCUGCACUAGAGAGGUGGCUAAAUUAAUCUGCAUUGCAUGCAAAUUGGCUAUCAACUUCAUAUUUUCCAUGGUCCACUCAAAAUUUGUUGGCAUCUCCACUAACAAGUUGGAAUUCCAAAAGGGUAUGAUUGUUAAUUAAGGACUUAUGCUUUUGGAUUCAAUCAUAUAAACCUUUUAAUGAAUCGUAUUUCGAACUAAUAAAGGAUGGAAAAAAUAAACAAGAAGGGAUCAUAGGUUUUCGUUGAACGUGAGAUAAUAGGUGUUUUUAAGUGUGGAGAAAACUCUUUUCAAACCAAAUUUUUUAUAUGUCUCAUGACUGGUCCUCACAACUAAGUUCACCACCAGAAGAAAACUCUUUCAAACCAAUGGAAAGUUCUUUUCCUUCUGAUUUUCCAGCAUUUCAAACAAUACAGUCAUCUAAACAUAGACUAUAGGUACAGGUAAAUUAACUACCCUCCCCUCUUUUACAAAAAUUAAGGACAUCCGCUUUCUAGUCCAACCAGCAUUUAUAAUAGUUAUGAUUUUUUAUUUUUACCCUUUUCCUUUUGUUCACGUUUAGCAUAUUGAGCAAAAGAAAGUUACAAAACAAAGAGUUUUAAUUCUCUCCACCUUAGAAGGAUGAAAAAGUAGAAAUAAACUCAUAUGCAAUAAAACGGCUUCAAAUAAAUGAGGUGUUUUAAAAUACGUUUAUUAAGUUUUUUCAAUAGUAGGGAAUCCCAACUCAUAAAUGAGGUGUCCUAGAUACGUUUAUUAAGUUUUUUAAAAGUAGAAAAUCCCAACUCAUACUUUUUUUUCUUUUCUCUAGUAGGAAAGAGGUAGGAUUUAAGAAAUGAUUAGGAAAAAUGGAGAUUUGAACCCAAGAUCUUUAAGUUCUGAAAUCUCAACAUGUUAAAUAAUAGGAAGCAAAACUUAAACUUAUUCAGUGGCAAAAUUAGAAUAAAAAAUAUAUACUGUAAAUUGUCUUUGAAAUAUACAACUAAUUAAUCUAAAAAUAAGAAAAUAACCAAAUGGUUCAAAUAAACGAAAUAAGCAAGAUAAGUUUAUAACUUAGAAACUGAAUAAUUGAUCUAAAUUUAUGAUACUUGGGUGGUCAAAUUGUUUUCAUGCAAAAGGGGUUGAAUAAUUGAUUUAAUGUUUUUAUAGUUGGGUGAUCAAACUUUUUUUAGCUACUUUGACUUUUGGGUUUGAGAUUUAGUUAGUCAGAUUGAGGUAGCAUGUCUCUCUGCCUUAAGUAUAGAAAGACAUGUGAUUUUAUAGAAAGACAUGUGUCAAAUUUUGUAUAGUAAUUGAGGCAGACAGACAAGUAUAGAAAGACAUGUGUCUCUCUGCCUUAGCAUGUAUCAAAUUUUGUAUGCCAUCAAUUACUUUUUUUUUUUUUUUUUUCAGAAACGACAUGUGAUUUUAUAGAUAAUAAAACCUUUACAAUUUUAAGUAAAGACUUGAGAGAACUUUACAACCAGUGCAAACUAACACUGAGGAAUCCAAAAUUCCUAAUCUUCAACGAAGUCUAGCUCAUGCACGCUAAUCCUAUGACUAAUAUGGUUAAUAUUCCUAUUUACUAAACAAUCCCCUUGUUUUGAUAUUGAAUAACAGCGUACAAAGGAGCAACAUGAAUAGAGCAAAGACAAAAUUGAUUAACCAAAACUCAUUGUUUUUUGUUUCUAAUUAGUUGUCCAUGGAGUAAAUUGGGUUUCGUAAAGUUCUUUUAAUCGACUUAGAUUUAUGGUAUUUAAUUUUGGUGUGAUGAAGAUGACUAUGAAUCAUGGGACAGUCCUUUGUUGGCGCCUCCAUGAUUGGAGCUUCUGUGGUGGAAAAGUGUCUUUGGGACUUUUGGGAGUGUGCAGGAAGAAGAGGAAAGUGUUGGGAAAAUUUCGCAACUUUAUGAGUAAGUGGCAGCUAUGCAAUAUUGCAAUGGCAUCCGAACAAAAGCAGGCGUUAGAUGACCCUGCACUAAGUAAUAUACGACUUAAACGAAGAAACAGAAAAUUCUAUACUACAUCAUGUAUGAUUAAAUGAUGGAAAUAAACUAACCCAUUUUAUUAAUUUUAGGAAUUUUUAUAUUUGUGUUUAUAGAUUAGAAAUAUUGUGAUUUAGAAUCGUUUUUUUUUUGUAAAUGGAUUCCUUUGCUAAAUCAUAUGCUUCCAUCCUCUAAUUUCACUCUCUACUCUUACCAAUUGCUCUUAUCCCUUGUUCUCAAUCUUUCAAAUUUUUCCAAAUGGAAUUUACAAAAGUACAAUCUGAUGACCAUAAAAACAUCUUUCCGUCUGUAUUCUUCUCAUACGCUGGUUUCAAACCUCCUCAAGCAUUCCAUAGAGACUUGACAACCAUCAUAUCAAGGGCAUGACUCUAUGUCUUGCUUCUUUUUAUUUUUGUAUUUUUUGUAUCAUUGUGAGUUAGUUUCGUUGAUGCAAUGGUUAAAAUGCUAUACAACAUUUAGGGUGUGUUUGAUAAAAUUAAAGUUUGAAAAUUGAAAUCUGAUGUUUGAAAUUUGAAUCCAUUAAGUUAUUGAAUUAUUGAGUACUAAAUGUGAUACAUUUGAAUGUAUAUCGCAUUCAAUGAUAAGUAAAUAGUGUAUCACUUAAUUUUUGAGGCAAGUUUUGUCUAAAAAAUUCAGUACUACUUAAUUAAUUCAGUGUUCUAUUUUUUGUUAUCAAACGCGUCUAAACAUAUUAAGAUUUGAAUCCAUUAAUUUUAAAUGCUAAACUAGAUUAUCAAACGGGGCUUUAGUCUUUCAUUUUCAGAAGAAGGAUUUUAGCACCAAAUUUGUAAAGGAUGUAUCUAAAUGUAAUCUAAGAACAGUUUGUUGUGAUUCAAUAUCACUUGCUCAAAUAUUGCUAUUACAAAUUUGUUUUGUUAAAAUUCACGCCAAUGCCCCUAUAUUGUUAACGAGUUAUCAGAUUAGAAUCUAUAUAUAUAUAUAUAUAUAUAUAUAUAUAUAUAUAUAUAUUAAUUUUAAAACUUGACAAAUAUAUUGCAUCAAUAAGCUUUUCAGGUUAAAAACAUUAAAUAUGUUUGAGGUUGGGGAUAGAAACUAACUAUUUGUUCUCUCUUCUUCUCAAGAAGAGGGAAGUUUCUAUUAUGUUCAACCUAGCAAUCCUCUGUAACUUGUUGAGAAAUUUCCACCAAGGGUUCUUCAUGCCAACAGUGUUGGGCUAGUUUGAAAAUGAACUAUGCAAAUCUACAAAGGUAAAAAUAUGAAAACGCAUAAAUAAAACAUAGACAUGUACAAAUGGGUUUUGAAAGGUGUGUACAGAUAGAACUUUUUGAAAUGUACAAGUGAAUUUUGGACAACAAAAUAAUAUCAUGGAGUUGUAUCAACUAUAGAUGUGGCACUGGAUCUUGGUUUGAUCCAAGCUAGAUCAGAUUUUCAACUUUUAAGACCCGGUGUUGGAUUCAGUCUAGAUUACUUAGAUCUGGGGAAAGAGCCAAAUUGGCUAAAAAAACUCUGAACCAGAUCCAACCCUAGAUUCGAUUGUGAGUUCAAAUGGAUUCGAGGCCGGAUCUUUAUAAUGGUCAGAUUUUUACAUAGCAGCCAGUCUUUUCUUUUUUAACACUUGAUUACAUUUCACACUUUGAUCAUUUUAUACUUCAUGUUCAUCUUAAAUUGCUUCAAAUCAUCAAAAAAUCAUCCAAAUAUCUUCUCAUUUUACUUCAUUUGAUGAUUUAGUCAUUUAAACCUAUAAAAACAUGAAGUUUAAGCCACUUUAAUUUAUAAAAAUGCAAUUUUUCACAUUUAGAUCACAAAAUACAAACUUUAUUAGAAACCUAGUUAUUUAGCUAUUAAUGUGACUAAAACAUACCAAAAAUCAAUUAACAAAACACACUAAAAAUAUGUUAAAUAAACACUUAUCAAAACUAAUUACAUACGCCGUUGAUAUGGAAAAAAGAGGCCAAAAUGCUUUUCCUGUCUCGUCUUUAGGCUUUUGGUUUUCAUCAAACACGGCAAACACGUAAGCUUCAAUGCCUCUUCCAAGCCUUCUUGGAUUCCAUUUUCCGCUCUUAACAUGGCUAAUCAGAUUCCUAUUUAAAUGAUGCAACAGGACAUUUAAAUGAUGGCCAGCCAGUUUUCGAUACAACAAUCUUUAUACGAGAACCACCUUCUUUUUCUAGAGCUGAAUAACGAGAAUCCACAAUUGCAUAAAAAAUGUUUUGAUAUCCUAAAAAGCCAUCUUCAACAACAAUUCUUUGUGAGGUGAAUAAUGCAUAACCAUUUGGGCUGGAAGAGGCACCACCAAAGACUAGCCAUUUGGGCUGUUGACCACCACCAAAUACUAAGUUUUAGUGAGGUGGGAGAUCAAGGGUUCAAAUCUUAUCUUCCAUCACUUGUCACAAUAUGGGAGGUCUAGGGUUCAAACCUGGUUCAAUGGUGGUUCAAUUCCCCUCGAUUUUUCCCUAGACCCAGUUGGACCUCCCCCUAGAUUAGGCUAGAGUAGGAGUAGGAGUAAACGUAGAAGUAGAGCAGAUAAAUGAUGAAUGAUAAAAAAAAAAAAGAAUAAUGCAUAAUUGAGCGCUGAAUGUUGACUGGGUCACCAAUAUAGCUUUGACUAGCAAUGGUGCAUUGUUUUGGACUAGUUUUUCAGCUUUGAGGCUAUGCAUCAGGUAGCCUAGGCUGGUUAUUUUAUUGUUGAGUUUCUUUGUACUAGUUGCGUGCAAUCGUGCAUGCAUGUGUGUGUGUGUAUUUUUUUUUUUUUGGCAUUGUUAACAAGUGGUAGGUUUUGUUGUAUAGUGUGGAGCAUGGUAGGACAAAGAAAGAAGAAUGUUAUCUACAAAGAAACCUUGCCACCACUUACAAACAAAUCAUCCUAAGAAUUAUUGCUAUCCACAUUACCAAACAAUACACAAUUACUAAAGGAUCUGGGCAACCUGACACAAAAUUACCAGCUGGUUUUAAUAUUAGAUUGAACAAGCAAGCCUUUAACAAGGCUAAAUGUUUCAGUUUAUAUAAAUAUGACUAAAGUAACAUCUUGAAGGAAAAUUACUAAUACAGUAUGCAUAAAACAAGCAAAUAGAGUGCAAGUACAUAUUUCACACUUUAGGGAUCAUAAAUCUUGCAUGUUAUGUUGAUUGUUAGGUAUUUCAGCUCGAGCUGCUGCAGCAAAUGGAGAUACAAGAAGCUGAUUUUAGCAUUGAGGGGGCCAUUGCAGGUCCAAAAUUAUCAGAAACUGAUCAGAUACUUCUCUGAAGGCAGAGUUAAAUACUCUUGUCAAAAAGAAACGGAGAGAUAGAAGCUGCAAAGUAAUUGAUAACGAACCAGAGGCAAAACCAGCCAAAGAACAAAGCAAAAUUGUAAAAUUCACCUCAGCAAAACGCAAUCGUCACCCCUUGUUUUAUGCAACACCUCCCGCCAAUUACAUUAAUACAAAAAUCCAUCCUUGCAUUUGUAAAGGAUGGAAAUCAAUGGUUUGCCUCAAAUUCCAACUCGAUUAAUGCCUAUGGUGCCUGGGAAUCAUGAAAUGUUCAGUAACUUCAUUGAUUUUGCCAUGUAACAUAUACAUCUUAUGAAAAAGUACUCUUUCAGUUUGCUUUUAAUCCGAACAAGUGGGGAAAAUAGUACAAGAAAAAAAAAUCCAUUCUUCAUUGUAGAUGCAGAAGUCAAAUAGUUCUCGGCAGGUUGGGGUUCAAAUUCUCCUCUCAUUCCUUACAUCUUCAAUCUCACCUCUUUCGGGUCAAAAACAUAGGCAAAUACUCCAGUUGACCAGUUUAUAACCCCACCCAUAGAUCAAGUGGCUCAAACACAUGGUACGUCAUCAACAAGAAUUAGAUUCAAAUGCUAGCAAUUUUUUCCGCUUGACUUUAACACACUAUCUUUCGACUUUGUUCUUCACCUUCUCUUUCCAAAACCCACUGGUUCCUCCACCACCACCAUAAUCUCUUCCUCUUCCUCCUUUACUCUCAGCAGAUUUAGGUGAUGGUAAUGGUUACUAAGACUAAUCUGGUUAAAUAAGAACAGCCCUUUUCUCUUGUAAGUUGUAACCAUACUUCUUAAAAAGGGCAAAAAAGAGCCAAAAAUUUUCAUGAACCCACGAGUUGAAAAAUACUACCUUAAUCACAUGAAUAAGAAAACAAUAUCAUUGCUUGGCUAGCCUAUAGACUCGUUGGGUGGAGCCAAUAUUUUAAUACUCGGACUGUUAAUUGAACCGGUGAUAUGUUCAGGUCAAGGUUCAACCGAUCGAACCGGUUUAACCUUGAUUCAAUGAAUUUUUUUAAAAAUAAUUUAUAUAAAUAUAUGUAUGCACAAAAUAAGACAUGCAAUGGACUAAUUUAAAACUUUAUAUGAUGAAAAGUUUAAUAUUUUCAAAGAACUUGGAUUUUCAAAAGUAAAUUUUUUGAAUUAUAAGUUGAAACAAAUAAAUUUCAUUUCAAUCUCAAUUAUAUCUACCAAAAAAUUAACCUUAAAUCCAACCCAAAAAUACCAAAAUAUCUUGAAAUUAUACAAAAUUCAUGUCUAUGGGAAUUAGAUAUUGUGAGUUUGCAACUUAAAAAAAAAGAAGUUUUAAGUUUGGAGGAAGUCAGGAAAAUCAAAAAUAGAGAUGCAAACCUAAUAAGAAGUAAAAAAUAAGAUGAAAGUGAAUGGGUGUGACAUUUAAUAAUUAGUUUUUAGGGUUAAAGAAAAAUAAUUCUUUUUUUUAAUUUUUUCAAUUUAAUAGGCAAAAACAAAAUAAAAGAUGGAAGAAAGCAUCAAUAAAUUAAAACUAAAGAGGUUUGAUUAAAAAGGGGAUGACAAAAGAAAAGAGGAGACAAAGAGAGUUGAAAAUUAGAAAAAAAGAGUCAUGAGAGGAUGAAAUUUUGUAGGAAAAAUGGAGGAAAGAAAGAUGGAAGUUUGUUUCAUAUAAAUGUGUUACCAAAAGAGACAAAUUGGAUGUGAUGGUGCAAUGGUUAUUAUGUUGGCCUUCAAUAGCAAAGGUCUUGAGUUUGAUUAUUGGCAAUUGCAUUUUGCAAAACUUAAAAAAAUAUUAAGGAAAAAAUUGAAAAGCCAAAUUGGUUUAUUAGUUUUGACGAGUUUAACCAGUCUUGACCGAUUAUUUGACAAUUUCAACUUUAGUAUAGAACCGGACCAGUGUCAUGGUCGGUUCGCGAUUCAACUGGUCGAACCAAUCGGUUCGGUCCGAUUUUCAAAAUAUUGGGUGGAGCGGGCCAAUUGCCAAAGAGAGCCGAUAAUAUCCAUUGAUAUGACGAGCGUAGGUCAACAAUCAAGAACUGUAUAGUGGAUAAGAAGAGUCAUAUGGUGCUCGUGCAGAUUUACUAGGCCUCAAUCUGCUCAUUGGAAUUUGUUGAUUACAAAGUAAGCGGAUAGUAAGAAAUUCAGAAUGUUUUCUUCUUUUAUAAUUUUUUAUUAUGUUACGUAACCUUAACCAAUUUUGCUUUUUCAAUUAUUUUAUGUUGAAAUCAACGAUUAUUGUGACAUUGAAAAAAUAUCAUUCAUAGUUAUAAAAUAUGGCCUGACCCGACGAUCGAAUCAGUCAAUUCGGCGAACUGACCAUAUGAUUGGAUUGGGUUGCUAAUUAAAUCAAUUAAGCAACAAAUUUGUUGAUUAGUCAAUGAUCUGAUAAUUCAAUCGAUAAAUAAAAAAAAUCGUCAAUUAAACUGUCGGUUGAACCACCAACUUAAAAAUUAUACUAUUUAUAUUAUAUUAUAUAAUAUAACUAUUUGUGCAACUCGUGAUUGAUCCGCUCAAUCCAUGAUUGAACCGGUGAUCCGGUGACUCGGUCACCUUUCCGAUUGAGCUCCAGAUCGAGUCUAAUAACUGUGCAUUCAUAGCAUCCCAAAUCUGCAGGAACGUAACCAUAUUCUCUUCACUUCCACCCUUUAGAGAUAAAGAGAGCAACAAGACAGAAAAAAGAAAAAUAGAAAACCUUGGGCAUAGAGAAAGAUGGAUAUGUAAGUGUUAAAUAUCUUCAGAAAUUAAAAAGGAAGAUCGAUUUGGUUAAAAUUUGUUGCUGGAGGAACAGAGGGAUGCUUGUGGUGAGGACAAUCUAUUGGUGAGUUUGUAGAUUGAGAGUGAGGAAAGGAGGUAGCAAGAGGUGUCAGUGGUGGCACAGAAGGAGUAAGUGAGCGGUAAUUAUUGAGAUGUGGGGAACAAAGUAGGUAAGAAAGAUAGUGGUGCUGAUUUUUGGUGACGGUAAUGGAGGUGGAGUGCAAGCCGAAGGGAUAGAAGGACCGGGUCCUUUUUUCUUUUAUUGGCCUAUGUUGAAUUCUGAACGUUGGCGAUGAGAAUUUGGAUAUAUGGCAAAAUAUGGACUGCACGGUCUGGAUGUGGGCCCGUAAAUUGGAUCUACCCAAAAAUUUGCCAAAAAGGUAUCUUUGCAAUAAUAAGCCUGUGUGGGUAGUUAACUUGGUAUUAAUUUUAUUUAUUUCUAAAUUUACCCAUAUUUCUAUGAUUCAUUAACCCUUAUCUCUAUUAUCAUGUAACACACAAAUUCUACUCAAUCAAAACUACCUUCCUCUCAACUAACACACAAAUUCUACUCUACUAAAAUUAUCUCUCUCCAAUUCUCACGUUCUCCUUUACCAAUGCUUUUUUUUUUUUACUUUCAAUUGUACAUAUUUGUGUAUAAUACACUUUUUAUUACAUAUUAUAUAAAAUAGUUAUAUUCACUCGCACUAUUUUUGUGAUUCUUUCAAUUAAAAAUAUCUAUAAAAGUCAAAUUGUCCUUCUCUACUUAGAAAGAUUGGCGUCGAUAUUCUUGGAUUGUUUUAGCUUACAUACAAUACCACCCAUCUAAUUGCAACGGAUCUUCUAUCCCACUCUCUGUACCAUUUUCUUUCCCACUUUUUAUUAUAUUACUAUUUCUCCUUCAUAAAUAUAAUAUUAUAGUUCUUUUUGUUUUCUUAAGAUCCAAUAACUAUUAAUUGAGUAAAAAAGUAAUACGACAAUUUCAAAAAAGUAAUAUAUAAUAAAAAAUUAAAAAAUACAAUAGAAAAUUCAUAAAGAAUCUUAUUUUUUAUGCAUUUUAAUUUUUUGAAUUUGUUAAAUUUUGUUUAUUACUUAGUUAAUAGUUAUUGGAUCUUAAAGAAAUAAAAAAAAACUAAAAUAUGAUAUUUAUGAAGAAAAAAUAACAAUAUAAUAAAAAAUAGGAUAGAGAGUAGGAUAGAAGAUCCGUUGUGUCCAUCUAAUGCUUACCAGGUUUGAAUAGUGGAUGGAUGGAUAGGAUUUGUUUUAGUAGUAUUGUAGCAGAAAACCACUUUCUUUGUGUGGACGAUCCGUUAUAUUGUACUAGGAGGGUGCGCGGUGGAAAAAUUCAAAAAUUUAUAUGCCCAGGAAUAUCCUGUUAACGGAGUUUUGCAACAAGGUUGAUAAUUGUGAAGUGUAAAACGACCAUACGAAAAAAGAUGAUAAUACAUAGAACAUCUAAAUUGCUGUAAUGUAGCUGCAAUAAUGCAUAAUAGAUGCAGGAAUGAAUAUAAAAACAAAGUGCAGAGUCUAAUAGCCAUCUGGCUGGAAAUAGUUUAAAAGUUAAAGCUAAGUGACCAAGAGCUUAGUUGUUGAUGUUAAGACCGUCAAAGUUGACAUCAUUGAUGUCCAUGGCUUCAUCCGCAACGUAAGAAGUAAUUAUUUCAUAGGCUACACAUUUGAUCCAGGCAAAUCUGGAAAAAGAAGGUCUAAUGUAGAAUAGAUUUGUCUUUCCAUGCAAAGUACGUAUGAGGUAUGAAGCCAUAUCAAUUCUCUGUUUGAAGAAAGUGACCAAAGAGAAUCAAUGUAAAGAGAAAAAAGCCGGAAGAAAAUAUUUGUGGUUGGAUAGCGAUCGGUAAGCACCUCUUCAUACAAAUAAUGGAGCUCAGCAGUUGAGUAGUUAAUUAACUUUUCAGCUUCAUUUCCCAUAGCAGUAGCAGUCAAUGAUCCACUUGAAACAGCAAUUGGAAUGGUAAUACAAGCUCUGUAAGAGAGAAGAUGGUAUGACUGUUAUGAAAAAGUUUGCAAGCAAUCAAUGUUAUGAAGAUGAGUAAUUAAACUGAAUAGAUCGAUAGAAUAGCUACAAAAACCUUGGUAACAGGUCAAUGUUAGCCUGACAGUAUCCAAGUGGCUGUAGAGCUGUUUGGUUGAUCACACUGGGGGCAUGCCAUAUAGAAUAACUUUUGGGGUCUAAAGGAAAUUUCGAUGAUUCCUCUAAUCCACGCAGUGUUUGUUCUUUGUAAAACAAUAAUAAUAAGGAUAGAAAGGAGGUAAACAUGAUUUAUGGAAUAUAAAAAAGAGUAAAAUUGCAACUUGUUGGAGCGCAGCAGUAAUAUAAAGAAUUAUAUUAUCGGCAACAGGAAGGAGAAGAACUCGCGGACCAGUGUAACUUCCUUGAUUAAUUAUAUUGUCUAUAGCAAGCGCAUGGCUAUGGUACCUGAUAUGAAAAAAAAUAGUCCUUAAGUAGUGUAAUGUAAACGGGAGAACAGUGCAGCAGAUAUUUAAAAUUUCUCACCAGUGAUCAAGAUGCAUUGCCUGUCGAGGGAAUAGAGGCACCAAAAUGGCUAAAUAAUGAGAAGUCGAGAAGCUUAGGUUUGAUAUCAAAAUAAAAAAACUGUUAAUACCAAGAGUUUUCAAAGCAAUGGAUGCAUUUAAUGUUUUUAAACAGUGAGGGUAACGAAUAUAGUUACAAUUGUUUGUUGUGACUUUGACUCUUAUCGCAACAAUGAUUAGAAAAUAGCGUCCAGGGGCUCUAAUGAUUGAACCAUAUAUUUCUUCGAAUCCAUUCCAAAGGGUUAGAAUCAUUGGUUUCAUACUGUGAAGAAAAAAAGGGCAUAAACUUUACUGAUAGAUUCAUUUUGAUUUUAUAAAUUAUGAUAGGAAAAGAACGAAAUGACUCAUGAAGGAGAUCAAUAAUUACAUAAUCUCGAGAAGUAGAAGGCGCUCCUUGACAAGGCAUUGUUUUAGGAGGCAAAAUAUAGACAACAACUCCCAUGACAUCUAACAUACAUUGUAUAAAAGAAAAUAUUAGAAUACGUAUGGUAAACUUCAUGGGGGGUGGAAAAAACACAUUAUGAAAACUGUUAGUACUUAAAUGAUGGGUAUCAGCAUAGAUAUCUAGCAUAGAAAAAGGGUUUAGGUGAAAAUAAAAAGGAAAUGAAGGAACAGGUUCCUAUAUUUCAUGUAUUAUGGUGUUUGUAGUGAUGAGUCAAUAGAACGGAUAUUCAUUAGCAUUAGAACAAGUUCGCGGUUCACGAAUAGCAGCUUUAGAUAUGUAGUAUUUUUUGAAAGGCACAAGCAAGUCGGCAAGUUGUUCAAUCAUAUCUCCAGCAGCGUAGACACUAAUGCUAAGACUUUGUUAUAAGAAUAAAGUUAUGUUUCGAUGCAAUUUAACAGCCAUAAUAGAAAAGAGAUAACCAGAUCAAUGUUACCUGGUCAUUUGCCAAUACAAACGUGCGAAGUGUUUGAUGAGACUAGGAAUUAUUUUUGGUAUGAGUGACUUCAAUUGCUCAGAGAAUAGCAUUCCAAUUCAGCAGAGAUAGAUCAAUAGCAGAUAGGGGAACAUCGUUAGCUUCCAUGGUAAAAGGUCCUAUAACAAAUUAGAAGAUGGUGGAGCAUAUAUUUAAACAAAGGAAUAAAGUUAAACUUAAAAUUAUAUAGGAUACAUAAAAUAAAGUAGUAAAAAUGGAUGAUUAAUUAAGACCAGCAGACUCGUCACAUCUUCAUUUCAAUAAUCAUAAUUAGAAGAAUAGAGAACGUAUUAACAAAAGGGAUGAAAAUAGCUGAUUUGAAAAGCACGAUAACUGGAAAGAAAGAUUAAAUUUGGCAUUAUACCAGAAAGUUUAACUUCGGAAGAAGCAAGGAAUAGAUUAGUAACUUUAGAAGUUACUUGUAAGCAGAAAAAAAGCUGUAAAAGAUAAAAGCAAAUAGAUGGUGAACAAUCAAAUUCUUAGUGAUGCAGUGGGGAAACGAACAGAGAAACAACAGGAAAAAAUAGCGAAGGCAGAGAGGAAAACAUUAACAGAUGACUGAAAAGGUUCAAAAGGUCAGGAAAAAGGUGAAAAACCUCUGGAAGCAGAGGAAAAGAGAAGAUGCAUAAGAUUAUUGUAGGCAAUAACUAAAUUUUCAUCAAAGAUGCCGAACUUGUACCUGUGUUAAUGCGAGAUGCAAAAUGGAACUACAACUAACUAAAAAGUAUCAACAAAGAUAAAACACGGAACAACAAUCAUGCAGCGAAAAGAAAUAGAAGAAGAGAAAAACUCACAAAGAAGAAGAAACAGAACCAACGUGGGAAAAGAAGUAGAGCAAAAAGUAAAAGGAACUUGGUUUGAUCUGAAAAGCAAAAGUAAUGUUAACGAAAUGUGACAUACACCGCUAGGCACGAAGUACGAAUUGCAGAGUUUAGGAUGCGCUGUCAACAAUUCAGAAGAGAAGUAGGACUAAAUCUAUAAAGUAAAGUCAAUACAUAAAAUUAGAUUUUAAUUGUUUGAUUUGAUAGUUGUAGAGGCAAAAAAUAGGAAAACUAAUUAAGGUAGCUAAAAUAUUAAAAGAAAACCAUAAAUUAUUGCAAAUCAAUGUACCUUCUGUUUGAAAGGAUCUGAGAUAUGCAAAAAAAAUUUUGGGCAUAUGGCAGGCAAAAAAAAUGUCGGGUGCACAUUCAGAGUAGCCAUGCAUUUGCUCUUGUUAAGAGGUAGUUUAGCGGUAGUCAACUAAAAGACCAUAUCAACUAAAAAACAGAGCUUCCGAUCCCACAAAAGCAGAUGGUUGCUUGUCAGAGCACAAUCGAGCAUCAUUUAUAUGAUGCACAACACCAUAAAGCUGAUUUUGGCAACCGGAUUGCAGAUAAGAAGAGGUGUUUCAGUAAAAAGUUGUCUAUUUUCAUUCCUGCAAAUAGACGGCUGAACUGUUUCAUUGGUGACAAAUGCUAAUUCCAUGUAUUGCUCUGCAGCAUUAACCACCAACCUACACAGGAUGACACAUAAUAAACAAAUUUAAAGUGGAAAGAAUAGAAAGAGGCGUUUUACGCAAGCAGAGAAAACUCAACUCGUAUCACCAGGAGAAGAAGACAGAAACAGACGGCGCGGUCCAGCAGUGAAGAACGUUUGAUUCUGAGAAUCUAAUGCAUCAAAUUUAGUAUUAAAAAGCCUAUUUGAUCAAUGAAUAUCCCCAGUGUCCCGCCUAUUAAGUGCAGGAAUACCUAGAUUAUUAAAAGAGUCCGGUGAAACUGACCAUAAUUUUUACCAUCGCCACGUCAAAAAGGACCACCAGGAAAAACACAAUCAAGAGAGGUUCGAGCAACGUGUUCGCUACCCUCCCCCUCACCAAGAGGUAACCCGUUUUCACGACGAAUAUUAGGAAGAGAAAGCUUUCUUUUCUUUGCAGCAUUAGCGUCACGGCGACUACACAAAAGAUCAGCUUUUUCAUGCUCUGGCAUUUUCGCAUAGCAUUUACGAUGCCUUGCAUUCCUAUCCAUGUUCUUGGACCGGAAGAUGCAAGAACAUAAAAUAAAACCAACAACCAAAAACAAAUGACUCAACAAUGUCCAGAGUGCAGGACAACCAGGGGAAAAAAUGGAAUAGAAACAAUUAAAUAUUAACAGACCUAGAAGCACACAAUUAGAGUUACACAACACAGGCUAGAACAAUCUUUCUAAGAAGAAGUUCUAGCGCAGGGCAACAAUAAACAAACACAGAACAACAUGAAAAAGUACAAGGCGGAACAAAGCUAUUUAAAGAAAGAAACAGGACGUCAGAAUAGCAAAAAAACCUGAAUUGGAUCAAAUAAGCACCGAUUAAGUACAUGUCUCCAAAGCAAAAGUAACACCCUGGUGAACAGGAUCGCCGCAACCAACCACUAUAGGAUUCAAAAAAAGAAGCAAACCUUUAGCCUGCACAGAACAACAGAAGCAAGAAAGAACAACACGGAAAAGAAGGUAAAAAAGGGAAAAACAGACUGCAAAAGGCAUGAACAAGCAUUGCAACAAACAAAUAAAGUACCAAAAGAAAGAAGGCCAAACAAAACUCAGCAACGAACAAAAAUAGAAGUCAGAGGGCAAGGUUCCAAGGAUGGAAAGGACUAACAAAUAGGUGAAAAGAGCUAAAAAAAGGAGAGAAAAGCCAGAAAAUCUCUGGAAGCAAAGAAAACACGAACAUAAACAAGAUCAAUGCAGGCAAUACUACAUAUUCUCAUCAUAAAAAGCAGAGGAAGAAAGAGUAAGAACCUGCACCCGUGUUUAUGGAAGAUGGCAAUGCAACAGUAACCAACUAAAAGCCAACAAACAGGACAAGAUACGGAACAAAAAGAAACAGAGGUAAAAACACAUAGCACAAAAUAAGGAAAGCAAAGGUAAGAACAAGGACAAAGCACACUCACCACAAACACAACAAGCAAGCAAUAGCAAAAACCAGCGAGCAGAAGAUGAAAUGAAGAGAAACAACCUAAACGAAACCCAAAAAAAGAAAAUGUCCAACAGAAAGCCGAGGGAAUUGUCCGACGGUUAACGAAAUAUCCUGCCAUAGACGUGCAAAGAUGAGCUGUCGGAUUGUUAAGAGUGGAAGCAAGUAUUUUCGGACAAUGAAAAUUUGGUGGUGGAGGCUGUUUGACAGAUAUGGAGACACGACCACAAAUUAUUACAAAACAAAUACAGUAGCAGCAAAACAAGCAAAAAAAUAAAGUCUUAAGGGGAAAAGCGUAAUUUCAUCAUUGACCAAGGAGUAAUUCUGACAAAAGAAUGACUAAUGACUAACGACAUGACUUUUGGAAAAAAUGGAUCCAUGUAAAAAAAAGAAACAAUUGGCUCCGUUUGAAUUAGCUAUUUUUGGGGAUAUUUUUGAAAAAAUUUACUGUAGUAGUGUAUAUGAAAAAAUUUUUACUAUAAAAUUUUUUUGAAAUAUUUGAUAUAUUGUACAGAUGAAAUGUUUUUUGAAUUAUAUGUAUUACUGUAGUAAUGUAUUUGAAAAACUUAUUUUUGAAAAAAUGGUCAAUCCAAAAGAGCUAGACUUUUGGGAAAAAAAAGGACGCAUGUAGAAAAGGGGAAAAAAACUAUCUAGCAUGAAUUCCACAUCAUCACCACCGACCAAUCCCCUCGUGCCACAUGGGCGGACGACCAUCCUAUGUGGCAGGGGGUUCCCUCUUUAUCUUUUAACCAAUCAUCACUACCGACCAAUCCCCGCGUGCCACAUGGGCGGAUGACUAUCCUACGUGGCAGGGGGUGUUCCCUCGUUGUCUAUAUGGUUAAUUAAUGAUGUCCAGCAUAAAACCCCCACAAACCCUCAACAUUCUUCACCUUUCUCAUACAACAGCACAACGCAGAGAAGCCUUUCAUCCACGCCUCUUAAGCAUCAGCUACGCAGAAUCAGGUAAGCGAAAAUGGAAUUGCUACAGCAAAAUUGUUUUUUUUUUUUUUUGCUAUUUUGUGGCAACAUUAGGUGGAGGAUUUAGUAAUUUACUUUCUGCCUCGGGAAAUAUUUUAGUUUUAAUGGAUUCAGAAUUCCGUUAUCUUCCUCCUGUUGUUUAUAUUUACUUCCUUUUUUUCGUCAGUUGGGUUCCCCAAAAUUGAAUUCAAUAUCUCAUUUAGCUCUGUGUACGAACCAAAAAAAAAAAAAAUUAUCAAAGCGCUUGUACAUUAGAUAUUGUUUAUUUGUUGGAUUUAAUUAUGGGAGUUCGAUGAAUUUUGACUAAAUGUUGCAUUUUGCAUUGGACAAAAUGGAACCUCAGGGGCAUUCGAUGCAUCCUUUGUACAAAAUUUUAACUUUAACGAAAGAGGCAUGUGCUCUGUGCUGACCUUGGACUUUUCCUUCAUUUUCUUCUAGGGUCAAUUCGGGUGUCAGGCUGUUACUUUCAAUUUUUUUUCUCAACUUUGUCAUGCCCACCGCCUAUGGAGCAAGUAGAGAACUAUUGCAGGGUGUUCCGACUGUAACAACCCCUCGGCAGGAGUUUUAUAACAAGGACUUGAAUACGUCAAUACUGAAGUUUGGUUGCUUCAGACCAAAAUUUUGCGUGCCAUCUGGGCUGUGCAAAAGAUUGAAUUCUAGAAGUACAAACAGUAGUCGUGCCCUUUCAAUUUCAAGUAGUAGUUGUGAUGAGAAAACUGAAGGACUCACGUAUAAGGAUGCUGGUGUUGACAUUGAUGCUGGAUCAGAACUUGUUAGAAGAAUUGCCAAGAUGGCACCUGGAAUUGGAGGAUUUGGAGGGCUUUAUCCUCUAGGUAGAGUUCGGUUAAAUAAUCUUUUUAUUCUUGUUCUUUGAACUAAUUAGCCGUUAAAUAUUCUUUUUAUUCUUGUUCUUUGAACUAAUUAGGCACAUUCAGUUAGCCGUAAAUAAGUUCUGAAUAUUGUUAAUAUAUAAAUAAAUUUGCCUUUUUUUUUCCUGAACGCUUCCUUGGAUGUCAUUGCAGAUUGCACCAAUAUUUCUGACGUAAUAUUUGCAAUUUGUGAUAAUGUGUUGAUGGAAUAUGUUUUUAGUUUAGUCUAAUUUAUGUGAUUGAUGGACUAUGGGCUUGAUAGGUCAGAAGGUCUCGUGAACAAGAUAGGAUGGCAAUCAUAAAUGACACUUUGGUCUUUGGGGUUUGUGCGAAUUAUUUGGGCAUUUAACUGAACUGAUCCAUUAGUGGUUUAUAAACCAAGUGAGAUUAGAUCAAAUUUGAUUGUCCUUUUUACGACUUAUCUUCCCAAAGUAUGUGGAGAAAAUAUAUACAAUCAUCUGAGGAAUACUAAUUGUAUUGUAUGCUUAUGUUGGCUGUUUUGUGAAGAUUCCUGGUGGUGUUUAAUUUUGAAAUUGGAGAAGUCGGGCUUUCUUCAUCUUGCAUUUGUUUGGUUACCUUAAGAUUUUGAGAAAAGUUAUGGCCAAAGAAAGAUAUAUAAGCUGUGAUCAAAAUCUUAUUGACUGCUGGUUUCAAAUUUGAUUUCCAUGGUUGAACGAGUGCUGUCUUGAGAAAUGUAAUUUUCCUAGUGAUGUGCCAUAAGAACGAAGUUUGGAUGGCCAAGAAGAAUUCGAGUCUGUAAGGAAGAUCAGAUAUUCAAUUGGAAAAUGGAAAUCUACCUCUCAAAAUACCAUGAUAUUUUUCUUCUUCAUUCAACAUGGUUCUUGCUUCUUGCUGGACAAAAAAUUGGCAUCGACUCUUUCUUUUUGUGCAUGGUUAUCACUCUUCUUUUGUUUAGUUUGAAGGUUGUGCAGUGUAUGCCCUUUUACAUUUCUUGUUCUUUAUUGCUCUGUUAAGAAUUGAGUCUGGUCUCAAGUCAGGUAGUGUUCUGUCUAGUUAUUAGCGCAGCAGGAUUAUGAUUUGUUUCUCCUUGAGCAGGGCUUGGCAGUGAUCUUUUAACUCUUUGCAGUUGCCAAAACUUUCCAGUCUUGUUCAUUUUUGACAAUUUUAGGACUAGAAUUUUUUGUAGGAAAGAUUCAAUGGCUGCAACUUUCUAAGAUUGUACAUUUCUGAUAGUAGUUUAUCCAAUACAGUUUUUUCCCAUUUAUGACAAACUGAUUUCUGAUUUGACGCUUGUAAUGUUUUGAGCUUGAAAGUGCUCAACAAAUAUUGAUUCCUUUUGAGAUGUUUGUUGUCUUUACCACAAAACCUGUGAGAACCUCAAUCAUUUUUCUAUCUGUACUUCUUCACUCAGGGUUUGUUUCUUGAGCUCAUCCUGCCCUAAUUUACUAUUCUUCUCUUAGCUUUUGGCUCUAGUUUCUCUUUAGCAGGCACCUUUCUAGUUUUCACAGCUGUGCAUGUAUAAGUUAUCUUUUCAAGAUUGAGAAAUUCGCUGCUUUGCUGCUCUGACAUCUAAUUGUUAUGUGGUUACCUACAGGUAAUUGAAAGUUAUAGGUAGUGGAAACAAAAAGGAGCAGGUUGAUGCUUUAGCAUAGCAUCUAUCAGUGCCCGUCAUGGUUUACAUGGAGAGAAAAGAACCCCUCCUCAAUUCUUUUUUGGCUGUCCCUUUCAUUUGAUGAUAGGUUCUUGUAAUAGCUCAUGAAAAUAUGAUACAAGAUAUUUGGAUUUGGUUAUGAGAAUGGUUUCACCCUUAUGUUGCAUGAUGGACUUGUGAUUGCUACCAUUGUCUCCCCUUUUCACAAGUUGAAUGAGUAUUAUAGAUUAAAAAGUCAAACCAAGGUGUUCCCAUCAGUGCAUAUUAUUUCUCUAUACAAGUUAAAUGUGAUUGUUGUCCUUCGCUGUGCCUUCUCUUUUGUAUCUUGCUCUCUGUUGUUUAAGGAAGAAGAUUUUCUUGUAGGGAUUAUUUUGUCCAUUUUUGAUUAACUUGCUGAUGGAUUUCUUUCCUUUGUUCUUUUGGCAUCGCCUGGAGCAGGUGAUUCCUAUCUCGUUGCUGGCACAGAUGGUGUAGGAACAAAACUAAAGCUUGCAUUUGAAAGUGGAAUUCACGAGACUAUUGGGAUUGAUUUGGUAAAUCUUUUUGCAGUUUUGUAUAUAAUUGGCUUUUGUUGCUAGAGUUAAUCAUUGACCUUCGGAUCAGGUUGCAAUGAGUGUUAAUGACAUCGUCACUUCUGGAGCAAAGCCUUUAUUUUUCCUUGAUUACUUUGCUACGAGCCAUCUUGACAUUGAUCUUGCUGAAAAAGUAUGUUAUUUAUGUCUACCAGGUAAUUUUUUAGUGGCUUUUACAGUUGAAGUUCUUUAGUGUGUGAUUUGUCAGUUUUUAUGCAGGUCAUAAAGGGUAUUGUUGACGGUUGCCAACAGUCUGAUUGCACUCUUUUAGGAGGAGAGGUAUUCUUCUGUAAUCUGGGGCUCUGAGAUAUUAUUUAAAUUUGUCAAUGAUUAAUUAAUGCCAAGCAGUUCAUCAUUAUUAAUGCCAAGCAGUUCAUCAUUCUUUUUCUCCUUGUGUUUCGUCCUGGGAAUAUUUGAAAAUGGCUCUCAAUUGAAAGUUAUGAUCUUCUGAUUUUUGUACUUGAUUGCCUUUAAUCAAAGUGAUCCUACGGUGUUGCAUUUUUUAAUUCUUUCAUGGUUUCAGCAGUUUUUGAGGUGAAACCAGCAGACUGGUACAUAUUUCAGAAAGCUCUUUUGCUCUUUCAAUUGUGAUUGAAAGAUUGCUUAUCCUUUCAGACUGCAGAAAUGCCAGAUUUCUAUGCACCUGGUGAGUAUGAUCUCAGUGGUUUUGCAGUCGGCAUAGUCAAAAAGGACUCUGUAAUUGAUGGGAAAAACAUCACAGUUGGGGACAUUCUCAUUGGUCUACCAUCUAGUGGAGUCCAUUCAAAUGGAUUUUCUCUAGUCAGAAGGUUUGAUUUCUUUAAAGGGGCUAUGCAGACUUUGCUAGGGACAUCACUAUCAGUGUCUAAUGAACCCUUCUGCCGAUAAAUUUCUCAUAUCUGUUGCACUUCCACUUUAUUCACAGGGUUCUCGAGCGAAGUGGUCUUUCUCUCAAUGACCGACUUCCUGGUGGAUCCGUCACACUGGGUAAAGCUUUGAUGGCUCCAACUGUCAUUUAUGUUAAGCAGGUGAUGGUUCAAUCCUAUUUUAGUUUUGCUUUCUGUGAAUCAUAGUACAAUAAUUGUUCUGUGAUUUCUUUAAUAAAGGUGCUUGGCAUAGUUAGCAAAGGAGGAGUUAAAGGUAUAGCCCACAUCACAGGAGGUGGUUUCACAGAUAAUAUACCACGAGUUUUUCCGAGAGGUCUUGGAGCUGCUAUUUAUAAGGACUCUUGGAUAGUUCCUCCCAUUUUCAAUUGGAUUCAAGAGGUGAGACUCUCUUUCUUCAAUAACCUGAGUUUGUGACUGAUAUACUUUGAAGCUAUGAAUCUUCAUAUUCAUGUGUAGGGUUGUAAUGUUCCUGUUGAUGUACUUUGGUUGUGCUCAGACUUUCACACAAGUAUUCACACUUUUAUUUUACCUGUGAACAUUAUAGGCCGGAAAAAUAGACGAGGCUGAGAUGAGACGGACUUUUAAUAUGGGGAUCGGAAUGGUUUUAGUCGUCGAUAAGGAGGCUGCACUAAGAAUACUUGGUGAUGGACAGGGGACAAGUUCAAUGUACUGCAUCGGUGAGGUUGUAAGUGGUGAUGGAGUGAGCUACCGAUAAUAGGUAAAUGAGAUGUUAUAAAACUACACUCUUAGGACGAAAUUUGUAUGGGAGAAUUAAGAGCUUGGAGUUACGCUUCCUUUUGACAUGUGUUCCACAAGUUUAAAUGAUCAUAUAACGACUACAAAUUUUGGCUCAACUAAAGGCACUUUAUCAGCUAAACCUUGAGUUUUCAACCCCUCGUACUUCUGUAACUUUUGUUGCCUGUAUGAUGUUGUACUAUGGAGAAUUCUGGUAUGUGUAAGGAUGGUGCAAACAAACACACACCAUUAGAGACAUUUACAUUGACAAAAUUUUUAAAUGGAGUUAGCAGAUGGGGAGAGCAAUACUCAUUUUUUGGGAGAGUGGACAGAUCUUUCUUGAUUUCCCUUUUUCCUACCUGAAUAUUUUUGUCUUUUAACUUUAGAAUCUGAAUAAAAUUGAUCGCUUCUUGUCUAUUGCUGCAUAUAUGGUGAAGAAAAUUGAACUCUAAUUUUGGUAGUAAAAAGGACCUGCAUUCUCUUUUUUUGAUACUUGGGUUUAGCGAAAAGAACUUGAACCAAAAAAAGGACACCUGAAAUUAUUAUGUAUAUCACAUACUAAUAAUUAUUAUCCUCCCUUACAUUUAUAUAAUUUUCUUAUUUAAUCUUAUCUAGUCACCCUUGUAUUUAUUUUCUUUAAUUAAUCUUAUAUUUUCAAAAAUAUGACACCUGAAAUAUAUUUUAAGGAGAGCAUGCGUCAGACAGAUACAUAAACUAUUGUCUCUUAAUUGAGUUUAAUAAAAUCAAAGUGAACGAAUUAUCUGCUUAUUCUGUUUAAAUCGUGCAAAUUACAUCUGUGGUACACAAGCAAAAAUUAAUGGUUGAGAAUAAGAAUCACGGGCUAAACCGUCCACCAGGGAUUAUGGGCCUUGCCCUAGGAACCGGAUUGAACUUAAAAAGAUCUAAUUAGCUGGGUAAAUAAGUUGUACUGUGAUUUAGUAAGGUUGGCCACAUCGGAUAUGGCCCAUAAAUGUUAGCAAUAGAAGUCAGCAAGGGAUUAGUAUGUUGGCUCCGCGUCCGUUUUGAGUUUUUAGGAAGAAGUAGCCUCCGUGUGUAGCUAGAGCCUCGUUUUGAUUAAUAGAAAAUUUCCCUUUGCCUCUGUAUCGUUUUUUUCACUUUGAUUGUUCUUGUGAGUUUAUGAUUUAUUAUCAAUUUGGAUCCAUCAGAGUGGUAUCAACCAAAAAAAUUAAGCGAAAAUAUACAAGAGAUAUAUUUCAUAAAAUUAAUAUAUAUAUAUAUAUAUAUAUAUAUGGAAAGGCAAUUUACAUACAUAAAAAUAUGUGUGGAAGAAGAGGAAUAAAACCAACAAUAAUAUAUUAAUCAUAUCAUAAGAAUAAGACUCUCAAUCCUUCACUUUUAUCAACUAAAUUCAAUAAUAUGAAGUGGGUGGAAAAAGGAAAAUGUCCCGACCAAUGGAGGUGCAUAUGACGAAAGAGGAGGAAAUGAAUCCAAAAAGAAACAAAAAGGAAGGUGAAACGGAAAUGCAAAAUGAGCUGAAGGUGAUGGAGACCAGCCUGGAGUGGUCUCCCGAUGCAAUAUGAAAGUCUUGGCGUGGAACUGCCAAGGUGCCGGGAGCUCUUUGACGGUUCCCAGUCUCAAGGAGGUUUGUAACCUUCACUCCCCAAAUCUGGCGCUUCUUAGUGAAACUAAAAAUAAAAAAAAAAACAUGAUGGAAAAAAUAAAAAAAAAGAGUCAACUAUGAUAAUAUUUUUGUGGUUAACCUGAUUGGUAAGGCAGGAGGUUUAGCUAUCUUUUGGAACAAAGAACUAAAGAUUGGUAAAAUUUUGUUUACAGAUUUCACCAUUGAGGUUAAGAUUACUGCUAAUCAGGAAUCAGACAGCUAGUGGUGUAUAUGUACAUAUGCAAACUCAGUGGCAUCGAUUAGGCAGAAAUAGUGGGAAAUCUUAACUGAGAGAAGAAGGUUGUGGAACAAUAGAAUUGUGCUCAUUGGUGAUUUUAACGAUAUAGUUUCCAAUGAUGAAAUGUGGGGUGGCAAGUCAAGAGAAAGUUGGUCUUUUAGUAAGUUCAAAAAUUUCAUUGCCAGAAAUGAGCUUGUUGACCUUGGUUUUGAAGGUUUGCCUUGGACCUGGAACAAUAAUUGGAGCUCUGGGGAAGAGAUAAAGGAGAGAUUAGAUAGAGCUCUAACAAGUGUAGAUUGGUGCAGAAACAAUAGUGGAGCAAAUUUGAUGCGUAUACAAACUGUUGCUUUUGACCAUGCUAUGCUGUUAAUGGAUACCAGACCCGUAAGGAAAAGAUGGAGAAAAUGGUUCCAAUUUGAUGCAAGAUGGCUGCAGUAUCCAGAAGUAGAAAAGGUGGUGGAUUUUGCCUGGGAGAAACAACAAUUGGGAUCCACAGGAUACAGAAUAACAAAGAAAAUUAAGGAAUGCAGACUAGCACUCAAGGUGUGGAAACAAAGGAUUUCAGUCCAACAGUAAAGCCAACAUUCAGGCUAUCAAAGACCUAAUUGAGAAGACACAGGAAAGCAAUGCACAGAACAAGCAAUCUUUGAUUAUAGACCUCAAAAGGAAAUUGAGUGUUGAGUAUGCUAAGGAAGAAGCAUUUUGGGCCCAAAAAUUAGAUGCAAAUGGCUAAAAGAGGGGGACAAAAACACAGCUUACUUUCAUAUGAGAGUUGCCAGUAGAAGAAGGAGAAAUAGGAUACCCAGAUUGGAGAAGGAACAAGGUGGUUGGUGUGAAACAGAUGAGGAGAUAGGUGAAGAAGUGGCAAAAUACUACCAGGAAUUGUUUAAAAACUCAUGGCCCACAAAUUUCGAUGAGAUUCUUUAGGGCAUUCCUAGAACAAUUACAGAACAGAUGAACCUUCAAAUCACUAGACCUGUAACAGAGAAGGAAAUUAAGCAGGUUUUAUUUUCCAUGCAUCCCAAUAAAGCCCUAGGACCAGAUGGUAUGUCUCCCUUAUUUUUCAAAGAUUCUGGGGUAUCAUUAAAAAGGACCUAGUGGAGACUAUCAAGAGUUACUUUCAGCUGGACCAUAUGUGCAAAGCUCUGAAUGAAACUUUAGUGACACUAAUUCCUAAGAUUGAUAUGCCAUUGAAUCUUUCUCAAUAUAGGCUAAUCAACUUAUGCAAUGUUGUUUAUAAAAUUAUUUCCAAAGUUCUUGUAAAUAGAAUGAAGCCUUUUUUGAAUGAUUGCAUAAGUAAUGGUCAAGCAGCUUUUGUACUAGGGAGACAAAUUUUGGAUAAUGUUAUGAUAGCACAUGAAUAUAUCCAUUGGCUUAAUCAUAGGAGGGGCAAGAAAGAGGGAUAUAUGGCUCUUAAACUAAACAUGUCAAAAGCCUAUAAUAGAGUAGAAUGGAAGUUUUUGCUUUGUGUCCUUAGUAAAAUGGGGUUCUGCCCCUUGUGGAUCAAUUGGAUCAAGGGGUGCAUAUCUUCUUGUUCCUACUCUUUUAAUAUCAAUGGGAACAAAACAAGUUAUGUGUGUCCUUCUAGAGGCAUUAGGCAAGGUAACCCACUGUCUCCAUAUUUGUUUCUUUUCUGUGCUCAAGGUCUUGUAAAUCUUUUGACAUCUGCUUGCAGGAACAAUCUGUUAACAGGAAUUAAAAUCUCCAGGACUGGUCCUGCCAUCUCCCACUUAUUUUUUGCAGAUGACUCGUUAAUUUUUUGUACAGCUAACUCUAAGGAGGCAAGUGAGAUCACUAGAAUUCUUCAAAUCUAUGAACUAGCUUUAGGGUAAAAGAUCAACAUUGAGAAAUCAGCAGUUCUUUUCAGCAGAAACACCUCCCAAGCAAAUAAACAAGAUGUCCUCCAAACUCUUGGCAAUAUCCAGCAUGUUUCUCAGGCAAAGUAUCUGGGUCUCCUCUCCCUAUGGUUAUAGGAAGAUCUAAAAACAGCACAUUCAGGUUCCUGAAAGACAAGAUGACUGACAAGCUGCAAGGAUGGAAGGGCAAGAUGUUAAGUAAUGCAGGCAAAGAGGUCAAAUCCGUGGCAUUAGCUCUACCAUCAUAUACCAUGUCAGUUUUCAAGCUUUCAGAUGGACUAUGCAAAGCAUUAAGCAACAUGAUGGCGAAGUUUUGGUGCGGAAAUGACCAAGGCGAGAAGAAAAUGCAUUGAAAAAAAUGAUGGGGCCUGACAGAAAUCAAAGGUAAAGGAGGACUUGGAUUUCGUGAUAGUUUUCAAGCUUUCAGAUGGACUAUGCAAAGCAUUAAGCAACAUGAUGGCGAAGUUUUGGUGCGGAAAUGACCAAGGCGAGAAGAAAAUGCAUUGAAAAAAAUGAUGGGGCCUGACAGAAAUCAAAGGUAAAGGAGGACUUGGAUUUCGUGAUAUAAAGUGCUUCAAUGAAGCCUUACUUGCCAAGCAAGCAUGGAGACUACUAACAAAACCUGAGUUGCUGGUUAGUAAGGUAAUGAAAGGGAAAUAUUUUCCGAACUCCUCUAUCUUGCAGGCCAAAGCAAAGUCAGGUUCCUCGUGGAUAUGGCAGAACAUUCAUAGUGCAAUCCCUUUGCUAGAAGAUAGACUUAGGAGAUAGAUAGGGAAUGGUAGAUCAACUGCAAUUUGGAAGGAUAGAUGGAUUCCCAAUGGUAUGAAUGGACGAAUAAGAUCAGCUAGACCUCAAAAUUGCAACAUAUAUGGAGUCCGUGAGUUGAUCAUUAACAAGAGAUGGAACAAUAAUCUUAUUCAGUCCAUUUUCUCAAGAGAAGAGAUGGAACAAAUCCUAAUGAUCCCUCUCAGUAUCCAGGAAAGGCAGGACAGGUUCGUUUGGAGGCAUAGCAAUAGUGGAGAUUAUACCACCAAGUCAGGAUAUGCUCAAGCCUGAUUGAAAUUGAGCAAGAAAGCCAAUAAGAUGCAACCAAAUGAGAGAUCCAGCACAGGAAAGGAUGAUCCUACACUAUGGCAUCAAGUUUGGGACCUAAACAUAAAACAUAAACUGAAGCACUUCCUAUGGAAAUGUCUCCAUAACAUCCUACCUACCAAUGAAGAAGUGUAUAGAAGAACUGGCAAAGAGGAUAAGUGGUGCAUAUGCUGUGGUGAAGAGGUAGAAACAUUAGAGCACCUUUUUUUCAACUGUAAAGCUAGAGAAGAGGUUUGAAAGACAUUCCCUAUCAAAUGGGACGGUAUUCAAGAAAGAUCGUGGAAUUUUUGGAAGUGGUGGGAAGGGUUGCAAGGUGCUAGAAGCAGAGUUAACGGCAUCAGUCACAUAGAAGCCACAAUAAACUUCUUGUGGCAAUUGUGGAAAGCAAGGAAUGCCUGCAACUUCAACAAGGAAAGCACAAAAGGUAACCUGAUCUCUUAUAGAACUCUGGGAGAAUGGCUGGAGUACAAACAGAUGUGGGACUUGGAGAAAAUGGAAAGCAAAAAGGAUGAUCCAAAAGUACCAAUGAUAACCAUGACAAAAGAACCUUAGGAUCAACAUGCCAUCCUAAUGUUCACGGAUGCUAGCAAUGGACAAAAAUAUGAGUAGAGGGGGAUUGGGCAUCGCAACAAAGGACCAUAAUGGAAAACUUGUCAAAACAUGGGCAAUCCCUACUGGAAUGAUGAAGGAUGCUGCCAUAUUAGCAGUUGAAGCAAUCAGAUCAGCCAUGCUCAAAGCUCUGGAAGAAGGGUGGACAUCUCUACUCAUACAUUCAGAUUGUAAAGGUCUAGUGGAUAGAAUUAAUCACAGAUGUAUUGGGUUAUCUCUGUUAGAUGUGUUGGUAGAUGAUAUCGUACAUCUUAGUCGAUCCUUUUGGCGAUGUUCCUUCAUAUUUAUUGGAAGGGAAUAUAAUCGCACUAGUCAUGAUUUGGCAAAAUUUGCUAUCAACCUAAUUGAUGAAACAAGUGGGAGCUAGACUUCCCUGUGUGGCUUAGGAUUGAAGCCCAUAAAGAUUUCCUGGCCGUGUGCCAGUAGUAUGUAUAUGCUAGGAAUAUUGUAACUUUUCUCACAUAUAUAUUAAAUGAUGACAUUUUGACAAAAAAAUGACUUAUCUUCCUUUCUGCGUUUCACCCAAAAGUACAAAUUUAGCACCAAAAAAAUUAAGUCAACCUUUGGGUACGAAAAUUUAUCAAUUUAUCUAUUCAAGUGUUUGUUGAAAGAUCAAUCUUUUAGCUUUGUGAUUCAUUGCUGAGGGGACAUUCUUGAGUAACUACUAUGUAGUUUGGAAAUUUUGAUUGACUUUCAAAUGACUGGAUUUGGAAUGAAUUUGGUUGAAUUAACUGAGUAGUUUUCUUCUGGAUAAAUUUGGACGUACGAAGUGAGUGAUUAAUCAGGAGAUGGACAAUCAAAAGGGUUAUUAUCACUUUACUCCCUUAAAUUAUAUCACCACUAUUAGCUUACCGCCUAAUGUUAUUUUUUAAUCAUUUUACCCCCCAAGUAAUUCAAUUUAACAUGUUAAGAAAUUUUGGACAAAAACACCCCUUAAUUUUAUAGCAUUAUCACAUUGUUAUUAUCACUUUAUCCCUUGAAAUUAUAUUGAUACAAUUGUUUUAAUUUCUAAAAUUAUUUUCUAGGCAUUUUAUCUCAUCAUCAAUCUAACUUGUAUUGUCAAAAAUUUUAAAUACAUUUACCCUUUUUAUAUAUAAUUAAAAAUAACAAAUGUUGGAAUGGUUAUUCUUUUUUUUUUUUUACUUUAAGAGAUCCAAAAAUAUAAAAAUAAAAGGGUUUUCUCAAAUUUCUUUUUUCACACUUAUUAAUACUAGGAAAAGAAAAGGAGAUAGGAGAGAAGGAGACAGAAAAUUAGAUUUUACAAACAAAGAAAAUAAAGAAAAGUUUAACAUUAUCGUAUUACUUUAAAAUUGUUGGGAUUAGAAUUGAAAUUUGGCGGUAAAUAGAAAAGUGAAAUAAUUUUAAAAUAAUAAAAGUAUUUAAUUCUUUCUUAUUUGUAUUUUUUCAAAAGAAUUGAGCUCUCUCUCUCUCUCUCUCUCUCUUUCUCUCCCCUCCUCCCUCCCCCCAUCCCCAUCUUUUUUUUUGAAUAUUAAUAAGAUUGUUAAGAAGAAAGAGAUUAAUACUUUAACCUUUUUUUUAAUACUAAAAUGAAGAAAAGCUACUCUAAAUUUUUUAUUGUUUUUAUUAUCCAAAGAGGAUGGUACUUUCUUAUAAAGUUCUUUAACUUACUGAAUUGAUUUAAUGGUGGGAUAAAUUGGCUAAAAAAAAUCCAGGGGAUAAAUUGAUAAUGAGGCUAUAGUUUAUGGGGAUAAAGUGAUAAUAAUUUUAAGGGCUAAUUAAGUCUUUUCACUUUAAUUAACAAACUCCGUUAAAUUUGACUAUUAAUUUUAGGGGUAAAGUGACUAAAAGAUAACGUUAAGGAGGAAAUUGAUAGUGAUACUGAACGUUAAUGGAGUAAAAUGAUAAUAACCCUCAUUAAAAUCACAAGCAAAGGAAGUAAUCAAAACAACAAGCAAAGGCAGCUACUUUGGCACUUGGUAGAAACUCUGAAAAGCAAAAACUAUGGCCGCCCUUACCUUCGUAUCUUGCAUGCAGGUGCCAUCUUGCCAACACCACGAAGUCUACCAAUUCCUUCCUCUGAAAGGUGAAGGUAUUGGGUGGGGCGUUUAGUAUCCGCCUCAACGGGACGAAAGCCGACAUAAGGCGUAAGCCUCGCAAAUUUUUAUUUUUUAAAUCCUUACUAUACUAAAAGUGCCAAUUGGAGUUGCUACAGUGCUCAUGGGCCGGUUAUCCGGUAAUUUUGAGCAACUUCAGUGGCAUUUUCAUAGGCAGGCCGGUUAUCCGGUAAUUUUGAGCAACUUCAGUGGCAUUUCAUAGGCAGAUAGACUGGUUAUGCUGUAAAUUUCGACAAUUCCAGUGGCAUUUCAUAGGCAUUUGUUUGGGCUUGCCCUCUUGCUCCUGAGUUCAGACGCUAGAAUUCUUUCCCCUCUCCCUCCAGUGGCAUUUUUUAGGAAGCAUAUAUGUGCCAUAUAUAAAACUUGAUACCCUUUACGGUGUUGCAUUGUUAGUUCUUUCUUCUUUUUUUUUUUAUUUUUUUUGCCUUUAUUAUAAAGGAUAAAAUGGAUUUAUUCUGUAACAAAAUAAUAAAACAACAAUUUUACCAUAAUUUCGAAUCUUCCCAUAUUUUUACGUUCAAUUUCUCCAUGUUUAUCUACUAUAUUUGACACACAUUUCUUCAAUUUUUCUUUAUUAACAUCACCCAAAUUAAGUCCAUGCACUUGUUUCCCCUAUAAUACUUCACUUUUAUAAGAGAAUUAUUAUUACAAAUAUUUUUAUUCUAAUUAGUUAUAUACACAUCUGAGUGCGCCUUAAUCACUAUUAUGUAUAACAAGAAAAGAUUUUUUGAACAUGUUUGAACUAAUUCUUGAUAAGAAAUUUCAGAAAAGUAAUGUACUACCUAACCUUUAGUUUUAGAUACUUUUAUUGGUAUUUUUUUCAUUCAGAGUUUUAGCUCUCUUGCCUAUGUAAUCUUGAGAGAAAGCCAUCUGAAAGCAACAUAUUGGAUGUGUUUCUUUCUUCAAUUGAAGACCUGGAUUUGGCAGUUUUACAAGGUGAAGUUUUCACACUCUCACCUGGCUGAUCUUGUUGAAACUUAUUUCAUUUUUGAUUAGAUACAAAUAGUGUGUGCAUAAUUUUAAAACUGAUCAGCGUCACCAUAUUUAUGAUAUUUGUAUGUACUUGUACAUUUUAAAUGAAUGCAUCAUUUAUUUAUAGUAUCAAGAAUUCACAAAGAUCUUAAGCCAAAGACUGACUAUCUAAGAGAAAAUUACAAAUCAAAUGAGUAAACGAGUAACAACAAUAUUCAAUUUACCUAAAGUCAAAAUCUCCACAUUUAUUAACACCUAUCAUGUAUUAAAUAUAUAACCAAUUUACAUUAAUCCACUUACCUUCAUUUGAUCUUGAUUAACAUAUAGCCAGGGCAUCCUCACGCAUCGCAUGAGGUUGAAAAAACUAGUAUAUAUAAAUAUGAUAUAUAUUAUAAAAAAAAGUCAUUUGAAGAUAUAAAUAUAUAUAAUAAAAUUACACAAAAUUAAGAAAAUUUAUACAGAUAAUGAAUUAUUAUUGUAUAACUCUAAUUAAUAAUUGAAGAAACAUACAUAUUAAUAUUAGCUACACAAAAUAGUAGAAUAAUUAACAUUACAAAAAGUUCAAUCUUAGAAACAAAUUAGUAACAACUCAGAAGUCUCCAUAUUAUCAAGCACUUAAAUUACAAACACAUAAAUUCAAGUAAACACAAAUUUCAAAAGUUAAUUGUUUCAAUAAACACACUUAACUAGCAUUAAAAAUAAAAUAUCAAAUUAGCACCCAUAUUGCUUAUAAUACAUAACAAGGAAUAACACCAAUAAUUAGAAAUAAACUAACAAAUAAAAUGAUACUAUUUAUCAAAAUCAAUAUCAUCCAUGUCAUCAUCUUCAUCUAGUAUAUAUAUACUAGGUAAUUUUCUUCCAAUAGUUGAUGGUGGUUUCGGACUUUUCAUCACAUCACAACAUCCAAUCUAUAGGUAACAAUCUCUUUUCCUUUACCUUUCUUGCCUAACCAUAUAUUAUAUUUCAAAUAAAUUCAUAUCAAAAUCACUUAAUGUCACAAUAUAAUAGAUAGUAAAUUAGUAAUAAAGCUGAAUAUUAAAAAAAUUUAAAACUUAAUUGAUGAAGUUAAAUUUUUUUCUUUUUUUUUUAAAGACAAUUUGUGAGGCGUAUACUUUUAAUGCCCCGUUUCAAAGUUGUGGCCAAAUGCUUGGGGUGUACACCCUAGAAUACCUUCGCCUUGUGCAAUCGGCUAGAGAUGGUAUUGGAACACCCUAUUCGGGACUCACCCCGCAAACGCCUUUUAAAACACUGCUCAUAACCAUAAAGGUCCACCAACAACCGUAUCAAACUGGAUUUGUGACAAACUUGAGGUCCCACGUUUGAAGGAAUUCUAUUCGAGAUUUACUUUUUGUUGUAUGAGUUGCUAGAUGUUAGUUCAUGUUUGCUUGCUUGAGGUUCAAAUUGUGGCUAUGUUUUUUCUUGAAUCAAAGCCUAAGACUUGGGAAAUUGUUGUGCUAUUAAUUGGAACCGACGGAGAUUGGAAAUUGUUAAAUGAAUGUCGAAGUAGCUAGUGGGGUUGCUUCUUGUUUCUUCUGAAAAUGAAAACCUGCUUACAAAAGAAAUGGUUUGUUCGUUUGAAAUUUGAAUGAUUAGCCAAAAAGAGAUCGAUGACAGUUUCAAAGCCUGCAAAGUCUGCAACUACACCUAUGUAACUUUUCUGGCGGUGAUGCAAAGAAGAAAGAAGAGUCAAGGGUUGAUGAGCUGUUUUGGGAUUUUCAGUGCAACUUUUUGCUGACUCGCUGAAUGUAGCAGUCAACGUUAAUUCACCAGCAGAAAGGGUCUAGUUUUAUGAUUUUAUGCAUUUGAGUGUUCAUUUUGAAAUUGGCCGAAUCUCAGGGACUAAUUGGUAGUUGGCUAAACCUCGAGGGAGGUAAAUGUAAUUAACCCUUUUUUAAAUUACUUUUCUGUUUAAUGUGUACAAGAAUCCUAAUUUUAUGUUUUUAGGAUCUAUAUUAAAUGUUAUUCAGGUAGUAUUAGUAGACUAACUGCACUUUACAACUUGGAACUUAUACCACAUUCUCACUUUAUACCUUAAAUUUUAAUUUUUGACACUUUACGUCCUAAAUUCUUAAUUUUGGACACUUUGCAACCUAAACUUUUAAUUUUGUCCAAUUUAAGUCUAAUCAAUGACAACUUUUGCAAAAUUAACAACAUUAAGGAUGGUGAAAAUCUAUAAAAAUGUAUCAUUUUGUUCUAAUUACAAUCCAUUGGCUCUUUUCUGACCACACACGUUGUUAUUGAUUUAUAUAGUCAAAGUUCUUAAUAUUGUGAGUAAAUUAAUGAGAUAAAGAAUGGUGCAAAUCAAUAAUAAUUUAUCAUUUUAUUUAUGCUAUGAUAUGUUGGCUCCUUUUGACCACUUUUACACAUUGUCAUCGAUUUUUAGGGUUCUAUAUGAUAUUAAUUUUGCUAAUGUUGUUAUUGAUUGUAUUUAAAUGAGACAAACAUGAGAGUUCGAGGUAUCCAAUAUUAAGAGUUUAUGGCGUAAAGUGUCCAAAAGUAAAAUUUAGAGUGUAAAGUGGAAAAAAGUAAUAUAAUUUUUGGGGUGCAAAUUGGAUUUAGUCACUUUCUUGAAUGCUUGUUGCAUAAUCUUGUAAUUUAUGUAGAUUAUUUUAUAAUCUGAGAAAAUGAUUUGAUAGUUUUGGUUUUAAAAUUUUAUAUUUGAUCAAUUUAAACCAUUCAUAUAUCGUACAUUUAAACUUUAAAAGUGCGAUGCCAUGAACUUGCCCAAUAUUAUAACAUAACGUUAAAAAAUAUACAUUUGGAUUAAAAAGUUCUAUAUUUGAAGUUACCGGACCCCAAAAAAUACAUGACUGGAGAUCAUUUUAAUUUAGAGCCAUCCACCAACUCCUUCUAUUGAUUUUCUUCUUUUUUAUAUUUUAUAAAGUUGAAGAAAUACUGAUUCUUAUAGUGCUUGUCUCUAGAGAUUUUGGUUUUCUUAUACGCAACUUUUCCAUUUAUCAGAUUUAUUCUUUUUGUAUCAUGCACGUCAUAGGAGGAUUAGAAGUUGGAGAAUAGUUUUGGACUACGGCCGGCAUGACUACUUAGGUGGUCUAACAUAUACUGUUGUUUUCUUGUAAACAAUUUCUUUUAAUGCAUAAUUAUAUUUAUUUUUAUUUAGUUAUGUAAAAUAUUUAAGGGCAAAUUCCACUUUAUCCCAUGUGGUUUAGCUUUUUUUUACAUAACCUCCCUAUAGUUUCAAAAGCUAUAUAUAACCCCCUCAUAGUUUGGAUUAAAGUGUCAAAGUGACGGGAAUGAUCAUUCUUAACGGAGUUACCUAAAAUGUCAAAAAUAUCCUUAUGUAAAGUUGAAAAUUAUUUAUUAACCAAGGGGGGUUAUGUCUAUAUUUUGAAAAUCAUAAGGAGGUUAUAUGGUAAAGUAUUAAACCAUAAGGGGGUUAUAUGGUAAAAUAUAAAAAUCAUACCGGAUUAAUGUGUCAUGUAUUUAUAAAGGUAAUUUCGAUAUUUUUAGAAGUUUCGUUAUGAAUGACUAUUUCUGUCACUUUGACAUUUUUAUCCAAACUACGAGGGGGUUAUGUAUAGUUUUUGAAACUAUAAGUGGAUUAUGUAAAAAAAUACUAAAUCACAGGGGGAUAAAAUGUAAUUUGCCUAAUAUUUAACUAUCGUAAGUAUUUUUUUCAUGAGAAAAGGAAUGAAUUUGCCUAUCUCUCUCGCCAUCACUAUAUUAAGGCGGGGGAUCAUUUCUUAGUUGGGGGGAUCAUUUCCGUAGAUCGGUGCUCUCUGUGUGCCUGUGCAAAGGAAUCUAUUGAGCAUCUAUUUUUUUCUUGUAAUUAUUCAGCAUAUAUAUACGGGGGAGAAUACUGCAGCCUUCUUUACUUUACAGAGGCAUCCAUGGAUAGAAAUAGAAUGGUGGGCAAAUAACAUUACAAAUGAAUCUUUGUUGAAUAGAGUCAAGAAUCGUGUUUUAUCAGUUAAUGUGAUUCUUCUUUGGCUGAAUUGGCUGAACACAAUCGUGAUGACAAAGCUGCUUCGCCCUACAUACAAUCCGGCCCAGUGAAUACUUUGAUUCUUCUUUGUUUUCAAUUGGCUGAACACAAUCACGAUGACAAAGGUGCUUCCCCAACAUACAAUCCUAACCAGCCAAUCAAGAUUCACAUCGGUAUUUGUAUUGGGAUUUGCACGCCAUAGUGCAAGGUGUACAUGCUGGAGUAAUCAAUCAUAAACUGUUUCAUGUGUGUAUCCAUAUUUGCGUCAAAGUUUGCAUUCAUCCAAUAUAUGAUGCAUCCAUCCAACAUCCUAGCCUAGUACUCCCUCCCUUUUUUUAUAACUGAUGUUUAAGAAAUUUGCUCUAGUGUACUUUUAUCUGUCGUUUUAUUAUCUCCGUACAGUAUUAAUUAUUUUUUCAUAAUUUUACCCUUUUAUCUCUCUUUUCCAAUACAGGGUUCUUAAUUACUACUCCUAGUAAUUAUUGCUUCAUUUUAGAAACAUUUAGUUUGGUGGGAGUUGGUUUGCAUUGCUAUUGGCCUAGUAAAAGUAGUGUAAAACAGCACCAUUUAGUACUCUAGUGAGAGAAAAUAUGGGUGAAUUGGACAAUUAAUGAGGGUACAAAAGGAAAGUAGUGUACAGAUUUAAGCAAUGAAAAACUUUUCUUAAUUAGUGUGUAAAACCUUAAACGUCAGUUAUAAAAAAAGGGAGGGAGUAUAUGAAUAUGAUGCAUAUGUAAAGAAUAUCUCCAUCCAUCCAAAUAUAUAAAUAUAUUAUAUCCAAAUAUAUCAAAUGGAAAGAAUGAAACAGGAGUUUUUAAUGGCAAAGCUACUGCAGCAGAAAUUGUGAUUUGGAGGAUAGCACAAGUGAUUACAAAUAUAGUAGCUGGAUGGAGGAAAACACCAAGAACUAAACACAAAUUGGGAGCUAAGUUUGAAGUGCAAUUCUGUUCCUGAGAUCUUUUUACUGAAUUAGUUAUGUUAAUCGUUGAUGUAAAGGGAUAGAGAUAGGAGUUUAUCAUAUAGAACAGGAAUUCACUGCCCUGUGGAUACUUAUUGCUAAUUUUUUAAUAAAUUCUAAUUUAUGACCAAAACAAUUUAAAUAUUUUUUUAAACAGUUUCUUGUUGUGCAUUAAUUGUUGAUAAUAUUUUUUAAAAAAAUUUCUUUUUCUAGUAGAGGAGGGGUGAGAUUUAAAAAGAGGGGAGGGGAAAGGGGGAUAAUUGUUGACAAUAUGUUGAUGAUGCACUAGUAUGCAUUAAUUGUUAAUAAGAUGUUUGUGAUGCACUAAUUGUUAAUAAAAAUAGAAAUUACAAAGAAUAAUAUUACUAAAUAUACACUUUUUAGUUGCUUAUAAUAAUUUACGGUAGUUAUACUUGACAGAAAAUAACUAUAUCUGAUUAAGUGUCAAAUAAAUUAUUAAUAAGUAUAAAGAAUAAAAGAAUAUGAAGAAAAAGAGAAAACAGAAGCAAAAUAUUUAUAUUAAAUGUUUAGUUUUUAUUUUUUAUAAUAAUUAAUGCAUAACAAGAAUCUAUUAAUAAAAUAGAAAAUACAUAGAAUAAAUGUAUAAAUUUUAAUUUCUUAUAAUAAUUAAAUUUUUUAUAAGAAACUCUUUAGCACAUUGUUAUCUAAACUUGUAGUUCAUAGCAGAAAUUGAGAAAGAGGAAAAAGAAAUUUAAACAAGAAGAAGAAAAGGAAGAACAUUUGACAAUAUUCUAGCAAUGAGGGCACAAUUAUAUUUUUACUAUCCAAAUAUAUUAGACUAUUAUUAUGGAUUAAUUUUUGUUAGUAUAUACAAUAACAAAUCUAGACGCAUGUUACAUCAUUUCAAUUUAAACUCAAAUAUUUGUAUAUGUGGUAUUCAUCUAGAAUUACAAGUGUAUACAAUAAUUGUGCAUAAAAGAUUUAUUGCAGGGGUAAUUUAUUGGUUUCAAGGUUUGCUAUUAAUACCUAAUUAUAAGGGAGCAACAGGUACCUAAGUCAUAAUGAAUAUUUGCAUAAACAAUAAAUUUGGAUUGAAUUUAUUCCACGAUUGGAACAAGAAAUAAAUUUAUCUAAAAUUAAAAUCUCAUGUAAAUUCUCCAAAUUAUGAACUUGAAACUGACUAAGACCUGGACCUAAAUUCAGAUUUGAUAAGGUUCAACGGAUCUGGAUCCGGGUAUAAACCCGUCAAGUAUCUGGUUUUGAUCGGAGUUGCAAAUUUCCAUACAUGCGGGAAUUCCGAAUGUUAUUUUUCUGCCCAGAAGCUUUUUCACAAGUCCUGAGAACCUCCAUUACCACCUUUAUAGCUUGCCCCACUGCUUUGGUAAAGAACAAGCUAUCAUCUGCAAAAAGGUGGGAAAUUGAAGAUCCUUCACUUCCGAUUCUGAUUCCAUUCCAUAAUCCUUGCCUUUCCAUCUUUCAGAUAAGUAAUGAUUAUCUUUCUGCGCAUAAGAUGAACAGUUAAGGCAACAGGGGUCACCUUGUCUUAGACCCCUUGUAGACUUGAAGUGAUUUGUAUGGCUCCCAUGAAUCAUGAUUGAGAAAGAAACUGACUUCAAACAUUCCAUGAUUAUAUUACUCCAUCUCCGGGGAAUAACUAUAGCUUGCAGCAUAUAUUCGAGAAAAUUCCAUUCCACUCGAUCAUAUGCUUUGGUCUUAUCCACCUUCAAGGCUAUAUACUUGUCUCGGUCCUCUCUUCUGUGCGCCAGCUAGUGAAACAACUCAAAAGCCACCAUCACGUUAUCAGUAAUAAGAUUACAAAUGCACUCUGGAAGCUCGCUUUAGUACUAUGUUCUGGGAGAUGUAACCUUCAAAUGUGAACAUAAUAUGGGGCUGUUCUUGUAUGAUUAUUUUACCUGAUUAUAAAGUCUAAAUUUUAGAAAAUCAAUUUUCUUUCUCUCAUAGUUCCAGGCAAAAUCUAAAUUAUCGAAUUAGAGGAGUUGGAAUCGUGUUUUACGGUGUAGCAGAAAAGGAUAAUAAAAUGUGAUCUGAUUAUCACGCUUGUGAGCAUUGUAUGAGGAAAGCGUGUGAAGGUAAAAGCGGAAUAAUUGUGCCUGAUUGCAUGUGAGACUCCCGAAAUUUGUCAGUCUUCAGCAAUUAAGCCAGAAAUAGAGCAACAAAUACACAACCAGCCCUUUGAACCUAGAGCUGUUAAAAGAACCGAGCUGUUCAUUAGCUCGACUCGUUCGGACUCAUUUAUGUUCGAUAAUGGCUAAUUCGAAAUUUUAUACGAGUCAAGUUCGAAUGAAUAUUUUGACUUGAUAAGUAAUUGAGAGAACAUGAACUCGUUUGCAAAUUUAAACGAUCGGUCGCAAAUAUGGACCUAAUUGUCAUUUUACAAAAUUUAUGGACCUAAUUCCUAUUCUAGGCUUAAUUGUUCACAAAUAUAGGCCUAAUUAUUAGCAAAUAGCUCGUUUAUGUUAAAUGAGUCAAACUCGAAUUUGAAUUCGAUCUAAGAUUUUGCUUAAUGAACUGAACACGGAUAUAGAUUUGGAGUUAGAAUAUUAUUGGACGAAUACAAGUUUUGUUCAAGUAGUUUAACAAACAGAUUUCAAACAGGAGGUACUCAGUUUGACUCGACUUAUUUGUAGUUCUAUGUAACCCCCCCCCCCUUCUUAUGUUCUCCUUUUUUUCUCAUUUAUUUCUUGGUGAAUUAGUAUAAUAUAGGCGACAUGGUGUUGUAAAAGGUGUUGUAAAGGGGUCGGAUCCUAGCUGAACUAAGAGAUGUGGACCCGAAUUUGACAAACAUUAUUGAAUGGAACUUGUGAAACUUUAGGGUGUGAGAAUUAUUUUUUAAGUUGGAUUUCUAGUGAUUGUUUUUGUUUUGUUAAAAAUAGGUUAAACGAAGACCGGUAAAGUCUACUACAAUAUGAUCCACUACAAUUGGGGCCUAAGUUUAUCUCAAUUAUUUAUUUGGUGUGAGAUGCAAUGUGUAGGGCCUGCUAUUCAAAUUAGGGUUAUCUUAAAGGAAGGUCCCACCAUAGUUGUGAAAGGUUAGGUCUCUCUCUCCUAUCUAACCCUAACAUCCUAUUGCUAGGGUGGUUUGUCCCACUGAUAGCCACUAUACAGAACUUGGAGAGGGAGAAUGAGCCACCUAUGUCAAGUACGCGAACCACAACGUGUUGAUCAGGGUUGUCACGCAUCUCUCAAUCUCUCAAACUAUUUUCGGAGAACAGUACGCAUUUAUUUCACACUUGUAUUCAAAUAUCUGAUAUUGGAAUGCUGGAAAUUCCUACAUAUGGGUGCAAGUGGAUGAUAUUGUCAUACAUGAUUGGCAGAUCAAAGAAUGUAAUUUUUGCUUCUCUGAAGGAUAGGAUAUGGCGUAAAUUGAAAGGGUGGAAGGAAAAGACUCUUCAAACCGGAAGAGAGGUUCUUAUCGAGUCUGUUGCCAAAGCAAUCCUCACACAUAAUGUCUUGUUUCCAGCUUAUGAAAGGGUUAUGUGAAGAGACCAAAGCACUGAUAAGGAGAUUCUGCAGGGUUCAGAAAGGGGAUGAAUAAAAGUGUGCUGGUUAAAGUGGGAAAUACCGUGUAAUCCAAAAUCUGAGGGUGGUAUGGGCUUUAGAGAUAUGAUGUCUUUGAACUUAGCACUCCUAGGUCCUAGCGAAACAAGGGAGGAGAAUGAUGAAGAACCUGACUUCACUUGCAUCAAGGGUCUUGAAGAGUAAAUAUUUUGCAAAAAUAGAGUUUCUAUUAGCUAAGCCUAGGCCUAAUCCAUCGUUCUUAGGGAGAAACAUAUUACAGGGAAGAAAGCUGCUUAAAAGGGGGUUUAAUUGGACAAUAGGUGACGGUGAACCUGUAAAUAUUUGGGAUGAUCCCUGGAUACUGGUGCAAUCAACGUUUAAAGUGGCUCAACAUGCAAUCUCGUUAUGGCCGGAGGCAAGAGUUUGUGACCUCAUUGAUUAUGAUUCAGGAGGCUGGAAAAUUCAUUUUCUCAAUGCAGUAUUUCUUAAUCAUGAGAUGGAACAAAUAUUGAGAAUCCCUGUAUCACCAUAGUGACCAAAAGAUGAGUUGGUACCGUAUCACACAAAGAAUGGGGUAUUUGAUGUAAAAUCAGCAUACCACCCAGUGAGGACAGUAAGAAAUUUGCUGAAAGGUAGAGAAGGGUCUUCAUCAGUUAGCAAAGAGAAGAGUUUCUUGAAUGGAAUGAAUUAUGGCAUCUUAAUACACCACCGAAGGUUAAAGUUCUCAUAUGGAGAGCAUGCUCUGGAAUCUUGCCGACUGGACAUAACUUAUUUGCUAGAUUAAAGGGCGAAGUUAGAGGGUGCAGCAGAUGUUGUGAAGCUGAGAAUUAUAAGCACGUAUUUUUUUACUCUGAUUUUGCCCAAGAGGUGUGGACUGUGGAGAGCACUAGAAACUCAUCAGUUUCUCAGAAAUUCAUUUGCUUCUUGUUUCAAAGAAUGGUUUGCAUGGCUGUUAGAAUCAAGGGGGAAACAAGCAGCAGAGAUUGCUGCGGUAACUUCUUGGUUCAUUUGGAGAUGGCGUAAUGAGAAAAUUUUUGAAGGAAAAGAGAGUGAAGCGUCUCAAGUUGCAGAGUAUGCAUUGGCUUUUGUUAAGGACUACUGGAUUAAUGUUCACAAGAACAGAUGAUCAUGUCAAAUGGACAGCACCUGAUGAGAACCUUUUAAAAAUAAAUGUUGAUAGAGCUUUUGCUGAAAAUGGAGCCGGAAUUGGCCUAGUGGUGCGGAAACAUCCGGGACAAAUAGCAGCAGUCAUGGCUGAGAGGCUUUUUGGUGCUCUUAGUGCUGAACAUGUGCAAUGCUUAGCUUUCUUCAAAGCUUUACAAUUCGCCCGCGACUUUGGCAUCUCCCAUUUCAUCCUGGAAGGUGAUGCGCUGAGCAUUGUGCAGAGAACUAAUAGUUAAACUUCAGGCUUGUCUAUGAUUGGUAACCUGGUCCAUGCAUUUGGCGGAGUUGUUCAGGUGAGAAGGCAAAACAAUGUUUCUGCCCAUGUCAUGUCUAAAUUUGGUUAGUAAACUUCCCAAGGAUGUCAUCUGCUCUACUGAAGCUAAUUUAAUACUAUAAUAUACCUCAUAUUUUUGGGGAAAAAAAAGUACUAAAGCUAGCUUCUAACCUAGUACAUUGAUGGCUAGAAAGAAAAAGUAUAAGAAUGAAGCUAGCUACUUGUAUGUGCUCAGGGGCGGAGGGAAGGGGGGGGGGGGCCUCCAAUUGUUAAAAGAAAAUUUCUAAGUAAAAAUUUUUUUAUUAUUUUGUUUUGCCCCCCCAAAAAUUGAUCAAAAAAUUCACUUUACCAUCCAAGGGCCCAAACAAAAUGUUUGAAAGUUAUUUGGACUUGAUCCAAAUAACAGAGGCUCACCCCCCCUUCCCCCGCCCCCCAAAAUUAGUUCCUAGCUCCGCCACUGGGUGACACCUUCUUACUGGCAAAAUCGAGUAUGAAAGUUGCUAAAUUCGGUUUGAAAUCCCUUAUACUCAAAAAGGGAUUUGAUUGGACCACUUUAGUAAUAAUUGUAUAAAUAACUAUAGAUGGCAGUUUUUUCAAACAAAAUUUUCAUUUUUCUUGUAUUUUCUUAGCACUCCAUCCGAGUUGGAGGCUAGAUAGUCAAUGACAUAAGCAUACUUAUGGGUGCUAAUAGUCAAUUAUGCAACAAUUGUAGACAUUUAUAAUUAACAGAAACUAUGGAUUCCACAGACACUGAAGAACUAGCCAACUUUUGACAUUUCUUAACCUUAUUAAACCAUCAUUUUCGUCACUAAGCAAAUUUUGGGCAAUUGCUAAAAUGGUGAUAGAUAUUUCCUAAGGAUUCUCCAAUCAAUAGGGGUGCUUCAAAUUUCAACAUAGGCAUUAAAAAUUUAGGUGUCACUCACGGCGCAAUCAUAAAUCAAAGCUUCAAACAAGAUUUAUUAUUGAUGACCGGUAAUAUAUUACAAGCAAAACACACUUUGAUGAUACAUUAAAAUCGCAUUACCCAACAAUUGAAGCUCAGGAAAAGAGCUACCAAAGAAAACAGAUCCUCAAUAUGUUUAUUUCAAUCAUCCAACAAGUAUGUGGACAUAUAUGAGGCAGCAUUGAUCAGUUGUAUACAUUAGGAUUUGCGAUGAGGUAGGCUUCCACAGCCUUGAACAUGGCUGAGGACGUUUCUUUUGCUGCCUUAAUUUCCUGAUUUGCUCCCUCAAUAUGUUCGUUGGUAUUGCGCUUGAGG
rnacentral:lncRNA from 1 species